rnacentral:lncRNA from 1 species
UUUUUGUUUUUGUAUGACACACACUUGUGCUAUGUUUAAAAAAUAUAAUGGAUAUGUGCAUUAGUCGAUGGAGAUGGCUCACACCAGGGAUAUCUUUCUCUUCUAAAAAAGAUUGACACUUCCAUGAACAAUAGCUGUUAAUAGGACUGUGGAUGUAUUUAAUUUUGUUUUACUAUUCUCAUUCGAACAACAGUGUUUUUAUGCUGGUUGGUGGCGCUUCACUGCCCUCGGACUUGUUCAUUUGCCAGAACCAGUGGGUCAUGCUCUCUUGGGUAGUGGCUUCUUUUUCGUCUGCCUGCUAUGCCCGCCACCGCUGCACCCCCUUUAUUAGCAUCCACCAGCUGAGACAACUCAACAAACAGAGCAGGGGUUUCAUCGGCAGGAACCUGCAAGCAGUGAGAGAGGAAGACGGAGGGAAGGAGGAGAUGGGCAGCUCAUCGGGGCUCGUCGACUGGAGGGGGAGGCCGAUUAACAGCAAGAAGCAUGGAGGAGUAAGAGCUUCAAUCUUUAUCCACGGUAAGUAACACUCUCUGGAUGACUUGAUUCUUUUGAUCGAGUUCCGAUCCUUUGCUUUGCUCACUUAAGCUGUCUUCGCCCAGCCCACUAGUCAACAAUGAUACACUUAUCCUCACAAAAAUUUAAAACAGUGAUACGCUUCAACUGUGUAUGUUGAGUUGUUGACUUGCUGAGCUAUAGGUUAGGAUGCAAAUAGAAUCUGCUUAUAUCCCGUUUCUAAAUCAUUCUCCAAAUACAAUGUUUAAUCUUGGCUUGUGGACUUUGAGAUUGACAUAAAAGCCAGAUCCUACUUACAUCUCUAUAAGAUAUGUUUUAGUGUGAGAACACUUCGUAAGUAUACUUGGUAAAUAAGUACAUAGAUGCACAUUUGACUGACAUACAUGAAAACAACCGAUUUGGAUUUUUGUUGCACCCUUUUUCUUGUGCUAGAUAGCUACACUCUCACCUCACUCCCUCUUGUUUCAAUUAGGUGAAUCCCAACAAAUAAAAAUAAUAUACCCACCAUAAAAGCUUAAUCUUUUCUGCUGUGCUUCACUGCAGCUCUGGUGCUGCUUAGCAACGCUGCCAACAUAGCCAACAUCAUGAACCUGGUGACCUACCUCCGUGGCACCAUGCACAUGGGGGUUGCGGAGGCCUCAACGACGGCGAGCAACUUCUUCGCCGCGCUGCAGAUGUUCUCCAUCCCCGCCGCCUUCCUCGCCGACUCCUACAUCAAGCGCGUCUACGCCGUCCUCAUCUUUGGACCUAUAGAGAUCCUGGUAACAUAUCACCAUUCCAUAUUAUAAGGAAGAUGUGUUUUCAUGUUAUGUUAAUUAGCUAGUUAAUUAUCUUUGUAACGGGCAUUUCUUGAAAGGAAUGGAAUCUCCCUGGUGGGUAGCCCCAUAGAGUUGCUGCUUUCAUCAAACUACUCAACCAAAAAUUAGACUUUGUUGGGCUUGAAUGGGAAAGGUGGCCUAGGUGCCAUCGCGUACGUCAGCAGGGGCGACGCUGACGGGUUGACCAAUUGCAGGGGUAGUAGGUGGGACAUAGUGUGGGAGUUGAUAAUGUAGGAGUACUGCUCUGCUACUCCACUGCCUUGCUGUGUGAAACAAAACACUCAAAGAUGUUCUCUAGAAGCCUUGGGGGUGCUGCUGCUUUUGAUCGCAACAUUUCAGCUCAACGCUCUAGUUUCACUUUCAAGUUGGUUCCAGUCACAUCACUUUACCAAUAGACAGGCUUGAUCACUCAUAAUUGAUUGCUCAUUAGGUUACAAAUAUCCUUGAUGGAUGAAUAAGACAAGAUAUUGUUGAAAGCCGUGAAAGCUAAAAACAACUUAGAGCAAGCAAUUACCAUUUGGAUGGUCGUUUUCUACCCCUAAUAAAAACACAAACAACCCAAGUGCUUUCAAUUCAAGCAACCCCUCCUGUAAGGCUGUAAAUAUGCACUUCUCCUCCUAAUCGAAUGGCAAACGACUGCCUUUUCUUCAAAAAAAAAAAAAAAUCAAGCAACCUGAUGAAAGGACCCCCGCAGCCGCUCCUUCCCGCUCUGCUCCGUCGUCGGCCACCAUACUCUAGACGCCACUGUCUUCCGCUUUGUGCUUUUAUUUUUAGAUUCACAGGCUUUUCGCCCGGUUCAAUUUAACAAUGAAACCAUGUUCACAGGAAUAGCGCAAGUAGGAUUAUCACAGAACUGAAAGCCUACAUGGUCUAACCAGCCUGUAGAAGUAAAGGACAGCACAGCUUACAAGCUGAAAAAUUUCUGGCAACCAGAACAGGUAAAGGCACCUAAGCAGAGAAACCAAUAUGGAUGCAGCCUGGGGAUUUCUCUCGCUUUGGCGUCCAUCAACAUGAUGCAGAGAUCCAGGAAUCUGUAUGUUCUUCUUGGGGGCAAAGAGGUUGCCAACGCUUGAAUAAACUCAGCAGCCUGCAAGUUAUGUUUGAAUCUAAAUUUGAAAAUCAUGGAUCUUGAACUUCCGUUGGAUAACGCAAUGAUGAUGCAAAUGAGCAAACGUACCGUAAAGCAAGUCUGAAUGUCUGAUGAAGAUGGCUUUAAAUCUGCAGGGCUAUAUCCUGCUAGCAGUCCAAGCGCACAUCCCAAUGCUGCACCCGCCGCCGUGCAGCCAGACCGGCGCCACCGCCACCUGCGAGCCAGUCCAUGGGUCUAACCUGAGCCUGCUCCUCCUGGGCCUCUACCUGAUCCCCAUCGGUGACGGCGCCGCACGGGCCUGCCUGCCGGCGCUGGGCGGCGACCAGUUCGACACGGCCGACCCCGCGGAGCAGAGGCAGGAGACAAGCUUCUUCAACUGGUACACCUUCGCCGUCUCCUCCGGCGGCUUCCUCGGGCUUGUGCUCAUCGUCUGGGUCCAGAACAGGCAAGGAUGGGACAUCGGUUUCGCCCUCUGUGCUCUCUGCGUCCUGCUCGGGAUGCUCAUCUGGAUUGCCGGGUUCCCAUUCUACCGCAAUCAGCUCCCUGGUGGAAGUGCCAUCACCAGAAUGCUUCAGGUAUGUAUGCUUGUUUAUCAAGCCAGACUAGAAAUUUUGCGAAGAAUUGAGUAAGUUGUUUUCAACAGGUUCUCGUGGUGGCAUUCAAGAAAAGGAAUGUUGAGUUACCCAAGGACACAAGUGAACUGAAACAGAUGAACCAAGAUGACAGCAAUAAUGGGCUUGAAAAGCUGGAAAGAACAGUGGGCUUUCAGUAAGUAGAAAAAUCUAAGAAUUCUACAGCCCCACUAAAAUUGGAGUACCUUAAUUUCUGCUCUGUGAAUUUCCUUUCAGGUGCCUUGAGAAAUCUGCCAUAGACACUGGAGAGACGGGGCCAUGGUCGCUGUGCACGGUGACCCAGGUGGAGGAGACCAAGAUCGUGCUCCGCAUGGUGCCCAUAUUCCUCAGUGCCAUCCUCGGCUACAUCCCAGUGCCACUGAUCCUCAACUUCACAGUGCAGCAAGGGAACACCAUGGACACCAAGCUCGGCGCCAUCCACAUCUCCCCUGCCACGCUCUUCCUCAUCCCAACUGUCUUCCAGAUGGUCAUCCUGGUCCUCUACGACCGCUUCAUCGUCCCUUUCCUGCGCAGGAUCACCGGAUACGUUGGUGGCGUCACGCACCUCCAGCGCAUCGGCAUCGGGUUCCUCUCGGCCACCCUCGCCACCGGCGUCGCCGCCCUUGUUGAGACCAAGAGGAAGAGGGUCGCAGAGGAGAAUGGUCUCAUGGACGCUGCCACAGGGAUCCCUAUCUCUGUCUUCUGGUUGACCGUGCAGUUCUUCCUCCUCGGGGUCGUUGACGUCACCUCCUUCGUGGGGCUUCUCGAGUUCUUCUACAGCGAGGCGUCGACGGGGAUGAAGUCCGUAGGGAGCUCCAUCUUCUACUGCAUCCUUGGGGUGUCAGCUUGGCUGGGGAGCUUGCUCAUCCAGGUGACGAACCAGGUCACGAGGCGUGGCGGCAGCGGGGCGGCGGCGGCGGCAACAGGGUGGCUGGAUGGGACGAACUUGAACAUGGGCAAGCUUGAUAGGUUCUAUUGGCUGCUUGCUGUUCUGGAGCUGGUGGCAUUCUUCAUUUACAUGUUCUUCGCGUGGAGGUAUGAGUAUAGGAAUAACCAAAGGGUUGUGGACAAUACAGGAGAUACCAAGGCUCCAUUGGCACCCGAAGGCGCUGCCGGUGAUCUGAUCAUCUAGAUGUGUGCUACUCUUAUUGACCCUUUCUUUGACGAGGCUUUUACGUUGUUCUUAAAUUACUUAAGUAACGUAUUACAUCCUGUACUAUUGUAAUAUUUGGUUAGGGAAUGAGUGCUCUAUUCAAAUUUAUUGCUUCUGGUCGAUUUAUAUGUUUCUGUAGACCCAAUAUGUGAACAUUAUUGUUUGAUAUUGUGGUAUUUUCUUGCCCUGAAGAAACAUUAUUCCAAUGUUUUUAUCAAGAUCGAUCAAACUAAGAAUUCACGUUUUGUUUUGCGUAUUUAUUUCUAAUGUAAAAAUAUAGCUAUUUACGUAACCAAAAAGAAUAUUCUUGUGAAAUUUAUAUGAGGUCGACAAUAUUCCUUUUUUGCUUGGGUCCAUCUAUAGCCCAGUUGCCUGAGAUUUUCAGAAAUUUCAGUCACUUUCCAGCCAGCCAUCCAUCGCCUAUCCUAAGGCUAAAAAACCCUCCGAUGAAGGCCAAUAAAACAUUCCUAAAGAAUAUGAAAAGGAGUAAGCAUUUAUACACUAUUCAGAUUAUAUUUAGCAUUGUAGGUAUCAAAGAAAAGGCAACAAACAGAUCAUGGCAAUGUCAAUUGACACACUAGCUACAGGACAAAACAUCAUGCACAUUUUGUAAAAUAGUAAAAUAAUUAUACCCAUGUAAAGACAUCGGAUAAAGUAUGCUCAGAGGGAGCAUGCCUUCGUUGACAAAUUCAUCUUCUUCAUCUUCCUAUCAUUGUCCCAACUUAUCACUUCCUACUCGUUAUAACGAUAAGAAAAAACCAACAAAAUUAAUAGAACCAAGAGCAUGGCAUGUACAUCACACCACAAGCGUAAGAUAUAAUACAACCUAUAACUUCUCAACGAAGCAAGCCAAACACACCUCAAUGAAGCAUGCCAUUAGAAAAUUACUAAAUUUCUACUAAAACUUUCAUUGAAUAUUGGAAUAAAUAAGACUAAAUUAUAGCAAAAACAUUUAAACUACAAAUAAAAAAGUAUAUAAGCCUAUUCUAUGCAAUAUAAGUAAUGAAUAUAUGCAUACACCAUAGCAUGGUAUAUGAACAGUAUAAAAGCACGAAAACAAUUUAAAUAUUCCACUAGAAUAGCACAACAUAAAACAUGGUAAAGAAAUAACAUCUACAUUAACUAGCAUUUCUAUACAGUAAACAUGUUAUUUAUUUCUAAUCAAAUAAAAUCCUUAAAAGCAAAGAAAAACUGCAAAUGCUCAAUGAAUCACCAAUAAUAGUCCUAAUUAAUAUAGUAAAAUAAAUAAACCUGUGACAAAGAAAAUUAACUUGACACACAACUUUUGCACAACAUACGAACUACAUGAAAGAAGAGAUGUACAAAAAGUAUUACAACUAUACAAAUUGUAUUUGAAUUUGACCUAAAUUUACAUCUAUUUAAAUCUAGUUUGAAUUCUACGUAUUAGAUUUGGAACUACAUUCCACCAUAUAGGAGAACAUUUCUAUGUUUGGUUUGGCCUCAUAUGGAGAAGUACGGUAAUUUCGGUCGUCGACGAGAAGAGAGCGUCCAAGCUACGGUGAUCGGAUGGAAGAUCGCCUACUGUUCUAGACUCUCAAAGACGAGUGGCGCAUUGCAUGCGUGGAUUUUAUCGGAACUAGAUUUGGGAUGGUGAUGACAUGGCCAUGUUGGUGAGGGUCGGCAUGGAUUGGCAAACACAUAGCCAACAUGAUAGAUUAGACGAUCAACCAUGUCUAGAACUAGGGGCGAACGCACCGGUACGGCAUGGUGUGGCGGCAGGCACACCUAAAAUUCGGCCUAGAAGUUCAAUAUAUAUAGUGUAUAGCCUCCCUAAUUAGCCUAUUGGGUCUCAUAACCAGGGUGGGCUGGGCCUCUUGACUCCCGGAGUACCCUUCUCGAUCCCAACCUAAUUGAUCGCUAACUUUAAGACUUCCUGACGUUCUCGACUCAUAGGCGGCCGACUUCCCAUCUUUGGUCUUCCGCCGUUCCACGUUCUUGACUCGGCAAUUUCUGAAUUCCCUAACCAUCAACGGGCGUAAUUCGUGUGAUCGCCAAGCAGGCUGCAGCCUGCAGGCCGACAUAUCCUGCAUAUGACACUACAAGUUACUAAUUCAUAAUUUUUCUACGGUUUCAAUGCUUUGCAGAUCAUUUCUAUGUUUCAUGUAGUUUUUUUCUAUUGAGGUAUUUUGAGUGGCAAUACCUUACUUUUGGAUUUUUAUUACUAUACUUAUUGAACACAAAGUAACUCCACAAAGUGUCUGUGUGUGUAUAGAGAGAGAGAGAGAGAAAAAGAGAGAGACAGAGUAUCCUACCAAGUUUUUGCAUAGUUUUAUUGCACAUGACUUUCAGCUGUGUAAACUCUGCCAGACCUCAAAACUUAUCCUGAGUGCACCACUGUCUACAACUUAAAUGAGACAAAAAUAGGCAUACCGACGAAUGGAAUUUGGCCGUGGUUUCAAGCAUCUUCAACAGGGCCCCUAUUUGGACCCCUAUUCAUUUCUUAGGGGCUGGGGCCCAAAAACAUCUUCAACAGGGCCCCUAUCUGGGACCCACCCCCGAAUGGUCCUCAAUGGAGCCGCUGCCCUUGCUGUCGGCCGCUGCAUCCAUGCAGUCCCGUGUCGCUACGCCUCCUCUAUCACGCACAUCGCGCCGCCGCUUCCCACAGCCGGUUCGGAUUCAGAAAGAUAAUGAUCAUACCGUAUCCUAUUUGAUACUGUAUUUUUUUAUCUGGAAUUAAAGCAGUGACUAAUACACAAGGAAUCAAGGGUAGAGGCUUUCCUACUUGGUUGCCAAAUGUUCUACACUCACAAAUCAGGAUCCCUAAUACACAGACAGGCAUUGAAAUCAAAAUAGGAACAACUUACGGGCAAGACCUCUUCUAUUCAUAUGCAACGGUGGCAGCGGCAAGCGCUCGCCGUCGGGCGCGAGCGGGCAUAGAUAGAGGGCAAUGCCGUCGGUCGCGAGUUGGCGACGGAGGCAGCCGCGGCGGCCAGCGCGGCGAAGUCGUCGGGGCCGAGCGAGUGGGAGACGGAGGGAGCGGCCGCCGGCCCUAGGGGUGAGAGGCCGGCGAUGGAGGCGGCGGCCAGCGACCGGCGCCGCCACGCCACGCCACUCCUGGUCCUGGUCGAUCGAUCGAUCGGGAGAGAUGGCCGAUGGGGAAUAGAAACGUCGAGAAGCUGGGCCCUGGGCCUCUUUUUCUAAUGGGCUGAAUAACGGAACGUCAUUUGGUCCAUUUCGAACCAGUAAUUUCGCUCUCUCCUUUGUCACUUCCUUUGUCUUCCUGCUGUAGCUUUGGUCGGCAAUUACGCAUUGGGAAAGUUUGUAACUGGUCUCAAAAGCUCAAAUGAACUUAUCCUUAAUUAUUUAUCUGACAACUUAUACUAGCAAAGUCCAAACAAAAAAUUUACCACACUAGAAUCUAAGCUCGGCGGAAAAAGGGGCUAAUCAUCUUUGAAAAAUAAAAGAAUACUAACCGCGGCACGUGGCCAAUCGGAUGGUUAUGAAGGUUAUUCAGUUCUAAUAAAAAACGAGUAAUUGAGGAGUUAGCAAAAUCCCCAACAUAGGACAUAAGAAAAAUAAAUAAAGUACAAAUUACCUCAUUUAUAUGUUGCAUUUUACGUUAGGUCACAUAUAUAACUUGUGUAACGAUAGUGGAAUUCGGAGCGUGGAAUAAGUCAUACUUUAAAUUAUUUUACUUUGAAAAUAUCUCAUUUAUAUAGCUCCGAAAAACACACAUCAACCACCUGUGAUUAACACAACCGAAGAAACUAAAUAAUAAAAUAGAAUAUAAACAUGAAAACAGGAAAAUCAAGAUAAACAAAAAAAACAAAAACAAAAUCAAAGCAAGGUGCAAAUAAGAAAACAAAAAUAAAAAAUGCAAGAAGAAAGGUCCGAACAUGCAACCUCCAUACAGGCAAACAAAUACCAUCAAGUACCACCACAACAACCAGCCAAUACUGCACAUUCUCAGUUGAUCUUCUAUCUAUUGCGUCGUUUAUUUCAGCACGAAUCUCAACGCCCGAUCGGGCAGACCAGACCAUCAAGUGAGAUAUAACUAUUUCUCAGUCAACUGACAAAAAGCAAAUCCGUAAUAAAAAAAACACUGUCACGGAUGAGUAUUUCUAUACUGGUGUGUAGUUAUGAGCGGAUUUUGCUCUCCGGUGCCAGUACUUCAAAUAAUUUGAAAAUACUACGUAGUUCUGGAAAAAAUUACAUGCACAUGUAUAAAUUUACUACAUACCACAUAUCCUGAUUAAGAAAUAUAAAAAAACCAAGUGUGGAUCUAUAAUAACAUAAUUGUAUCUGUUAUUUUUAUCAAAAAGGGGAAUGCCCCUGCUCUGCAUUGACUGAUGAACACAGUCAAUUUUAUUGCAGUGUUUAAAAAUCAAAGAGCUUACACUUUAGGGGUCAUAAAAAGUGGAGACAAAUACCAGUCUAUAGAAAAUGUAUAGUAUUUAACAAGAAGCAAAACUAAACAUAGUUGAGUCUGGACUGCAAAUGAAUAUUUAUUAAUAAAACUUACAGGUAAACAGUAUACAUUUGUUGUCCGCUGGGGCCGCAGUACAGACAUGGGAAAGAAAGCGCUGGUCGGGGGGGGGGGGGGGGAACUUGGGGCGCCGCACGCUAACUCGUGUGGGCACGGUUGCCCCAUAGUUCGCUCCUUUGUUUAUAGUAUUGCUGAUGUUUAUCGAUAUAUUGGUGGUCCUUUUCGAAAAGAAAAGAAUUGACGCGUAAAAUGCGCUGGCACGCACCUGAGCUUGGUAGAGCGAGCAUCAGGAAAGAGUUUGUUGUUUUUCGCUCUCGGCUUACAUAAUACGGCCUAUACAUUACAUAAUAAUAGUGUCAUGACGGUUUUGGCAGAAGGAUCCGAUGGACCCAAUCUUUACUCCGUACGUACGUUUGCUUCGUCGUCUUCGGUGAAACUUAGCGGAAAAUACUACUCCAUAAAUGAUGUGAUCAAGCAUGAUAAACAUGAUCCAAAUCCACUACACCAAGUCCGAUCAUCACGUGAGAUGGAGUAGCUUCAAUGGUAAACAUCAGCAUGUUGAUCACAUCAUUCAUAUGACUCAUGUUUAACCUUUCGGUUCCUUGUGUUCCGAGGCCAUGUCUGUACAUGCUAGGCUCGUCAAGUUAACCAAAGUAUUCCUGCAUGUGUAAAACUGGCUUACACCCGUUGUAUGCGAACGUAGAGUUUAUAACACCCGAUCAUCACGUGGUGCUUCAAAACGACGAACUUUUGCAACGGUGCAUACUAAGGGAGAACACAUUAUUAUCUUGAUAUUAACAAUGAGGGAUCAUCUUAUAAUGCUACCGUCAACUAAGCAAAAUAAGAUGCAUAAAAGGGAUAAACAUCACAUGCAUAAAUAAUGUGACAUGAUAUGGCCUUCUCUUCGUGUGCCUUUGAUCUCCAUCUCCAAAGCACGGGCAUGAUCUCCAUCAUCACCAGCAUGGCGCCUAGGUCCUCGGGCGUCAUGUAUAGUUGCCUCCACCAACUAUUGCUACUACUAGCGAUAAAGUAAAGCAAUUACAUGGCGAUUAAAUCAUUGACACGAAGGUCAUACAAUAAUUAAUGAGACAACCAUACGGCUCCUGCCGGUUGCCAAACUCAUCGACAUGCAAGUCGUGAAAUAUUACAAAACAUGAUCAUCUCAUACAUCAAAUAUAUUAUAUCAUAUCUUGGCCAUACCACAUCACAUGCCCCUGCAAAAACAAGUUAGACGCUUCUACUUUGUUGUUGCAUGUUUUACGUGGCUUUAGGGGCUGCACUAAAAGAACCGUUCUUACUUACGCAAAAGCCACAACGGUGAUAUACAAAUUGCUUAUUAACCAUAUAGGCCUCCCAUUGCAAAUCAGAUUUCAACUAUAGUGGGAGAGACAGACACCCGCCAGCCGCAUUAUGCAAUACAAGUUGCAUGUUUAUUGCGGAACCGGUCUCUUGUGCGAAGACAAGUAAGGUUGGUCCGAGCCGCUUCAUCCCACUAUCCCGCAAAAUUCGAUAGUGCACAAAAGAGGUAGCAAUAUGAACAUCAACGCCCACAACUAAAUUGUGUUCUACUCGUACAAAACAUCUACGCCUAGAUCUAGCUCUGAUACCACUGUUAGGUUCGUUGCAUAUGAAACAAAAAAUUUCCUACGAGAAGUGCGGAAGAAAACCCAAGAAUAUAUAUACUAGAUGUAUGUAACGAGAGGGAUCAUGAACACCAUACCCUCGUAGACCGCUAAGCGUUACGAUCACGAGAUCGUUGUUGGUGUAGUGGAACUUUCAAUGAGAUCAAUCUCAGUGCCGAACGGACAGCACCUCCUUGGUAUCCACACGUUCAGCUUCACGUUGUCUCCUCCUUCCUCGAUCCAGCAAGCGAGAGGGAGAGGUAGACGAGAUCCCGGCAGCACGACGGCGUGGUGACUAUGGUGAAUAUUCUCACGGGCAGGGCUACGCCGUGCGCGUGAGAAGAGGAGGAGAGGAGGGCUCAGGGGAGAGAGAUCCAACUGAAAGCUUGGGGUGUCUCUCUCCCUUGCCCCCCCUUCUAUUUAUAUAGGGGUAGAGGAGGCGUGGCCGGCCAGGACUAUCCCGUGGCCAGGACUCUCAUGCGGCCAGGACUCUCCCGCGGCCAGGACUCUCCUCCUGGCCGCAUGGGCCCUGUGGGCUAGCCCCUCGGCCCAUUAAGGCCAGGGUGCUCCCUCACAGGCCCAUUUAGCCCAGGGAUAGGUGGGCCUCAAGGUGGAACCCUCCGGAUCCCUCCGGAACCUUCUAGAAGCUUCCCGGUCAAAACCGGGAAAUAUUCCAAACUUUCCAGAACCCUGAAAACAACUUUCCAUAUAUAAAUCUUUAUCUCCGGAACAUUCCGGAGCUCCUCGUUGCGUCUAGGAUCCCAUCCAAGACUCCGAAUCAUAAUUCGAUAUCAUCAUCAUUUAUCUCAUCUAACCCAAGCAACAUGAAACGUUAAGUGUGUGACCCUACGGGUUCGAGAACAUGUGGACAUGAUCAAAUAUCAAUAACCAAUAGCGGGACCUGGAUGUCCAUAAUGGUUCCCACAUAUUCCACGAAGAUCUCAUCGGUUGAACCACUAUGUCGAGGAUUCAAUUAAUCCAGUAUCCAAUUCUCUUUGUCUCGCGAUAUAUUACUUGCCCGAGAUUUGAUCGUCGGUAUCGCCAUACCUAGUUUAAUCUCGUUACCGGCAAGUUCUCUUUACUCGUUCCGUAAUAUAAUACCCCCGCGACUAAACACAUUAGUCGCAUGCUUGCAAGCUCAUUAGGAUGUUAUAUUACCGAGAGGGCCCAGAGAUAUCUCUCCGUCACAAGGAGUGACAAAUCCCAGUCUUGAUCCAUACAACCCAACAAGCACCUUCUGGGAUACCUGAAAAACACCUUUAUGAUCACCCAGUUACGAGAUGACGGUUGAUGCCCACAAAGUAUUCUUCCGGUACUAGGGAGUGGCAUGAUCUCAUGGUCUAAAUAAAUAAUACUUGACAUAAUAAAACAUAAGCAACUUAAACUUAAGUGACACGAUCAAAAGCUAUGUUUAGGUUUGGGUCUGUCCAUCACAUCAUUCUCCUACUGAUAUGAUCUCGUUAUUAAAUGACAACACAUGUCUAUGGUUAGGAAAUCUUAACCAUCUUUAAUCAACGAGCUAAUCUAGUAGAGGCGUAUUAGGGACACGGUAUUUGUUUAUUUAUCCACACAUGUAUUUGAGUUUCCAAUCAAUACAAUUAUAGCAUGGGCAAUAAACAUUUAUCAAGAACAAUGAAAUAUGAUAAUAACAAAUUUAUUAUUGUCUCUAGGGCAUAUUUCCAACACACCCCCCCCCCCCCCCGGCGGCCCUCCGCUCCGUGGCGAGGCGUGGCGGCACGAGCAGAUCCCACCCCGGCGGGCGGCGGCAGCCCUCUGCUCUGUGCCGCGGCCUGGUUCCCGCCCUCGCAAAAAAAAUUCCCUCGCUCCGUGACCUCCGUCCCUCGCCCCGCGUUCUCUAUUUCUCUGCCGAAGUCAAGCGGUCGUGGGUUUGUUUUUGCCUGACCGCUGGAUCUAAAUUGGACGUCAGAUCACAGGGAUAGAGGCGCUUGGGACGUACACGAGUAACUUCACCGAAGCAGGCAGUGAAAUACUGAAAUUAGAGAAGGAUCUCGAUAGAGUGCGUACCAGUGCCUACACGCAUGCCCACACAAGUACUCUUACAACCCUGCAGUCGCUGCCGUGUAACGAUCAGGGAGACAGUGAUGUACGGCGUACCACAACAUAAUUCGUUUAAUUAAUACGUACGUCUGACCGGCCGGACCACAAGCUCGUGGUGACUUGUCAACUGGAGUAUAUCGUCGAUCUAAACUCUAAAGUGUCUCGAUCAGUACCUGCGUUAUUUUCUCAGUCCCGGGUUACAGUAAUCUUGCAUGCAUUUGCGCGCCACAAGGAUGCCUGCGAUCGAGCUCUAAAUGCAUUGAUAUGGUAUAUGUGGAAUGGACCGCAUGGAAAACCCGUACCAGCCAAGCCACCAGCUGAGCUACAGCUUGUUUUUCAGUUGAGACAAAUUAACGCGAUCGCAGGCGGCAUGAUCAGCGCUUAAACUCGAAUUUGGAUACAGUCCAGCCAAGCCGUCCGUAGGUUUAUCUCAUUUGGGAUGCGGAAGCUUAAGUGAUGUGCAGUACGUACGAUACCUCCACACACACACACAAAAAAAAAAACAGACGUGUUGGACCGAUUGAUCAUCCAUGUCCACAGAAACAACAAAGAUCCAGCGGCAGUGCAUGCGUACGUUCGCACCAAGUAUCUCAGUACGUGCAAUCGUGCACGCAUGCACUAGUAGUAUUAUAUUCGAUCUCCUGCCCGGUAAUCAAAGAGUACGUACAGAUGUACGGUAAUCGAACUCUUUAAUGCCUGCGAGCACACACCGAUAUAGUAGAAAAUAGUAUCUUGCUAUAUACUCGAUCUUGCACACACCGUUUGAGUACAGUGUGGAUCGGAAUGGACCGUACAAGAAGCCACCAGCUUGUUUCUUUCUUUUUUUUUGAAGGAACACCAGCUUGUUUCUGAUUUGGGAAGAACGCGUGUGAUCAACACUGGAAUUUAAAAAGAUUCCAGUCUGUAGGUAAACAAACGGAGGGCUCAUAGCCCCUUAAUUUGUUCCUUAAAUUAAAACUUUUGACUAAGCCUUUGAACCAUAAUUAGUCUAUUAAAAUAUAAUUUUUUGAAAUAAAAUUGAUGCUAUUGUAUUCAUAUUUAAGAGUACUUGUUCAUAGUUAUGAUUUGUAUCUUAUAAGUCACACGUCGAUGGAGUAAUACUUGAUCAAACAUUCGGUCAAAGAAAACAAUAUACGUCUUAAUUUAAGGAACGGAGAUCUUAGCCGAAGAGUUUUAAGUCAAACAGCAGCUUGAAUUAUGACGGUCCCAAACGUGUUCUAGCUCAGGGAAAAUGAGAGAGAGGACCAGCCUGUUUUGAGUGGCAGGACUGAGCUAAAAGAUGGGGAAUAAAAGAUCAUUAUCUCUAACACUGUGUUUGGAUGUAUAAGGCCUGAUAUUAGACAUUGGUAUUGGACAAGUACCGAGUACUAUGAUUUGGGUUGUUUGGCUGGUCCAAGUAUUCGAUCCACACAUGGCACAAUUCCGAUGGGUAAGCCUCGACAUCCCUGGGUAUUCGGAACUUUCGGAACUGCUCGACAACACCCGCGUUCAACCCUCGCUCGAAGCAAUUUUCCCUUUUUCCCUGCCUUUUCCGUCCCUCUUCUAGCUCCCGCGCGAGGUUCAAGGCUUCCAGCGGCUGCGGCCCGAGCAGGCAGCAGCAGGGCCCUUCCUCCCUCCUCCUCCUCCUACGGCACCGGCGGUCUUCUCCCGCGACGCCGCAGCCCCGCACCAGACCACCUUGCCCUCCCUUCCCAUCUCUCUCCUCCGCGACCGCCCGUCCCCGCCGCCGCGCCCUCCUCGUCGGCUCGUCGCUCCCGAAGAAGAAGAGGACCGUGCGUACUGCGUAGGUACGGUGGUGCCGCACCAUCUGGAGCGGCGUGCGGCCUAAGGAGCAGCUCCGCCUUCCUCCGACUGGGCACGGCGCCGGCGGCCUCCCGCCCCUCCCUUCCGGCGUUCACCCUCUCAUCUCCCUUCUCUCUGCAGGUUUGCGGGCCAUCUCGACCAAGCUCCUGCCUCCGGCGCAGGUCCUGUUGGAGAUAUGCCCUAGAGGCAACCAUGUGAUGAUGUUAUUUCCUAUGUAUUCAUGAGUUAUUUGUCCUUGAACAUCAUCACUGAUAUGUAUCAAUAAAUACGUGAUUUGUUUGUGAAACUAUGUAUUCUAUGAUGUUGUUCUAAUGGUCCCUGGUCAUUGAGGUUAUGCGGACACAUAACCUAGACUAGCAAUGUGAAUCAGUGUGAUGACUAUGUUUCACAAGUCAUAGCGCAAGGUGUUGCCGACUGAUAGCAUGGACUCGACAAUGAGAUUGUUGAGUCGGACAGACCCGCACUGAGACACAACGAGAUGAUUGUCAUUUGUUAGUCUCAAGUACGAUGUAUAUGCCAGUCCUAGACCUGAGGUCAUCGUAUGAGCUUGGGAUGUGAAUCGGCCUACUUAGGGGUUGCCAAACGCUACUCCGUAACUGGGUGGUUAUAAAGGUAGCUUUCGGGUUCGCUGAGAAGCAUGCUGCGAGUCAUGGUUGAUCAAGAUAGGAUUUGCCCCUCCUGUUCGGAGAGAUAUCUCUGGGCCCUCUCGAGUGAUCAGAUUCGGAAAGCAUGGCCAUGCGACUUGGGUUAAGUGUUAACCCGUUCGGGAAUCUGUAUCACAGGAACGAGAAGAGACUCGAGCUAUCCACAAGGAUGACACGCACUCGCCUUGAGCUCGACACACAUAUCGCGAGGCAAAAGGAAUGUUGCAUAUGACACAUUGUAUGGUUCGUCAAUAUACCUUGUGGUUACUCGGGAGUUGGCACGUGCUGCUAGGCGCCGCUACCAACUAUCGACUUGAGUCGGUGCCAGUGGACGAGCAAGGUGUUACUCGGGCCCGCAGUCCGAGCUCGUAGUCAUGGCCGACUGACCGCGAACCUGAAGGGUCACACGCUUAAGGGGUGGGAACCGAGUUGGAUCGAUCCAACUCGUAUCGGGCUUGGACUCCUAAUGGGCCUCAAGUGUUGAGCCCACUAGGGACGUCUAUAUAAGUGGAGGAGACCAACCCGUCUAGGGUUAACUCCAGUUCAGACGCGAGUUAGACUCGGCCGUCGCACCUCCACGCCCAAAGCCUUGCGAUCGGAUCUAGCAGUCCGCCGCACGGAGUUCCUCCCUGUACGUGUGGAUACCUCGGAGGCGCUGCACCUGCGGCGCUUGGACGAACUGUUCGUGGGAUCGGCGAGGAGGAGCAGGCUGUUCGACUACUCGGCAUCGACGCGCUACAUCGACUCUACUUCCGCUACAGGUCUGCGCGUCUAGUGGUAAUCUCGUGAUCCAUUAUCUACAGCAUUGAUCCGGGCGGAAGCGGUAGAAAAUUUUAUUUUGUGCUAGCGUAGCAUACCGCGUUCCCCAACAGUGGUAUCAGAGCCGAUGCUGUCUGUUUUGGAUUCGAAUUGCGUGCAUAAGUGUUAUGCGGUUAGUAGUAGAUGUGAUCUAUUGCUAUCUUGGUGGUCGAUCUAAGUGUUAGAUCGGUUUUGUACUCAAUCGAUUGGAUCGAUUGUACUCGGGGAUCAUGGAUAUUCGAUUCUGAUAAUCGUGAUGUAGAAGGUCGUGACACAACAUACUCCUACCGGUCGGAUUUCCGCCAUCGGAGUAGACAGUGAAACAUAAAUCCGGAUACAAUUCAUGAGAUCAAUGCGAUUGAUCGAAUCGGAAUAGAAAUCCAUGAAGGAAAUUUCGGAUUGGAUCGGGGGACCGCCGUGCUAUCUAUUCGUAGCGCCUUAGUUGUCGUUGCGAGUUCACAUCAAUUCGGUAGAAUAGGUUUGUACGCUUAACUUGUUUUUGCAGGAUUGAUGUGAAUAGUAUGGCUCAUAUGUAUGUGAUACAUGUGUGUAAUAUUUGCAUGACCUGCGUGUCAUGAGUUUGUCAGCCAGGCUGGAGCCAAGGUGCUGUCUUUAUAAUUGUAUAACGACCUGCGUGUCGACAUUUGAUGUCAUUCUCCAUGUAAAUUCUUUGCUAGAUACUAGGUGUAGUCAUUUAGUAUGAAUUGGAGGACGUGAGCACCAUGGCGGCUUGAUGAACAGGUUCAUGGAGAUGGAGAUCACCAUGAAGAACAGAGCCAUACUAUUUCACAUGUUAAUUUGAUUAUCUGUGAUGGUUAUUGCUUUGUUUACUCCUAUGCAUGUUAUUGUGUUAGAGUAGAAUGAUCCCUCAAAGAAUGUCAAGUUUAUUUACCUCCCCAAUAGCUGCAACACCACAAGACAAGUACAUUUGGUGAUGGGCUCAUGAAAUUGGGGUAUCACCAUUUUUCCUUGUCGUUGGUGAUGUUCGUGUCGGACACUUACAUGCGAAGCUUUGGUUAACUUGACGGGGCUAUCAAAACGGUUUUGGGCCUCGAGGUGAAAGGAGUCGGAGCCGGGGCAAGUGUUGCCUACCGACUAACAAGAGUCGUAUAGAGAUACGAUUGGCAAGAGUUGCCUACCGAGUGAUUCAAUCGGCUAGCAGUGAUGCUAAAGCUCACUAGACGAUUGGUUGAUCUUGGAUCUUGAAUCACUAAUGAUCAAUGGAGGGAUGUUGAUUUUAGUGGGAGUAUAUUUCUAUUAAAUUGUUUAAUAUGAAUUACUCUUCAUGAAUACUUGUCUUAGUGUUUUUGCAUUUUCUGUUGUAGAUCAAUGGCACCACCUCAAUUGUCCAGUUUUGCUUUGAGAUCUGUUCUUGAGAAAGAUAAACUAAAUGGAACUAACUUCACCAACUGGUAUCGGAACCUGAGAAUCGUUCUCAGGCACGAUAAGAAAGAAAGAAAGAACAUGUCAUAGAGAACCCACUUCCAGAGGAGCCGGCUGAUAAUGCCACUGCUGCUGUUAGAAACGCCUAUCAACGCUCAUGUGAUGAGUCGAUUGAGAUCAGCUGUCUGAUGCUUGCCUAUAUGGAGCCCGAACUGCAGCAGCAGUUUGAGAAUGUUGAGGCUUUCGAUAUGAUCGAGACUCUCAAAGGCAUGUUUCAGACUCAGGCUAGGACCGAAAGAUUUAAUGUCUAAAGGUCCUUCCUGGAGACUAAGCUGAAAGAAGGCGAACCCUUGAGCCCACAUGUAAUCAAGUUGGUUGGUUACACGCAAAGCUUGGAGAAGCUGGGCUUUCCGCUGAGCCAAGAGUUGGCCACGGAUACAAUUCUGGCAUCUCUUCCGCCAAGCUAUGCGCAGUUCGUUCAGAACUACCAUAUGCAUGGCAUGGAAAAGAAAGUCACUGAAUUGCAUGGGAUGCUUAAAACAGCAGAGGAGGAUAUCAAGAAAAAUACCAAGCAAGUGUUGCUGGUACAGGGAAAGCCAAAGUUCAAGAAAAAUUCUUGGGCUAAGAAGAAGGCAAAGAAGGGAAAGGCUAAGGAUGUGAUCCCGACCCCUGCCCCUGCUGCGCCUAAGGCUGGACCGGACUCAGAGACCGUAUGCUUUUUCUGCAAAGGCACCGGUCAUUGGAAGAGGAACUGCAGCAAGUACCAGGCCCACGUGGCAAAGAAGGGUGGAAGUGUGACUUCUACUUCAGGUACGGUUGUUGUAUAUGUUAUAGACAUUUAUCUUGCUGAUGCACCUAACAGCUCUUGGGUAUUGGAUACCGGAUCGGUUGUUCACAUUUGCAACUCGAUGCAGGGGCUGGCAAGGACUAGGAGCGUCGCAAGUGGAGAGGUUGACAUAAGGGUUGGCAAUAAAGCAAGAGUUGCAGCGUUGCCCGCCGGGACUAUGCAACUUCAUUUACCUUCUGGAUUUGUUAUGGAAUUAGAUAAUUGUUAUUAUGUUCCUGCUUUAAGUCGAAACAUUAUAUCUGUCUCAAAGUUGUUGAGUCACGGUUAUGAAUUCAAUAUUAAGGGCAAUGGUUGUUCUUUUUAUUUGAAGGAUAUGUUUUACGGCUUUGCACCUGUUGCGAACGGGUUAUUCAUCCUUAGUCUUGAAGGAGAAUCUGUCUAUAACAUUAAUGUCAAGAGGCGCAAGCCUAACGAUCUGAAUCAAACCUAUUUUUGGCAUUGUCGUUUGGGUCACAUAAGUGACAAACGCAUGAAGAAGCUCCAUGGAGAUGGACUUUUAACAUCGUUUGAUUAUGAAUCAUUCGAGACAUGCGAGUCUUGUCUACUAGGCAAGAUGACCAAAUCGCCUUUUGCAAAGAGUUGCGAGAGGGCGACCGACUUGUUGGAACUCAUACAUACUGAUGUGUGUGGACCAAUGAGCACGACAGCUAGAGGAGGUUAUCAAUACUUCAUAACAUUCACUGAUGAUUUGAGUAGAUAUGGAUAUGUCUACUUAAUGAAACAUAAGUCGGAAACCUUUGAAAAGUUCAAGGAGUUCCAGAAUGAAGUAGAGAACCAACGUGGCAAGAAAAUAAAACUUCUACGAUCUGAUCGUGGAGGCGAGUACUUGAGUCACGAGUUCGACGAUCAUCUGAAGAGUUGUGGAAUUGUUCCACAGCUCACACCGCCGGGUACACCACAAAGAAAUGGUGUGUCGGAAAGGCGGAACCGGACCUUGUUGGACAUGGUUCGGUCGAUGAUGAGUCAGUCAGAUCUUCCCUUGUCAUUUUGGGGUUAUGCUCUAGAAACCGCAGCGUUCACACUAAACAGAGUACCAUCCAAGUCCGUAGAUAAGACACCAUAUGAGAUAUGGACUGGAAAGCGUCCCAGUUUGUCUUUUCUAAAGAUUUGGGGCUGUGAUGCAUUUGUCAAACGACUUCAGUCGGACAAGCUCACUCCCAAAUCAGACAAGUGCAUAUUCGUGGGAUAUCCAAGGGAAACCUUAGGAUAUUACUUCUACAACCGGGCAGAGGGCAAAGUGUUUGUCGCUCGAAACGGUGUCUUCCUUGAGAAAGAGUUUCUCAGUCGGGAGGCAAGUGGGAGGUCAGUGCAACUCGAAGAAGUUCGAGAUGAGCCAGUAGGGGAUAACUUGACAGGUGAUGUCAGUGUGACUGAGCCAGUCGUCGUACCCACGGCCAAUACAGCACCGUAUCCACGAAGGUCGGAAAGACUAUGUAAUAUACGCAAUGUGUUGUUGCUAGACAAUGACGAGCCGACUAAUUAUGCAGAAGCGAUGGUGGGUCCAGAGUCCGAGUUAUGGCUUGAGGCCAUGAGAUCCGAAUUAAAGUCCAUGGAUGAAAACCGAGUUUGGAACUUGGUAGAUCCGCCAGAGGGUGUAAAAACCAUUGAGUGCAAAUGGAUAUUUAAAAGAAAAACUGAUAUGGAUGGAAAUGUUCAAAUCCAUAAAGCUCGACUUGUCGCAAAGGGUUUUCGACAAGUUCAAGGAGUUGACUACGACGAGACUUUCUCGCCGGUAGCGAUGCUUAAAUCAGUUCGGAUCAUUCUAGCUAUUGCUGCAUAUUUCGAUUACGAGAUAUGGCAAAUGGAUGUCAAAACGGCUUUCCUUAACGGAAAUUUAACCGAGGACGUGUAUAUGAUACAGCCCGAGGGUUUUGUCGAUCCAAAGAAUGCUGGAAAAAUAUGCAAACUUCAGAAAUCCAUCUAUGGAUUGAAGCAAGCAUCUCGGAGCUGGAACAUUCGUUUUGAUGAAGUAGUCAAAGGGUUUGGCUUCAUCAAAAAUGAAGAAGAACCUUGUGUAUACAAGAAGUUUAGUGCAAACUCAGUCGUAUUUCUAAUCUUAUAUGUGGAUGACAUAUUAUUGAUUGGAAAUGACAUUCCGAUGCUAGAAGCCGCCAAGGACUCAUUGAAGAAAAGUUUUUCAAUGAAGGACUUGGGAGAAGCGGCUUAUAUUUUGGGAAUCAGGAUCUAUAGAGAUAGAUCAAGGAGGCUUAUUGGUUUAAGCCAGAGUACAUAUGUUGACAAAGUGUUGAAGAGGUUCAACAUGAAUGACGCAAAGAAAGGGUUCUUGCCCAUGUCGCAUGGUAUAAGUCUAAGCAAGACUCAGAGUCCUUCGACUUCUGAUGAGCGAAGUCGGAUGAGUGCGAUUCCGUAUGCUUCGGCGGUCGGAUCCAUCAUGUACGCCAUGUUAUGUACUCGACCGGAUGUUUCCUAUGCUCUAAGUGUUACGAGCAGGUAUCAGGCUGACCCCGGUGAGAGUCACUGGACAGCGGUGAAGAAUAUCCUUAAGUACUUGAGAAGGACUAAGGAUAUGUUUUUGGUUUACGGUGGUGAGGAUGAGCUCGUUGUAAAGGGUUACACCGAUGCUAGUUUCCAAACCGACAAGGACGAUUAUCGAUCACAAUCUGGAUACGUGUUCGUCUUGAACGGAGGUGCGGUGAGCUGGAAGAGCUCUAAGCAAGAAACGGUGGCCGACUCUACAACAGAAGCUGAGUAUAUCGCGGCUUCGGAAGCCGCGAAAGAAGGCGUUUGGAUCAGAAAGUUUGUUUCUGAGCUUGGAGUGGUUCAGGGCGCGUCCAAUCCCAUGGACCUCUACUGUGACAACAGUGGUGCUAUCGCACAAGCCAAAGAACCACGACAUCACCAAAAAUCCAAACACAUACUCAGGCGUUACCAUCUCAUACGGGAAUUCGUGGAGAGAGGUGACGUUAAGAUAUGCAAGGUACACACGGAUCUCAAUAUUGCCGAUCCGUUGACAAAGCCUCUCCCGCAACCAAAGCAUGAGGCGCACACACGAGCCAUGGAUAUGCGAUACUUGGAUGAUCGACUCUAGUGCAAGUGGGAGACUGUUGGAGAUAUGCCCUAGAGGCAAUCAUGUGAUGAUGUUAUUUCCUAUGUAUUCAUGAGUUAUUUGUCCUUGAACAUCAUCACUGAUAUGUAUCAAUAAAUACGUGAUUUGUUUGUGAAACUAUGUAUUCUAUGAUGUUGUUCUAAUGGUCCCUGGUCAUUGAGGUUAUGCGGACACAUAACCUAGACUAGCAAUGUGAAUCAGUGUGAUGACUAUGUUUCACAAGUCAUAGCGCAAGGUGUUGCCGACUGAUAGCAUGGACUCGACAAUGAGAUUGUUGAGUCGGACAGACCCGCACUGAGACACAACGAGAUGAUUGUCAUUUGUUAGUCUCAAGUACGAUGUAUAUGCCAGUCCUAGACCUGAGGUCAUCGUAUGAGCUUGGGAUGUGAAUCGGCCUACUUAGGGGUUGCCAAACGCUACUCCGUAACUGGGUGGUUAUAAAGGUAGCUUUCGGGUUUGCUGAGAAGCAUGCUGCGAGUCAUGGUUGAUCAAGAUGGGAUUUGCCCCUCCUGUUCGGAGAGAUAUCUCUGGGCCCUCUCGAGUGAUCAGAUUCGGAAAGCAUGGCCAUGCGACUUGGGUUAAGUGUUAACCCGUUCGGGAAUCUGUAUCACAGGAACGAGAAGAGACUCGAGCUAUCCACAAGGAUGACACGCACUCGCCUUGAGCUCGACACACAUAUCGCGAGGCAAAAGGAAUGUUGCAUAUGACACAUUGUAUGGUUCGUCAAUAUACCUUGUGGUUACUCGGGAGUUGGCACGUGCUGCUAGGCGCCGCUACCAACUAUCGACUUGAGUCGGUGCCAGUGGACGAGCAAGGUGUUACUCGGGCCCGCAGUCCGAGCUCGUAGUCGUGGCCGACUGACCGCGAACCUGAAGGGUCACACGCUUAAGGGGUGGGAACCGAGUUGGAUCGGAUCCAACUCGUAUCGGGCUUGGACUCCUAAUGGGCCUCAAGUGUUGAGCCCACUAGGGACGUCUAUAUAAGUGGAGGAGACCAACCCGUCUAGGGUUAACUCCAGUUCAGACGCGAGUUAGACUCGGCCGUCGCACCUCCACGCCCAAAGCCUUGCGAUCGGAUCUAGCAGUCCGCCGCACGGAGUUCCUCCCUGUACGUGUGGAUACCUCGGAGGCGCUGCACCUGCGGCGCUUGGACGAACUGUUCGUGGGAUCGGCGAGGAGGAGCAGGCUGUUCGACUACUCGGCAUCGACGCGCUACAUCGACUCUACUUCCGCUACGGGUCUGCGCGUCUAGUGGUAAUCUCGUGAUCCAUUAUCUACAGCAUUGAUCCGGGCGGAAGCGGUAGAAAAUUUUAUUUUGUGCUAGCGUAGCAUACCGCGUUCCCGAACAGGUCCAACAUCGUGUGCUGAGCAAGCAAAUUUGGAUUCCGGCCACGAUGAUUAAUUCUUCUCAUCUCACUGUUAGUCUGUUCUUCUGUCUUCUCUCUGACCUGACCACCCUCUAUCUCUCUUUUCUACCUACAAUGUUGUGGCUACAAUGUCAAGAUUACGGCGUUGUGUAUAUUUUCCAAUGUAUUUUUCAUUUUUUAUUGUCAUGUGAUAUAUAUAGUUAUUCAAAUAUAUUUCAAAUGUUAUAUGGAUUUUGAAAUAUGCAUAAAAACAGUAUAUCAAUCAUACUCGGACAACUGCAAUUGAUCGCUUUGACCAUCCAAACAAGAUUUGUCAUUCAAUCUUAAUAUCAAGUUUGGGUUCCGAAUACCGAAUAUCCAAACAAAAGUAUUGGCAUUCAAUGUCAAUAUCAAUAUCCUGUGAUGUUGACAUUGGAGCAAAUGCACAAUGUCAAGCCUCUCAAUAUCUACAUCUAAACAAAGCUAAGAUCUCGAGGAGACGAUGACGAUGAUGAGAUAAGGUGUGCGGUGAUGAUCCAUGCGUCUAGGAGCUAGCAGCUACGUCCUUGCAGAUAUCACAACCAAAUGUUGACCGGAUCCCAAGAUAUUUGCCCAUAUCUUGCGCAAAUGAUAGAAAAACCAAAUGCAAGCGUCGGUCCGUACCGGAUAAUAAAUAAUUUUGUCCGGCACAUCACUUUUAUCAGUUUUAUUUCAACAUAGGGAGUUGCCUCUGUUUAAGCUGAACUUCGGGUCAUUUCUCACGCCGAGAAGGAGAAUGCAGUCCAGAUUCAGUAGUACAAAUCCAUUUGUCUGCUUAAUGUUAGGUUAAAAAAAAUUCAAGAAAGUAAAUACGAAUCGCAUCAUCGGGAUAGCUCAAGCAGUGAUUCGGUCUACUCAAACGGCCUAUAUGCCUGACCGUCAUGUUCUAGACGGGUGGUUGUCCUUCACGAGACUAUUGAAUAAACUUCACUUGAAGAAAAGAGUGAAUUCCAUUUUUUUACCCCCUCUUUGAAACUUUUUGACACAAUCUACCCCAUUUAAGGGAAUUUCCAAAAUUGUACCCCAUUUAACCAAACCUUUGCCACCAAUUACCCUUUUAAUAUUUUCCCCCAAAUCUGACGUUUUCUGACGAGCGGGGCCCACUUUUCAGGCCUACGUGGCGUGCCACGCUGGCCUUCGGGGCCAAACCAGCCCGGUUCAGUUCGUGCGGUUCUGUCCGGUUGGGGUCUGACAUGGGCUUCAGUGGGUUCUGCCCGGUUCUUUCUUUCUCUGUAUCUCGCUCAUAACUCUUUCUCCCUCAUCUCUGUCUGUCUCCCACGGGUUAGGGUUUAGGCUGCGGCGACGGCGGCGGCGACGGAAGCAACCGCGACCUGUCGGCGGAGAAAGCGGCCACCACGGGUGCUAAGCCGGGUUCGACUCGGUGUUUCUCCGGGCCUGCGCUCAGAUGGCGUCGCCGGCGAAACGGAAGGCAGUGGGAGUGGCGAUUCCGAAGCUCCCCGUAUAUUCCGGGAAUUGCGAUUCUUCGUGGAAGGUAUGUUCAUCCGCCUCGUUUCCUUUCCGUUUCCAUCUCCUUAACGUCUUUCAUCUGUGAUUUCAUUGGUGAUUUGGGGAUAUAUUGUGGUCACAAAGAUAGGACUGAUGCGUAUCAUUGGAUUUUGGGGUUUCUCAAAAUUUAUUCCUGCUGGUGCAGCGUUUAAUUUGUGGUGUGGUUAAUGUACUUUUCAUAUCAGGAAAUUGUGGGCUCAAGCAAGUUCUCCCUUGUCAGUGGGUGCCGCUGGAAGGAACAGAGGAGAAGAUGGAUGCAAUCGACAGGAACUGCUCACGUUGGGCACUUUUGGAUGCAAUCCUGGAAGCAUUUUGUGAUGAAAAUGUAUGAAAUGUAUGCACUGUUGUACAUGGGCUGAUAUGUUGUACCAAAUUUUGCCUCAAAUGCAAUGAAAAUAUACGGGCUGAUAUAUAUGGUGAAGUGAAUUUUGUAUGGUUGCCAGAAAACCGAACCGGCACCUGACCUGAACCGGGCCGGUUCGGCCCCGAAGGUCAGCGUGGCACGCCACGUAGGACUGAAAAGUGGGCCCCGCUCGUCAGGAAACGUCAGAUUUGGCGGAAAAUAUUAAAAGGGGUAAUUAGUGGCAAAGGUUUGGUUAAAUGGGAUAUAAUUUUGGAAAUUCUCUUAAAUGGGAUAGAUUGUGUCAAAAAGUUUCAUAGAGCGGGUAAAAAAUGAAAUUCACUCUGAAGAAAAUGGAUGGCACUUUCUCACUAAAACUAGCAAUGAGGAAGAAGCAGGUCUAGCUCAAGGCUCCAGCUAGCUCAAGCCUCUUUGAUUUACAAGAUUGGAAAAAUCGGAGGAAUAGAAGGAAAAAAAUGUAGAAAUGCAAUGUGAUGUUUCACUACCAGGGUCACAGAGCUUAGUGAUGGUGAUUUAUUUUUGUGUCGGGCACCAGAAUGACUGUCAUGAAAAUAAUAAUUGUGACAGGCUACUACUGACACCAAAUUAUUAAUUUUUGUGGCGGGCCUUGACACUACCGACAGAAAAUAAAAUAUAUUGUGGCAGUUGGAAUCCGACACAUUUUCAUGCCGGUUCACCAUUACACAAAACACACAUUUGUGACGGUUAUGAUGUACCCAUCACAAAAAUAACAACGUCCCAAAUAUUGUUUUUAUCACUUUUGUGAACCAAAUACCAUAAGUCUGCUCUACUCUCAAAAUAUCUGAACAUUCAUAGGACUAUAUUUUGUAGACACGAAUUAUAUUUCUGUCGGCUUUUGGUUAUUUCUGAAGGUUUAGCACCGUCACUGUACUCUGUGAUCCUGUUAGUUUGAUUGCCUGAAAUUUUGUUCGAAUAUUGUAGGGAAAGCAAAGGAUUUCUCCCAAGAAAUGUAGUACUCCCUCAACGACAAGAAUUUGGGAUAGGAGGAAGUUCUUAGGAAAAUUUAGUAUAGGAUAUAAUCCUACGAAUCAAAGGACUCAUGUAGGAAAAAUUCCUAAUGAUUCUAUAUCAAAGCGUGCGUCGAUUUUGUGUUUGUUAGUCUCUGACCUAUAUAUGUCGGCUGACGGCAAGGACCCAGCGUCCGACCGAGCCGCGCGGGCAAGAGCCAUCUUGUGUACACUCCAGGUGAGCAGUCGUGCAUCUCAAAAGAAAAGAGACCCGGGACAGUUGUGUUGCCCCGGGUUUGCACUGUUGUACACGGCCGGGUCGUACUUUUUAGAAUGUCUCCGUGUGCAUAUCGAGCGUUUUACUUUCUUUUUUUUAGAAUCUCCUGUAACUUUAUUCAAACUCAAAACAUUACGGGUACAGUGCUUCGGAUCAUGGACAAAAGAAACUACAAAGUAACCCCUAUGAGUAAGAAUUACAAUGAAAUCUUUUGAAAACAUAUUCUCCGUAGCAUCAAUUUUUGCAACACGAAAUACUCUUCAUACUUUAGCAAAAGAACUGCAAUUAGACUGGAGUGGCAACAUCGCCACUCGUAACCCUGCACGAAUUUGAUUAUCUUUAAAGGUUUCAGAAAGCCCCUUGAGUCGUCCAUCUAAAAAGAUGAGAAGCCGUGAGCAUUGAACAUACUUGGGCCGGGGUUGAUCCCACAUGAUCUUCACGAAAACGCCAGAGAAAGACUCCAAAGUCACCAAAGUAUCAUGACACACUGACAAAAACUCAUCAAAUCCGUAUGAACAGCUCUGCGAGGACAUAAACUCAAAAUCCGCGUGAUCGGACACAUCGAAUCCGCGGUGAGUAAAACUUUUUGGCCCCGUGGCACUGCGCAAUAAGGCACCGCCGCAGCAGAGGAAAAACCAGAAUACCUUUAUUCUCGACGGCAUCGCACCCUCCGUCGUAACGUUGCCGAUGAAGAUCACAAGACUCGUAAUAGUAAAAACUUCUAAAAACACCCGGUAAUACCCGAGAUUCCCCCCACCUCGCAGCGCCAAGAUGGCGACAGGAGGUGAGGGGAACCGGUGAAUCCGGACGGUGCUCUACCUCAAAACUCUAAGUUUUCUCCCUCUCCUUCUCCCUGGCGGCGAUAGCGUACCUAACGUUUUACUCCCUCUGAUUCUAAAUUCUUGACUCAACUUUGCCAAAAUAUAAAUGUAUUUAUUAUUAAAAAGCGUCUAGAUACAUGUAAUAUUUCGACAACAAUUUAGGAUCGGAGGGAGUACUUUUUUUCCUUCCUUUCUUUGCCUCCGUGGGCUUCUUUUCUGUUUUUCUUUUUGGGCCGUGUCCCACCUGGCCCAUAUCUUAGCCACUGCCUCACCGAGCCCAACCGCUCGCUAGUCACGCAUGGUGGCCACGUUCCCCCUCUGCUAAAAAAAAACUUCGUGAGAACUGAUCAACUGAAGCACGAACUCCAUUCAAUCCUUUCCUCAAAAAAAAAAAACUCCAUUCAAUCCUCUAGAUUCCCAAUUGAAGCCCGCCAAAGAAAACCCCAUUCGCUCCUGAAUUGGUACCGCGAGUGGGAUGGCGUUGAUUCGCUGUGGAAUACCGGCAGCGGGCGGCGGUUGCUAGUCUGGGGCGAUUCGGCGGGCCUGGAGCAAGAGCCGGCGGAGCAAGGGCGGGCCACGGGUGCAGGAGCAGGAGCCGGCGGGGGUGAGGGCGAGCUGGGUCUGCGGCGAUUCCCGGAGGUUGCUGCUGUGAACGGCGACUCCGGCAGGGAGUUUUUGGCGGCAGGCGGCGGCAGAGAUUUCCGCCGGUUGAGGACGACGGCCCGGAUCGAGGCGUGUCCGAGAUCAGCCCACUUGGGAUCGAUUCCGGGUCGACUGAUUGGGCAUCUGAAAUAGGAACCCGCGGGCCGACCCUGGGCCGGAACCAACGGCGGCGGCGGGCCGGCCCGGUCUCUUCAACGCGCGUGUGUCGGCGGUGCGGGUCAAGUUUAUUUUUUUCUGAAUUACCUCUUUCAUAAUCUCGCAGCUUUUCUUCACGAGCGUAGAUGGCCAAUGGCCGGGCGGACGACAUUGUAGCGAGAGUCGUGUUUUCUUUUGAUUAAAGAUGGCAUUUUCUCCGAUUUCAUUAAAAGAAACAAUAUGUCUGUUAUAUAAAAUAAAUAAGUCCAAUUUUAAGAGCUACACUAAGCAAACAGCAAGAAGGCUACCCCUACAUUAUUCCCCUACACAUUGUUGUGCUCAGCAAACAAGACACUCUUCCUCGUCCAGCGAUACAGAGAAUAUGCAACAGGCCUACAGAUUUUGUCAACGGCCCUAACCUUGAGAUCGACAGAAGACCUCACAUGUGACUUGCCACAGUCUGCGGGAGCAUUUGCGAAGCGGUUCUCAAGUGGCGGGCUUAUGAAAACCAGCCCAAAGAUGAAUAAUAGAGCAGAUGUUAAAAUCACUACCGGAGGAUCAUAAGGUAACUUAUUCUUAAAACAAGCAUCCUUCCUUGUCUUCCAAAGAGUCCAAAGAACGGCUGCAACUCCAACUACCACGAGGUUUUCAACUUUCUUGCCAAACUAAAUCAGCCAACAAUAAAGCAAGUCCUAAAUAGAGACUGGAUCUACAACAACAUUAAAGCUAACUUGUACAGCAUUCCAGACAUAUCUUGCCAAGACAGCAUGAAAAGAACAAGUGGUCGAUGGAUUCUGUCUAGACCAGAAGGCACAUCUCUCUUCCCCCUCCCACCCUUGAGAUUUCAAUACAUCUAUGGUAAGUACACUACCUCUGUAGACCAGCCAAAGGAACACCAUAAUUUUCAGAGGCAUUUCUACUCUCCAGAGAAAGAAGUAUGGAAAUCGAACAUGGGACCGUUCAGUGCUCUGUACAUCGAGCCUACUAAAAAUCUCCCCUGGCAUCAGGUUUCCAAUACAGCUUGUAAUCUCCCCCGGUUAUCAUGUACCGAGUGUCGGUACACGAGGUUUUAUCAGGUUCGACUCUCCACGUGGAGAUAAAGAUCUACAUCUUGUUUGAUUGCAUUGAUCUUGAUUGUAGCGAUUACAAGCUGUGAUUCUUGUGUAGGCUCGGAAUCUAAUUCUAUGAUCUAUUGUCGAUUGUAAUAAGCUAUAAAAUUGUGUGCCUCGGGGCAGCCCCUGAUGGCCUUAUAUACUUGGCCAAUCUAGCUUACAAGUAGAAUUCCUAGCGGGACUCAACAAGAUGCUUGUGAUGGGGUAAUGGAACUAUAUAUUAUGAUCAAGGGCGGAGCUAGAGGAAAAAGCAUCCGAGUGCACUCUUUAAAGUUCAAUACUUCCUGGGACGCCUAGACAGCUUGGCCUGAUGCACACUUCCUAAUAAUCCCUAGUGCACUAGCUAAUUGCAGGGUAUAGUUAGCAUUAGAAAUUUUGUUUGACCCCUGGUGCAUGUGACCUAGGGAGCCAACAAGUAGGUCCGCCCCUGAUUAUGAUAACCCUAAACUGUCUUCAUAUGUUACAUUACACUCUCAAAAGUUGCAAUCAUGUUUUGUCUUUUAUCUAUUUAAAUAAACACUCAAAUCCAUGUUUUGUUUAUCGUCUUUAUGCUCGAGGAUAAGUAUAGACUAAGUUUGGGGGCGUUGAUUAUGUAAAAUGCAUACAUGAACUUUGACGUUUAUAAUGCCAUAUUCCAUCAUAAUUGUAUCGCAUUAUGAGUUAUUACCAUGGUUUUCAAUGAUUUGGGAAACUUCCCAUGAGUUCUCAUUAUUUUGAUAUUUAAUUAUGGAAAGAAGGAAAACCUCUUUUAAGUGUUUUUAACAUUCUAGGAGCUACGGGACUCGAAAAAGGGCACGAUCAGUGGCCACGGUUCAGAAAUUUUGAGAUGCCUCCAGCAAGUCAAAGCAGGCCAUCAGGGUAUCAACAGAAUGCAAAUGGGGCCCCACGGUGCACACCCCCUCCAGGCGCGACGUGCGGCCCACCACGGCCUUCCCUGCCCCUUUUGCCUUCGCUCAUUCGUGUGCAGCUUUGUCUUGACCUAAAACCAUCCAUAUAUACCCCCAAUAAAUUUAAUUCGUGACAUACGGCGACGAAGAGAGGAAACACAAUAACAGAGAUCUACAGGUAAAGACAUGUUUUCCCUCGGAGCUUUUCAUCUCUUAUAAGCAAACACACACACGCCACGAGCUUGACCUCUUGAAGCAUAGAGGAUUGGGCUUUCUCUGAAAAGAGUCACUUUUGUUUACAUUUUACUUGCUUUACUUUACUACACUUUAAAUUCCUCUACUCUAGUAGUUUAUUUCUACAAGUUAAAGAAACCUUGCAUCCGUUAAUUUAUUGGAUCGCAUAAACGGCCGUAUAAGUGGCUUAUAAAUAAUUAGAGAAUAGAUAGUUACCUUCUGCUCCUUGUGGGUUCGACACCAGUACUUAUCAAAAGGUACUACAUUGAUUCCUACACUCGUGUGGGUAUCAAUAUUCUACAUAUACAAAUUUGUGAUUUUAUGCACAAAACACAAAUCAAGUGUAUAUUUUGACGAAAUUACAAAGUGUAAAAUACAUUUAUACUUACACUAGAAAAAGAAUCAAAGCUUCACAAUAUGAUUUUUUUUCAAAUUAUAGGGACCGUGUAGCCAGGAGCCAAAAGUCCAUGUCCGAAGGAAAACUACUUCUCUCUCUACCCAAACGUAUAGAAGAAAACCUUGAGCUUCCAGACAUGGUCGCAUCAUCUCUUCCAUGUCUUCGAAAGCUCUUUAGAGCAUCAUAUCUUCCAUGUCUUCCAACUCUUUGGUCGUCGAGCCAAGUGGAGUUGGGCUGUCUGUUUCGGCGAGAGCAUAUCAGGUGCACCAAGCCCAUUGGUGCACCCGUACGUUGAAGCAACCAGAGCCGCCAUAUGGAAAAUGAAGGGUCCAGAUCAAAACAACGAAGGAAUUCACAUGUUUUAUGUUUAGUCCCUUAAGUUAGUUGUGAAUCAACUCGCGCUCCACUGCUCGUUAGUGUUUCUUGGACUUGGGGGUGGAUUUAAAUAGAACUGAAGGGUGUGAAUGGAAAAGAACACUAUAGAAGAGUGGAGCAUAGGUUGAUUCGCGAUAAACUUAAGGGCCUAGAUGUAAAACGACAAUUGGUUAUGUUUGAUCUAAACUUGGCCCUUGCUUUUCCAUCCAACGGUCCAUGUGGAUUGGACACACAGGGUGCACCAAAUGUCCCAGUGCACCUGAUACGCCCUCCUAUUUCGGCAACUAUACACGUGUCCAAGACUGUCAAGAAACCCGGUCUACUCCCUCAUAAUUGCAUUUAAAUCUAUGAGCUGGCUGAUGACAACUAGCGAAUCAUUGUGCCAUCUGUUGAUUUUUCAAAUCGCUUUGAUCUAUUUGACGAUCUUGGGAACGAUUGUACAAAAGCAAAUGUUCCCCUUGGUAGAAAGAAACGCCUGGUUAAAUUUCCACCAAACCGUCCUCUCUCGGCUAGUACUUAUGCAUUUGUCCUCGAAUUUGGCUUAAAUAGGGUUCUCCAAAUUAUCCGCAACAUCCGUAAGUUUUGUUCUCUCGCAUGCCCUUUCAUGUUUGUGUUGAAAGUUUUGGGAGAGAUGGAUUUAGACUACUUGAAUUCCAGCUUUGUGCAUGAUUUGGUUGUGUUUAUUAUUAUCUUCUCACAUAGAUCUAAUAUGUCCUCUGCGUUUCGUAGGAUCGUGAAGCAGGUUGGGAAGCCCGUUGACGUUGUAGAAAGACAUCAUAUCUUCGUUCUGAGUUCAGAGGUGAGAACUUUGUUCCGAUAUGUUUUUCACGUUAUGUUCUUGUAAUAUAGAUCUGAUGUCGCUUUAGUUCUUUGUUAUAUCAAUACAAGGUAAAUUUGCACUUAUCAAAAGGAAGAUGAACUACCAAGUUCUAGUGCAAACUCUCUUUUGGUCCUUCGUUCAUGCAAAUUUACGUGUUUAAUUUCUCGCCCUUGAUAUGCAACAAUUGGUUGGGAAAGGAUAAAACCUGAUAGAUGAGUCCUUCAAGAGCGCCUAGGAUUCAUGAAUGAAAUUGGUCUAAACGUCUCGUUUUCAUCGACUUAUUCAUUAUUCAUCUAAGGAUAAACAAACUUGUGAUGAUGCUUUGCCAUUGUUUGGUUGAUUGGAUUUGAUCUAUGUAAUAUGGUUCCUAGGUUCUUGUCUGAGUGAAGAUAAUCAAGUGGAAAACUAGACAGUUUACAUCCUGUAACUACUAAAUUGAUUCAAAAUCACCCACAAGAUUGUGUCAUGUAGUAUUUUUGUCAUGCUUGCAGUUACAAUCAUUUGAUUUUUAUGGUGCGGAUCAUUACGUACAUUGUGGUCAACAAUCCUUGUAUGCACACCAGCACACUUGCCCAUGUAAUCAUUUAAGACCAUUGAAUGUGCAAGCUGAAGAUAAAUAUAUUUUGAAUUUGGUGAUAUUUUAUAAAUUUGAUGAACUUUUCCUCCUUGGAAUAGCACACAAGUUGUUUUGAAGUCCUUGCAUAUCAGAAUUCAGAACACAUGGAGUAAACUAGAAAUAAGAUGAGACUGUAAAGUUGUUUUCUUGAGAAAAGCUAAUGCCCAUGAGUUAUGAAAAAGAAAAACUAUUCCAGUGUUUAGCCAUUAUUUAUGCAAAUUCAUAGGUGUUUAAUUAUUUCAUUGAUCAGCGUAUGAUUUAAAAUAUUUUUUAGGUGAGGAUUGAUUGCAAAGAUUAAACCCACAACACACUCCCAAUUAAAUAAAAUUAUUGUGCAUUAUUAUAUUAAUUGUCGCAAUUAAAUACAAUUAGUAUACAUCACUCAUUUUAACCGGCAAUAUCAAUGUGUCAUCAUUGUAUUUAAUAUUUUGGGAGCAAAUAAUUAUUGCACAUUAUUAUAUUAAUUUUCUCAAUUAAAUACAAUUAGUAUACAUCACUCAUUUUAACGGGCAAUAUCAAUGCGUCAUCAAAGAGUGUAAUUAUUUGUCAUCAAGUUGUAUAAUUAAAAUUGUCCCUAUGUCACACAAACAAACAGCAACUACACUCACGUAGAUAAGAAGAAUGCUGUGUGGGGCCAAACAUAGAGGCGCUGCUCGCUGCAACUGACAUCAAGAGCUGCCACGAUGCAGGAGGAAGCCAUACCUUCUAAGGAUCCAAUCAGGUUUCUACGUUAGGAGACAUUCAUGUUUUUCCAUUAGAAGUCCUAGUCUUGGAUUAUAUUAGAAGUCGUGUGUAUUUUCCACAAGCGAAAGAGAAGAUAAAACAUUUUCAUGGACGGCAUUCUCCAAACAAAGAAGAACAACUAGCAAAGUUAAGGAUAACUAGGUGGGAGACUACGUCGUCUUCUAUGCUUAUGCUGGGAGAACACCUCACCGAUCGUCUCUUCUUCCAAUUAUGCAACGUGUAACCAUCUGUCGGCCAUCGUACCGUGAAAGCAAAAAUUAACGAACCAAGUGUGUACAUGACAUAUCACUUGUUGGCGAGAAGACAUUUUCCUCUUGUCAUAUAUCACACCAUUUAUGCAUGGCCAUGAGGACCAACAAAAACUAGACAUGCACACUAACCAAGAUUUGGAUCUUGGAUCAUAGUAUACCAAUACCCAGGAGCCAAUAGCAAAAUGGCACAGCAGCCGCUCUGAAAUCCCUGAUCGCUAGUAGCUUACUGGCCGGCGUGCAGAAACAUACACAUGUGGAUCGCCUGGAUCGCCGGCCUGCACCUGCAGUGUUCCUGCAUGCAGGGAAAUUAUCUUUACCAACAUUCCAAAAUAAAUUAGUGUCAAGAUGAGCAAAUGAACCGCAAAAACACAAAAGGGCGUCAAAAAGGUGCUUGCGAUCAUAGGCGCAGCCAGGCCCCAGGCAACACGGGCCACGGCCUAGGGCGUGGCCAAAAUUUUCAAGCUAAAAAAGAAAAGAAAUUAGGUUUGGCAUGGGGUGUCGUGGCCCACUGGCCCAAGCCAGCUAGCCCAGCCCAGGGCGUGAGCAAUUCAUGACUCCGCCCCUGCUUGCGAUGAAGUUUAAGUCAGAAUAAAGCAGCUAGUAGUGAAGAAUAAAGUGAUGGCUAUGCGCCAAGAUGAGAGACAGAACAAAAAACGAAAAUCAAGAAAAGAAAAUACAUGAACACACAAUUCCAGAGAGAGAGAAAAGCUAAGAAUCCACCAGGCAUCUCUAAUCUUUUCUAGUUUGUUGUGAAUCAACUCGCGCUCCACUGCUCUUUUGUGUUUCUUGGACUGGGGGGGGGGGGGUGGAUUUAAAUAGAACUGAAGGGUGUGAAUGGAAAAGAACAUUAUAGAAGAGUGGAGCGUUGGUUGAUUCACGAUAAACUUAAGGGCCUAGAAGUAAAAUGGCAAAUGGUUAUGUUUGAUCUAAACUUGGCCCUUGUUUUUCCAUCCAACGGUCCACGUGGAUCGGGCGCACCAAAUGGCCCAGUGCACCUGAUACGCCCUCCUAUUUCGGCAACUACACGUGUCCAAGACCUACCAGAAACCCGGUCUACUCACUCAUAAUUGCAUUUAAAUCUAUGAGCUGGCUGAUGACAACUAGCGAAUCAUUGUGCCAUCUGUUGAUUUUUCAAAUCGCUUUGAUCUAUUUGACGAUCUUGGAAACGAUUGUAUAAAAGCAUAUGUUCCCCUUGGUAGAAAGAAACGCCUGGUUAAAUUUCCAGCAAACCGUCCUCUCUCGGCUAGUACUUAUGCAUCUGUCCUCGAACUUGGCGUAAAUUGGGUUCUCCAAAGUAUCCGCAACAUCCGUAAGUUUUGUUCUCUCGCAUGCCCUUUCAUGUUUGUGUUGAUAGUUUAGGGAGAGAUGGAUUUAGACUACUUGAAUUCCAGCUUUGUGCAUGAUUUGGUUGUGUUUAUUACUGUCUUCUCACAUAGAUCUAAUAUGUCCUAUGCGUUUCAUAGGAUCGUGGAGCAGUUUGGCAAGCCCGUUGACGUUGUAGAAAGAUAUCAUAUCUUCGUUCUGAGUUUAGAGGUGAGAACUUUGUUCCGAUAUGUUUUUCCCUUUAUGUUCUUGGAUAAUAUAGAUCUGAUGCCGCUCUAGUUCUUUGUGUCAUCUAGUAUUUUUUUUUCAUGCUUGCGGUUACAAUCAUUUGAUUUUUAUGGUGCGGAUCAUUACGUUCAUUGUGUUCAACUAUUCUUGUAUACACACCAGCACACUUGCCCAUGUAAUCAUUUAGAACCAUUGAACGUCCAAGGCGAAGAUAAAUAUAUUUUGAAUUUGGUGAUAUUUUAUAAAUUGUAUGAACUUUUCCUCCUUCGAAAUCGCACACGAGUUGUUUUGAAGUCCUUGCAUAUCAGCAUUCAGAAACAUGGAGUAAACUAGAAAUAAGAUGAGACUGUAAAGUUGUUUUCUUGAGAAAAGCUAAUGCCCAAUGAGUUAGGAAAAAUAAAAAUUAUUUCAGCGUUUAGCCAUUAUUUAUGCAAAUUAAUAGGUGUUUAAUUAUUUCAUUGAUCAGCGUAUGAUUUAAAAUAUUUUUUAGGUGAGGAUUGAUUGCAAAGAUUAAACCCACACGGCACACUCCCAACUAAUUAAAAUUAUUGUGCAUUAUUAUAUUAAUUUUCACAAUUAAAUACAAUUAGUAUACAUCACUCAUUUUAACUAGCGAUAUCAAUGCGUCAUCAUUGUAUUAAUAUUUAGGGAGCAAAUAAUUAUUGUACAUUAUUAUAUUAAUUUUCUCAAUUAAAUACAAUUAGUAUACAUCACUCAUUUCAAUACGUCAUCAAACAGUGUAAUUGUUUGUCCCUAUGUCACGCACACAAACAGCAACUAUCCUCGCCUAGAUAAGAAGAAUGUUGUGUGGGGCCAAACAUAAAGGCGCCGCUAGCUGCAACUGGCAUGAGGACCAACAAAAACUAGACAUGCACACUAACCAAGAUUUGGGAUCUUGGAUCAUAGUAUACCAAUACCCAGGAGCCAAUUGCAAAUUGGCACAGCAGCCGCUCUGAAAUCCCUGAACGCUAACUCACUGGCCGGCGUGUAGAAACGUACACAUGUCGAUGGCCGGCCUGCACUUGCAGUGUUCCUGCAUGCAGGGAAAUAAUCUUUUGCACUCGUACAAGUCCAGCUUUAUUUGUUGGCAGCAAGUCAAAGAUGUGUCGUGGCCUGCACCGCCGCAGCCAAUCCACAUCGGCACGAUUUACUUGCGCAAUUAUACGUUGAUUUAGUACCUGUUCGAGUAUUAUUUUGUUUCUUUUGAAAUUUCAACCAGCGCAUAUGUAGGAGUAAAUAGUAAACAGUUCCAUGGACUUGUGCUGGGCAGUACUGGCCCAAUCUUGGACGGUGGAGUACUGUACUACGAUGGGCCUGAACCGGACCUGAGUCCAGCAAUGUAUGUACACCAAGUUUGACCAAAGCCCAAUAUUGCUUAAGUCUAUUUUUAGACCACAAGCAUCACCCUAACAGAAAGAUAUGUAUGCACUGUACUGUUGCAAGUCAACAAGCUUUACAUGCAUCACCCUAACAGAAAGGAAUGAAAGAAAAUAAUGUCUUCAAGUCACACACGGGUGCCUAGGUACUGCUGUCUCCUUUUACCAACAUUCCGAAACCCAUAAAAAUUAAUGUCAAGAUGAGCAAAUGAACCGAAAAAACACAAAAGGGCGUCAAAAGGUGCUUGCGAUGAAGUUUAAGUCAGAAUAAAAUAGCUAGUAGUGAAGAAUAAAGUGAUGGCUAUGCGCAAAGAUGAGAGACAAAAUAAAAAAGAAAUUCAAGAAAAAAAAUGCAUGAGCACAUAAACCCAGAGGGAGAGAAAAGCUAAGGAUCCAGGCAUCUCUAAUCCUUUCCCGUUGAGCAAGAGAGAUAUUCUUGGAUGAUCCAGCCUUAUAUUGUUCCCAAAGACCAUAUCUAGGAUGAACAUUCCUCGUGAUCUAGGGGGACAUUCAGUUGAUAGAAAGAAAAAGGAGGGUGUCUUGUUUGCUGUACCUUAAAGAUGAUCAUUCUGUGAGGCACUUUGCAUGUCCAGCAGACCAGCACCACUUCAUAAUAUUCACCACCAAAAGAAGUGAUUAGGACCUUUCUCCCCACAGGGGAAAGGGAAUCUUAUUCCUCCGAGGUGAUCAUUAGUUUAAUCUCAUCAUGUUUGCAUAUGCCCUAAUCCCAAGUGCAGCUGUGUGCAUGCGUGUGUUGUUAAAAAAGACUUUGGCAAUUUUAUUUCUUUCGGAAGAGAAUGUUGUGCCGUUAGAGGGGCAUCACCACGCUAUCACUAGUCACUAGUUUCUAGGCAUUCAGACAGGCAAACAGACAAAGAAAAAAAGUUGCAGGAUCCAAGACUAGUAUUAAGUGGGCCUAAUGACAGUAAUAUCUUUGCACACCCCAAGGUGAUGAUGCAUGGAGUACAGUAGGUGCUAGCUCCAAAUUCAUCAUGAUAGAUGGCCAAAUGAUAAGAAUCUCCGAGAUGGCAUCUUGUGGAUGCAGAGAGUCAGCUAACAGUAGGCCAUGCUUAAUUAGGACAUACAAGUCACUCUAAUCAGGGGUGCUGCCGUGCACAUGCUGGCCCAAAGGGGAAAGUUGUAGACUGAUUAUUCUUUUUCUUUUUCUUUUUUUAAGACGCCCCCUAAUCUGUUCGUUAAUUGCUGGUGUCACUGACAUAUCUGCUGUUAGCCUCCAGAGCAUGCACAUUCCAGUGCUGUUUUUUUUUCCGAAAAAGGCAGGAGCUCUGCCAUGUAAUAUUAGAAGAAAAAAAAUAUAGGUACAAGAAUCAUUUUUUUGCCGAGAAUUCCAGUGCUGUUAUUUUUUAUGCUUGCACAUUUCCAGGAAGCAUCAGAUGAUUGGUUAGUGGUGGUCACGGGGGGUAUCCUUAGGAGAGGGGGUGUGGUGGUCAACUCUUAGGGCACAAUGAUGAUACAGACAAACCCACUAUGCUCUGCUACAACCUGACGACUGAGCCUGAUAAUACUGUUACUUACAACUUUCUUUUAGUACUCCAAUGUAGAAACAUAUGCAUCCAGCUUAAUUCUUUUUUCAUAACCUUAUGCCAAUAUAUAGGAGAACAUGAGUUAGGUUUGGAUAGUUUUUGUUAUGAAUUUUGUAAGUACCCAUUCAUUGGUGAAUUAUGCAGAGUGUUAUACCCAUUGCUGACACUUAUAUACUACAUUCUCUUAGUUAUACUUACUGCCCCAUGAUUUCUUUCUUGCUAAUUCCAUCUUGUAUGCAUGAGGAUUCUUAUUUCUUUUGUGCUUACUGAAUUUGGUUGACAUGCUAUUUCUAAAUGCCACGUCUUUUUCUCUUGAAACAUACAUGUUAUACCUCAAUAGUUUCAGCAAUGUUUUUCUUUUCUUCAAUUUACCAUGAAGUUCUACAAUGAUUGAUAUAUAUGGACUUAAAUUUUCAUGUGGUUGCAAUGUGCUUAAUUUAAUAUGUACUGGCGUUACUUUAAGAGCAUACGCAAAUUAGAUGUUUUUUUCAGUUUUCUUUCACAUCAAGCAUGUAAAACUGGUAGGUAUACUUGUAAAUGUGAAAAUAGUUUCUUCAGUUGUGUUAGUCGAACAUGAUAACUUGCAUUACUAGUUUUAAAAAUCCAACUAUAUAUGUUUUGUGUCAUGUGAAGAAGCUAGUGUUCAAAAUAGAAUACAUUUGUCUAUGUGAAGAGGGAAAAAAAAUUAGAAGCACCAUGCAUAGUAUUAAAGUGAUGCCGUUACAUCCAUCUCGUAGCAGCAGUUAUGACCUGUGAUCAGGGGAAACACUGUCCAUGAAUUGAUGGGGUCGGACUAUAGAAUUUGAUAUUACGCUUGCUUAUGCAUGAGAAUUAAAUACCCAGCACAAGGGGUUUGUGAUGGUAUACAUACUAGAGCCCAUGAGGGGCAUUAAUUCCUAACUCGAUCCAUUCUUCUCAGUUCUUCAGGAAACCUCUAGCUACUCUAGCAUUCUGCCCCCCCCCCCUCUCACCCCUUAAGAUGAGAGAGAAAAGAGGUUUUGGGGUGUUUAAAACAAGCAAAUUGACAGAAAUCACAGGCACAGUGGAGGCAAGGCAUGCCCGUCUUGUUCCCAUCUCUCUCUCUCUUCUGACACACCACAGCCUGCCCCUCUCACUCUCUCUCACCCUCUCCAUGGAGCAAGCUUUUUUACUGAAGCAAUGAAGUCAAGCAAUCAAGUGAUAAGCUUGCAUUCCUGAUAGUGCAAGCAAAGCAAAGCGCUUGAAGACAGCCUCCCUUGUCCUCCUUCCUCUAGCCUUGCCUUCUUCACUUCUCCACCCCCCUUCACAGGCGCCCACAUCUCCUUCCACCAUCUCCAUUCCCUCGUAUACUAUUUUCUUUCUGUUGGCACUUUGUGUGAUGUGCCCUAGGCCCUAUAGGCUAUAGCCCCCUAGUCACUUCACUACAAUGGUGGAAGCUGCAAACACUGGAGGCCUUGCCCCUUCUUUGUCCUCUUGAUUAGCCCUUGACAAACAAACACAAGGUCCGUUUGCUUUUGGUCUCUCUCUCUCUUCCCACUGUGCAUAGCAGUGUAGGGAGAAAAAACCCUCUGGAUGGUCUCUCUCACUGUCUCACACACACACAUAAACACAAAGAAUUAACAUCUGCACAUGAAGCUCCUCCUCCUUUAGUUUCUAGUCCUUGUUGUUGUGCAUUUAGUCCACAAAGAAAAAACUAGCUGGUACUAGUAGUGGUGGUGUAUAUGUAGUCGUAAGAGUAACUAGUAAAACCUCCACAAAGUAAGCACCCCUCCCUCCCUCUCUUUGCCCAAGAAGAGCUCGACUGUUCAUCCUCCCCUUCCUCCAUGCAUCCUUCCACUGGCUAGUUAUAGUGAGUAGCAGCAGCUGUCUUCUCUCUUCUUAAGCAUCUCCUCCCUUCUUCCUUCUUCUAAUCUACUUGUUUGUCUGGGGAGGGGGGCAAGAGUAGCUCAACACAGUAGAGGCUGAUAAGCUAGAUAGAGAUAGCUAGGACUAGGAGGAAUUAAUAGGAUAAUAUUAUAAAAUAUCUGCAUUUUUCUUCCAUGGUCCAAUUGAGCAUGCAAACUAUAGAGUAGCUUAGAUUAAUAAGCUCAUCUCCUCCAUCUUGGAGAGAGUUUGCAAGUGGUUGUAGUAGUAUCUUCUUGAUAAGGUCCCCAAGAUCCCACACCACAGCAUACCAUACAUGCACCUCGGUUUCCUUUUUGUUCUCCACACACACAUACUCUCUCUCUCUCUUUACUUUAUACUUUAGUGCCUUCCUGUUUCGAGUCCCAAGAAACACUGAGAAUUUUGUUAGCGUCCUCGUGAGAGAGCCGAUUGAAUCAGGCCACUGACAAUUUUUCCUCUGUGUAAUUUCUCAUGGUUUCCAUUGUGCCGCUGCAGAGAAGGCAAGCAGAAGCAAGGAUGGAUCUCUCCGGCACCACCCGCGGCGAGCUCCCGAUCCCCAUGAACGCCUCCUACGGUCCUGCCGCUGCCGCUGGCUCCGUCGUAGUCUCCGGCGCCGGCCACUCCCAUGCCGCCGCCGCCCACAACGGGCAGCAGCAGAUGACGGCUCCUCUGAUGCCUGCUGCUGAGGUGGCGAACAACAACGCUGCUGCCGCCAUUGGCAUUGGCGGCAAGAAGCGCUCUGCUGCUGCAAGCGCUGGAGCUGGAGCUGGGAUUCGGGCUGGCAAUGGCGCCGGGGGAGCGCCGCUGGCAAUGGUGAAGUACAGGGAAUGUCUGAAGAACCAUGCCGCGGCGAUUGGGGGAAAUGCUACUGAUGGCUGCGGCGAAUUCAUGCCGAGCGGCGAGGAAGGGUCGCUGGAGGCCUUCAAGUGCUCCGCCUGCGGCUGCCACAGAAACUUCCACCGCAAGGACUUCGACGACGACCUCGCUCUCCACCGCCGUCUGCUCCUCGGGCCCCACCACCUCAUCCCCAGGGGCCCCAUCGUCCCCAGCUCCGGCGCCGGAGACCACUACGGCGUUGGAGGCGGCGCCGCCUACGCCCGCGCCGCCCUGCCCCCGCCGCAGCACCCGCAUCAGAUCGUGAUGCCGCUCAACAUGAUCCACUCCUCGGAGUCGGACGAGAUCAUGGAGGGCGGCCAUGGCAUUGGGGGAGCGGUGCUCUCCCGCUCCCUUGGCCAUGGCGGCGGCGGGGCGUCUUCUUCGCAGCAGAAGCGGUUCCGCACCAAGUUCACCCCGGAGCAGAAGGCGCGGAUGCUGGCGUUCGCGGAGCGCGUGGGGUGGCGGCUGCAGCGGGCCGACGACACCGCCGUGCAGCGCUUCUGCCAGGAGGUCGGCGUCAAGCGCCGGGUGCUCAAGGUGUGGAUGCACAACAACAAACAUAACCUCGCCUCCAACAAGCUCCCCAUCCCCAGCACCCCAAACUCGCCCCAAGCUGAAGCUCAAGCUCAGGAUCAAGACCAGCCUCCAAUGGCGCCCGCGCCGGUGAAUUCCAUGCCGCCGCCGCCGGAGCAGGAGCCCGGGCAGGACGAUCAGCAGCUCGACCUCGAGUGAUCGAUCAGAUUGGCAGUGGUUCUUGGUGAUUCUGCUAGCUAGCCAUAGCAAAAAACCCAGCAUUUGCGUUUAUUUUUACUGUUCUAUCGGACCGAUCGGAUUUUAUUAAUUUGCGGGGAGGGAGGACGAAGAACCCAAAGAAACUAGGCCCGUGGUUAUUAUUAUUAUCGUCGUCGUCUUUUUUUUAAUCUUGGCAUAAGGUAGGGGAGGACAUAACUGAGCUGCUCUGCUCAACUUCCGGUUAUUAUUAAAAAAAAAUUCCUGGACUUGCAUUUUUUUUGCCCUGCCAUUUUUCCCUGACUUUUAAGUCUAGCUCUAGCAGCGGCUGAUGUGCCUGGCUGAGCAUUUGUCUUGUCAUGGAUCAGAGGGUUUUAUUGAAUUAAUUCUGACUUUUUUAAUAUUUCUCCCUUGGUAUUAUUAUAUCUGUGUGGUUUCUUAGAUUAAUCUGUGCUCUGGUGUGGUAUUAUAGUUAUAUGUGAUUUGAGGAAUUUUAUUUAGAUAUAUAAUGUGAUGGGAGAUGAUGCACAAAAACAAAGAGAGAGCAUGAGCUGGGAUGCAAAUCUCUGCUCAUGUCUUGUGUCUUUCAUGCCCACUGUUGAUGACAUGAUGCGCAUGCACGGUGCACCCCUUUGCUUAAUCUGCAGUUGCUGUCGGUGCUCUUACUGUGGCCUGCCCUGCACUGCAUGCCUGAUCUCAUCUCAUCAGUUUUAUUUACAUCCAUCUCUCAACUCACCAAGAAAUUUAAAAAAAAAGAGGGAAGGGUUUCAGAGGAGAUAGGUGCAGCAGGCAAACAAAAACGGUGAGAAUUAAUACCCCUGUUUGUCCCAUUUCUCUCUUUGGGGGCAGAUAAUGCUCAUUAGUCCUUUGCCCCUGCAGCACAGCACAGCACAGCUACAGGCUUGGCCCCAAGCAGUCAAUCGGGGCAUUGGGGCCGUGUAGGUGUGCAGGGGGGCAGGGGAGCAUGUGGCAAACGAAUCUGAAGGUAGUUUGGAACUUUGGAUUGCCUUGUGGUGUAGUUGGAAUUGCAACAAGGGAGAGGAGCAAGCAAUGCAUUGCUAGCCUGCUAGGUGGCUGUGGCUGUGGCUGGUCCCCCGAUUUGUCCUCCGGCAGGAGAUUUCUUGCUACGGCUUCUCUUGAUUGUUUUACCCUCAAUUGAUCCCUACUACUUCCUAUGAUAAAUGGCUCCGCCUGCCUGGCUGCCUGUGAGGAUCAAGAUUUCAAGUACUACCGAUCUGCUGGUCUUAAGUACAGGUUUUGGUACUGCAAAUGAUGUGAAAUUGGAUUUCUGUUAGUAGUACCUGCUUGAUCCUUUACUAAUGUCUCUCUGUAAGUGUGAUUCAAGUACUGAUUUGUUUUAAGAUGAGAUUCAAGUACUGCUGAUUUGGCGGUCUCACCCUCAAGUAGAUGUGUGAUUGGUUUUUUGUACCGGCUUGAUAAUAAUAGAUGUAUGCUUGCUGGGACAAGCUUUUUUAAGGAGAUCAAGUGCUGCUGAGACGAAACUAAUUGCCGUGCCAAUGUUUUAUUGUCCCUCUGUGCGUCGUGUACUUUCUUUGCCGACCUGUAAUGGUGGCAGGAGCGUUUUAUGUCACUAACGCUGCGGGCAUUUACCCUGAAAUGACAAGCUGCUGCCUGGUUUAAGUGAUUUGCGGUGUCCUGGCCCAUGGGAGUAACGCUGCUCACUCCGAUCCUAAAUUGUUUUCGAAAUAUUACAUGUAUCUAAACGUUUUUUAAAAAUAGAUACAUCGAUAUUCGGACAAAUUUGAGUCAAGAAUUUAGGAUCGUCCCUUUGGAUUAAAUGCUUCUUUGUACAAAUAUUCUAAGAUAAAUGCUAAUCGUUUUUAUGAAAACCUUGCAGUAAAAAUGACACCGUGCAUCGAUUGUUCCAGAGAGGUCAGGAAUCUUUUCACAUUUUCGGAAAAAAAAAAUGCCGCCGUGAACCCCCUUACUGGAUAUUUAAACCCCAGAACUUCAAUAAAAGAAAGUAAAAUGCCACUUUCAAAAAAGAAAAUGUAAAAUGCAUCACAGGUUCCGGGUGUCAAGUUGGUUCUAGUCCUAAGAGAAAUUAAAGUGAUGCAUCACAAUUGAGUUCUCCGUGAUCCUGUCAAGUUGGUACCUGCUUCUAUUUAGUUCUCCUUCUGCUACAUUGCACAGCAAUCUGGAUCCUGGAUGCCGAGGCAAGAGGCUCUCCUAGGAGAUCAUGUGCCGAGACAAAACUCACUAGUGCUAAGUACACGUUGUGCCAAUGUUUUCUGUGUGUCCGACCUGCGUUGGCAGGGGCGUUUUACGUCACUAGUGCUGCGGUCAUUUAAGCUGAAAUGUACAGGCUAGUACUGUUAAGAAUAUAAAUAUACUGACUAGCCUCUUUCUGUAAGUUCGUACUUUUGGUUCAAGUGGCUAGCGCAUCAAUCUAAUGGUGCUAGUUCUUUUCGGUUUCCUGGACCGGUUUGUCUGAGAAGCUACCCUCCACCAGUUUCCUGUAGAAGCCACCACCUAAUUUGAUUAGGUUAUCAAACUAGUUUGGAUUAAAUUACUUUGAAAAGCUAGCUAAAUUAAAGAUGCGGCUUCUCCAAGAAACUAGGUGAGAGCAGUUUCUAGGAGAAGCCAGUUCUAGAAGUCGAAAAGAACGAAACCAUGGUAUUGGAGUCAAGAGGUCUCAAGUUCAACACCUUGCUCACGCAGUAUUAAAAAAAACGAUUCUACGGCCUACACCGAAUCGACGCUAAGGACUAAAAUAGCUUAGACGUGAAGAGGAGUGUUGAGAAUAUAAAUAUAUUGACUAGGCUCUUUCCGUAAAUUCGGACUUUUGGUUCAAGUGGCUAGCACAUCAAUCUAAUAAGUACUAGUGUUCUGUCCCCUCGCAGAGAGUAAUGUUAUGUUUAUCCAGUUUAGAGACUAGAGUUGUUUAUCCAGUUUAGAGACUAGAGUUUGGUACUCCGUCCGAUCUAUAUUAAUUAGCUUAAAUUUGUCCAAAUAUGUAUGUAUAUAUGUCUAAAAAACGUUUAUAUAUAUAUAUAUAUGUAAUAUUUCGACAAGUAAUAUGGAUUAGAGGGAGUACUUAUCUUGUGGCCUUGGAUGUUAGGCCGAAUAUGGUGAGUUACUUGUUCAAUCGCCGUUUCACGGAAAAUUGGGUAGGGGAAUGAAGAAAAUGAUGCAUGCUAGAAAGGCCAAAAAUAUUACUGCAUGCUGAUUUUAAACUGCAUUGCUUCAUGCUGUGCCAGGUUUGAUCCUCAUUUGUCUCGUCUGGGCCAUGGGGCCAUGCUAUUUGCAUACAUGUCACUUUGGAUUCAAGGCAAGUCCUAGAAAUCCUGUUAAGCUGAUCUCUUCUCCUUGACUCGUGUGCAGAAGGCCUGUAGUCCGGUAGGUUGCUUGCGGCCUAUAUGAACCGGAAACGAGGGUUCACCUCAUCAUGUUCGAGAAUGUAAAUUCAGUCGAUGGAUUUGGUUUGGUUGUGUGCGUCACUUGAUGCAGGGACCUUCUUUUUUUCCGAAAAAAUAAGUGGAGGAUUUGGCGUUGGUCAAUAACUGGUUCGGCUUUGAUCUUGAUCUGAUUCCGCCAACACGGUCGUAUAGUUAUUCUUUUAAAAAAGGCGAAUUCUCUGGCCAAGCGAUGUACACAACCAUCACACGGUCGUACAGUGGUGGCAUGACAACUUCUUUGACUCGUGAAACCGUAGAAAGGCGAUCACCUAGUUUCUUGUAUUUGUCUUAUGGAAGAUUUGGAGCGAACGCAACGUCCGCGUUUUCGGAACCUAGUCAUACUGCCCUCGAUCAUCUUGCUCGCAUCGAAAGCACGACAAAUUGAGUACUUGCCGGGGCCAAGCAUCUCAGGUCAAUUUUAACGAGAGAGUAGAGUCGGUUGUCGUCCUUGUUUUUAGCGCUUGUCUUGGAUCUCUUUGAUCUAACUUUUUCUCUAUUAAUGAAACGAGACUUCUGCCUCCAUUUAAAUAAAAUGAAAAUAAAAUGAACCAAACUCCCCCUUCUUGGUGCCAGAAUUUGGGUUGUCAUGUGCAUGACCAACAUGCAUGCGCACGGUGCAGCCUUGUGUUGUGUUGAUAUCGUUGUACUACGAUGUCUCCAUCGUACAGUAAAGUGCAAAUAUUUGACUCGAGCUGUAUGGAAUUUUUAGUCAAGUUUCUACAAAACAUCUAUCAGUUUUUAAAAAGCAAAAAAUAUUGAUGUACAUAUUAAUCUAUAUACCACAUAUGUGUAAAAAAUUACUAAGAAAAUCUGCCAUGUGAGAUAAGUAAAAAAAAUACAAGUUGAUGAAGUGCAUCUAGUGAAAGUCACAUCAAAUUUUCGGGCUCCAUGGAGCCUGAGCUCUACAAGCAAUUUUGCUAAAAUUGGCACUGCACUUUGAAGGCUCCUUUAAUUCAAAAGAUUUUUUUAAAAUAAAUUUGAAUUAUUAGAAUUUUUUCGAUGGAGGCAUUGAAGGCUCCUUUAGUGCAAUUUGGUUGGUUGAUUUGUAAGAUUGAGUCUCGUAGAUUUUUUUUCGAAGUUCUCAACUUUGUACUUAAUUCAAGACACUUAUUAUGGAUCGGAGAGAAUACUUGUAGUUGAUACUAAAUUUUUACUCGCAAAAAAAAGUUUAUACUACAUUUUUAAGUUCUUGGAAAUCGUUUCUUCUUUUCGUGGUAGAAUCAAACAAACUUUCUGUACAAAUUCAAUGCAGUAGGAUUCGAGCGGACCCUGAUCCAGUGUGUUUCAGAUUCCUGCGUUUUAUCAUUUAUCCUGCAAAUGAAAAAGCUCUAAGCAAGUACUUUUUCCCUCAAAAGUAAACGACUGCAGCAUCAUACUCGAAGAAUAUGGUCACAUCCAACAGUUCGUAUCCGAAUUCUGACGAGGUGAAAAUAUAGACACACGCAAUGGAGAAGGCCUGAGUGCUUGGACAUACUGACGACACGAGCGAAAAUUGCAAGAAUCCAGCAGAAGAUGCUCAGUAAAACAAACAGGCAUCGCACAAAUAUACAUGUGGGUUGUAGUACUGCACAAAAAUAUACAUAGAAAACAAUAAAACGCUUAGAUUUGAAUGUUUGAAACCAAUGUAACAAAAGGAGAACGAACAGCAGCGCCUUGCAGCUGUGCUGAGAUGAGAUAACCCAUGUGUUGUUGCAGGGGAGCCCAACCAAAACGCCCUCUUCCCAGCAGCUGAGCUGACAUAACCCAUGUGUGUCAGUGCUGCUGCAGAUGGAUCCGUGGUGGUUGCUGCCAAGGCAAGCAGGCAAGCCAUCGGAUCAGUCCCAUGUUCUUGGCAUCAGAACACCAUCGCCCCUCUUUGCUUACGUUCGGCUGAAGUUCAAUGCUCUGUUUGGUCCAUAUUAAUUCGCUGAUUUAGUAUGAAGUUGUACUAUCAGCCACAACCGUAUGGAUCGGAGGGAGCGGUACUAUCUAUACAGGAAGCAUUACCACCAGUUUUUUCUUAAAAAUUUGGUUGUUUCACAAGUGGAUUUUGAGAUUUUGCUUAGAUAAGGUGUCUGCCUGGAGUUGUUGUGCAAAAAAAAAAAAAAUUCUAUUCCAAAACUUUAUCACAAAUGGGUAUGAAGACCACAGAUCGAUCUCCGUUUUAGAAGGGACUCUUGGGAAUGAGAUGGUCUUUCUUUCUAUGCGUGUCUAUUCACUGUUAACGAUGGUAUGAGAGUUUGUUUUCAUGAGGACACGUGGUUGGGUUCUUCUCAUUUAAAGGAUCAAUUUCUGUCUUUUAUCGAAUUACGCUCAAUCGACGGGUUUCACUGGUCCAUGUUUAGUCGAGGCCCCUCCUAAUAUUGCCUUUAGGAGGACUAUCGUUGGCGCAAGAUUGACAACUUGGAAUAAGUUAUGUGCUAACUUGGCUUCUUUGCAUUCCAAUGACCAACCCAAUGCGUUUUGGGUCUUACUACAUGGGUUGGCUCGCCAUGAAAUCCUUAUGUAAGACAUUAAUCAUUUUGAAUUGCCAAUUUCACCAUAAUGUCAUUUGGAAGCUUAAAUGUUCAUGCUAAGAUAAAAAAUAUAUUUGCCUGGUAUCUUUAUAGAGGGGUGGUGACAAUGUGAUCGAACCCUAAACCCUCAUCCUAUGGGAAUGGUAGUUUCCCUCAUUUCGUUUAUGAUGUCUCCGAAAAUCACUACUUGCCCUGUAAAUUUUGUAAAAAAAACACAUAAAUAUUUUCUGUCUAUACAUAAAUCACAAAUGGACACAUGACAAAUCAUGUAAAUUAUAAACGUCUUUUGUACAAUAACUCGUCUUGUGAUUUCCACAAGGCUUCCAAAUGAUCAUAUUCAUGGCAAAAGUUACAUAUAGGCACAAUUUUACCAAUGCCUAAUGCAAUAUCAAAAGACCACAUUUCCACAGAAAACGUUAAAAAAACAACGAGAAAACAUGUGCUUGGCUUCGGCGUGACCUUGUGUUUUCCUGAACGCUGACCAUGAGAAACUCUGAACACCUUAUCAUUCAACUCCAUGCAUGAUUACAACAACAACGUGAAGCUGUGAACCCAAGAAAAGAAAAAUCAAACAAACGCCAGGAAAGGUAAACCCAGCUCCCAACUUUCAGACAAACUAAAGCCGGCUGCACCAAACAUUCUAUCCAUCACACACGCACACACACGGCCCCUACAGCAAAAAGCUCUGAACCCACAGCACAGCAGCGAGAGAUAGAGUUUAAUGAGGCGCUGAGCACGCAUGCACGGGCACGGACGGACGGGCAUGCAUUGCAAAGUCAGUCAGGCAGGCUGCAAGAACAGUUUUAAGGCAGGGAAGAGGGAGAGAGCAUCGAGCACCGCGCCGAUCGUAAAAGAAGGAAAAACAAAGGCGCAGGAGCGUGAAAUGCAGUAAAAAAGGGGUCGGAUCAUCGGAGCCCGCCGUGUAAUCGCAAUCGAACGCCGUGGUACGAAGAGAUUCCGGGGCGCUUUCUUAUCAGGAAAACCGAUGGAUUCGCGGGCAACGGGCAUGCAUUGCUGCAGCGUGGUGUCAUUUCUCUGGUGCGUGGGAGUGCACGUGAGAGUACUGGUAUUUUCUUAGAAAAAGAGAAAAUAUCAAGUGUAUAUAUACAAGAUGGGAUGGCAGAGAGACACAGCUGAGUAACAUAAUGAGAGGCCGGCCGUAUAUAUGAAGAGAAGCUAGUGAAAAAAAUUGGAGGGAAAAGCCGGACCGCUAUACUCUCCUUCUGGCACGACAGCUUCUUUGCUUUCGAGACAUCUUUUCACUUUCCGCUCCUACAGUGCCAAUGCAGUGGCAGUCGUAGUACACUUUGGAUUGUUGCUGUGCUGGCAUGCAAACAUAGAACACGCGCAAGUACGCACUACUCAUCAGAGGUUUUAAAAUUUUCCUGAGUUUGCAGGGUAUCCCAUGCCACUAUAGCAGCAGCAGAGAUGGAGGGAUCAUGAUAUUGAUCAAGACGUGGAACUGAGCACGCAUUUACUCUUUUUUUCUUGACCACAUCACAUCAGAUCAGCUCAUUGGCCAUGUCAAGCUAGAGAGUAGAAGAAAAAGGGCAAGAAAAGCAGGAGGGGUUGUUGCCUUGUUCCCAUCUCAUCUCAUCCCAUCUCCCCUGGGUACCUACGUGCAUGCAUCUAGUAGGACAUAAAACCCUAUGGUUCCCCUGUCAGAAGACAGGGACAAGUCCAUGUCCAUGUCCUCCUGGUGGAGAAGAAAACACGAGAAACACAUCCAAGAAGAAUAAUCAAAGGACAAACACCGCUAGCUUUAGCUUAGCUUAGUAGUGGUACUAACUUUGAUGGUGCCUAUUUGGCCCCUAGGGCUUAGGUUAGGAGAGUGAUGAGUGCUAGUAGCUACGAGGACACAUGAUGAUCCUCUCCACUCCUAUAGUCCUAUCUUUGUGUGCAAGAGCCUCUCAUCAGGGAUGCAUGGCAUCUGUGCAUGCAUGUGAACCCUUCCACGGCAAAGAAGGACAAGGGGCAGUUGCCACUAACCCCAUUCCAGCCAAUCAAGAGAAAGUCCAUUUAACCAUCAUCUGAUCGGAGCGGCAAUAAAACGAAAACAAAAUCAUACGCCAUCCGUUCAGAAAAGUAUGUCUCAAAUUUGAUUUGUCAAAAUUUGAAUGUAUUGAGACACCAUUUAGUGUAUAUAUACAACUAAAUUUAGAUAAAUUUGCGAUAUCUUUUUUUUGACAGAGGAAUACACGACCCCAUGAACGUUCAUAAAACGGCAUGCAGAAAAAGCAAUUAAAUCACAGGCCAAGGACCAAAAAACAAAUUUCUUCAAGCUGUGUUGGCCGUGCCUGUGGGAAAAAAUCAGAAAGAUUUUGUGAUCCUCGAUCGUGUUCCAUAAUUAUGAUGCAGCAUGGCAGCAGCGAUUCGCACACCCAUAGCAUCACAGAUCUUUGCUAGUACUUGGAUAAAACCGUACACAUACAAAAGAAAGAAAUGAAAUGAAAAAUGGAGACAGAUCGAGGAGGACCACGCGAGGAAUUGCUCUCCGAUCCUCUCUUUCAUCCCCAAGUCUCAGAAGGAUGUUUUCUCAUUAAGUUAUUGCUCACUCAGUAGCUGGCCCUGGCGCCGAGAAGAGAUCAUCAGCUCAGCUCCGUCCGUGCCAGCCCCAGGGACAAGUGUAGCCAGCGAUUGUUGCAGGUUUUGCAGCAGAGGGUAGUAGUACUGGUUGCGUGGCUGUGGGCCCGUGGGUGGGCCAAUGGUUACCAAGAAAUACAGUGCUCCUUUCGUUUUUAAAAUAUAAAACGUUGUAGUUUUAUUCUAGGUAAAAAAAAGUGUGAUGGUUUAUAGAAAAAUAUACUAACAUCAAUAAAUUUAAAAUGGUUUUAUUACAUUUUUCAUUGUAUGCUCCAUCCGAUAUUAGUUCCUUGAACUAAAACCACGACAAGAAUUUACGAUCGAAGUGAGUUUCUUAAUAUUUUUAUCGGAUAUUAUAUAUUUUACUAUAUUUUUUCUAUAAAUUUGCAAUGAACACAUAUUACUUACGCCAAAUUAAGUUAGAGCAUCUUGUAUUUAGGAGCGGAGGUAAUAAUUUUUUUGUGAGCAUAGUGUUGUACUGUUUUGCAUUAAUCACGUGAUUAGAAACGAUUUAAUCAAAUUAGGUUCCGUUAAAUGGCUUAUCGUCCUGUUGAUGAUUUAUUUCCUUUGGGCUAUGGCGCCGCUACUUGACUACUUAAUUCGAGUGUUGUUUUGCACCGAUCGUAUGGUUAGCAACAUAGGUUUAUUUAUUACUAGCUCCUUGAAAUAUUUUGUUCUAUUAUAUCUUUGACCAUUGGCUAACAUGGGUUGUCUCGUGCUAUGCUAUUGCGCUAUUUGAUUGAUUUCGUUGUGUCAAUAGCAACAUUUUUUGGACAAAAAAAUGCAUUCUUAUUGAAAUCCUCUUGUCUAUCAAUCGGCUGCGGUUCAGGUCAAAUUAAGAUACAAUGACCGGAGAAACAUGAGAGUGUAGUGGAAGGAAGCAAGAAGUUGAGCAAUGUUGAUUUACUCCCUUUGUUUCACAGUGUAAGAUGUUCUAACUCUGUCCUAAGUCAAAAUUUUAAAGUUUGACUAAGUUUUUAGACAAAUGUACCAACAUCUACAAAUCUCAGUUCGGUAUAUAAAAUUUGUUAUGAUAUAUUUCUUCAUAGUAUACUUAUUAGAUGUAUAGAUACUAGAUAUUUUCCAUAUUCUGAAGCACGGAGUAGUUCCAUCAACUACCGACUUGUUUUUUUGUGUCUUUUUUUCAACUCUUGGAACUUUAAAAUAAUUUUGGUAUUCUAUUUUCGGAGGCAGAGGUCGAAGGGGUAAAUCUCUUUCAUUAUCUUAGAAGACACAUGGCCGACCCCAUACGCAUGAUCUUGGCCUAACAUGAUACAAGUUGCCAUGAACAUGACUCGACGACUUAUCGAUCUUGCAUACUUUGUGAAUUUUUAUCUGCUCAAGGCACCAUUGAUUCCAAUAGAACACAUGAUCACAAAACAAGCUCAAGAAGCAUGCAACGGGAACACAAUAUAUUAAAAGAUAACCUCCUCGACUUAUUUCCCCAAAUACGUGCCCAGGUGAUUCUGGUGACACUUACAUGCAUAGAAGAAAUCAUUUAAACUUUGAAUGGUUUAUAGUGACAAGUUAUCAAAGUGAUUGAAAAUUAGUUCUGAAACAGAAAAAUCAUUUAAACUUGAAUAAUAUCCUUAUAAAUAUGCAAGAUUGACAAAAAUGUAAUCAAAGAAAAACAAGAGAUAGGGAAUAGGUUUCUUUUCUAUCAUUUUAAAAGUUAAGCAACUUUUAGUGGGUUUUCCGGAGUUCAAAGAACAAUUUUGAGUUUUAAAAAUAAUCAUAUUUAUCAAUAUUUUUAUUUUACAAAUAUUUCUUAAUAUCUUGGAUAAUAAAAUCUAGGUCUUCAAUUUCUUUGCUGAUUUUUCACUUUACUAUAUGUUUGUGUGGCUGAAACCACAUUCUAUAUGCACGUUCUUAGUGAAAUGGCAUUAAAAACCGCCCCUCGGGCUAUUAAUCUGGCCAUUACUUUGACAAAUAUUUGAUAUUUUUGUUAUUGAAGGGUAAAUUUUGUAUGAAUAGUUUAAUUUUCUCUCUAGCAAUGUUUGUGGGGUUACAUAUACCUUUAUUACGACAUAGAUCUGGCUUUAGUGAUUGAUGAAAGAACAUAUAAUAGAUCGACACAACCAAAACGAACAUAAACCACGAAAAUCCUUGAUAAAAUCAAAAGCUCCAUUAUGGUCAUUCAAAGUCAACGUAUCUGGAUUCACCUUUCGAAUCUUGAGGUUUCAUCAUUUAUUCGGUGACAAAAUUGUAUAAUACCAAGCCCGCGCAAGAUGGACUAAAUUCAUAAGUUUUUUAAAGGUCGCAUGAGUUGCCACCUCAGAAAGUGAAACUUAAGAUCGUUGGACGCGUCAUGGUCAAGGACACGCCGCUCGCAAGACAAGAUAUGAAACCGCUCCUACAUCGUUGAAUUGACAAGAAAAAAAUACGAAAAGAGAUCCGUAAGAACCACUGACUCCAUGGAGUAGGCCGUGACACCUACACCAGGCAAGGGCGGGACACAUUCACCAUCCUCAAGAACACACACACCUAACAAGAAAGGUAUGAAAAACUAGACUCCUGAUAUUGAUCCAUGGUUCCCCCCAAUCUCCCAACGCCAGUUCAGCCAUCAGAGACAAGGAAAACCGCCGGAAAUCAAACGAAGACCCAAAGAAAAACUUCCGAGGUCAGCAAGGAAUCUGAUGGGCCAGUUCCAUAUGACCCAUGUCAUGGUAGAUAUGGUCCAAGCCCACUGACUUUUCGUCUAAAAAGAAAUACUUACGAUGGAUGGCUUGUCAGAAAUUACACUAGAUCGAGAUGUAGGAGUACAUCGGUUGACUUGUUCUGCAGAUGGACGGGAAUCCUAACCCCCAACCGAUUCGAAUCUAGAGAAGGACGAGGGAGCGUUGGGUGCUGUAUGUGAUCCAAAGCAGCCCCGGGAGAAAAUUCCUUCUUCUAAAAAUAUAUACUCGUACAAGAAAUUGAUUACAGAAUACACUGUUAACUCUCUACAGUUUAUGUCCAACUCCUCCAGAAUUCAGUUUCACUACUCUGCUAAUAUAUUAAAAUUUACUUACGAAGUAUUACUAGAUAAUGAAUUGGCAAUCCAUUCCAGAAAUUACUCAAUCAGCAGGAGAGCAUUUAGCAGCACUUUUUCAGAAAGCCACACAAACUGAAGCAGUAGUCUCAUCAGAAAUCAGAACGAUCAUGUUUCUUCUGCCCUUGAUAAUUUACACGUACGGUACAUUCGGACUCUCGUACACUUUCCCGGUAAAAUUAACACAGCACAUCAUGCUGCAUUGCACGCACGCAUGCAGCUGAUCAUCGACAAGUCGACGGCAAUUGCGAUGAAGAGCUCACAGGCUGGGCGUCCUCUCGGCAGCUCCGGAGAUGACGGUGAGCAGGUUGUUGCCGAAGGGGUCGCUGAGGUGCGCAGAGAGGUUCUCAACGGGGCCCUCGCCAGUGACGUAUGCCUGGAUGAAGAAACCCAGCAUGGAGAACAUGGCUAGCCGGCCGUUCUUGAUCUCCUUCACCUUGAGCAGCGCCGCCUGGUCGGGGUCGCUGGCGAGGCCGAGCGGGUCGAAUGGGCCACCGGGGUGGAGCUUGUCCUCAAGAUCCUGCCGGAGAAAUUGAUGAAAACCGUUGGUCAGUACAAAGUUCCUAAUUGCAGCUCAACUUAUGUAUAUGUUUGAGGUGUUACUGUCACUGACAAGGCCGUUGAUGAUCCUGUAGUACUCGGCGCCUCCGACGAGGACAACCUCGGCGACGACGGCGAGGAUGAGGUUGAUGGGGAUGCUGUUGCCGAAGUAGUUGAGGGUGUUGCCGUCCAGGAGAAGAGCGCCGGUCUGCAUAUGUGUUUGUUCAUGGCACCGUGAGUUUAAACUUCAGAGUUCUGAAUCUGAAUCUGAAUGUGUGAAUACUGAUGAGCAAUUACCUUGAACCAGACGGCCUCGGGACCGCAGUUGGCGCCGAACUUGUUGCACGCCUCGGGGAUGAUGAAGCCGGCAGCGCCGAGCAUGGCCCAUCUGGCAUGGAUCAGCUCAUAGGCCUGGUACCUGAAGAAUAAGGUGUGGGAAAGGAUUACUUAGUUGAUAGAAUAUUUUGUUUAGAGUGAGACCGUAGGUUAACAAUUUUAGGUCUGUAUUUGCAAAAUGCAGAUCACUACUUACUUGGUGAAGUCAUCUGGCUUCUUGCUCAGACCGAAAGGAUCAUAGCCAUAGCUGAAAGUCCAAAGGGAAACAAAUAGGUCAGUUCAGUUGCAUAUAUAAUCUUAGUCUCUUAGUUUUGCAUGAGCAUUUCAGUAAUAUGAGCAGUGAGGCAAUGCUGCAAAGGGAAGACAACUUUAAUUCAAAUAGUCUGAAAGAUUCGAGAAAACAGUGGCAUUUCCACAAAGAUGAAAACUAAUUUAUGCUACACUGCUCACUACAGAACUAGCAAAAUAGGUACGAGUACCAUAUCCAUAUAAAUUUGCCGUAGUACUAAAUUACUACUACAGUUCAAAGGAUGGUUAAAUUGUGGAGGGUAAAAAUGGAAGCAUAUGACUUACUCUCCAGGAACCUCUCCGUUGAGGUACUCUGGCACCUCUGACCGGUCAAGGAGACCGUCCGGCAAGAAGAUCCUCCUGUCAGGGCCUGAAAACAAGAUUAAAAAAAUAGUACUUAGGUAUGUAUGAAUUUUCAGAACAAAUUAAUUACCUGAAAUGUGUUCAAUCUCAUAUGGAAGUUUUCUUUGUACUCACCAUACCACUUGGCGAGCUCGUCGUCGAUGUCUGCGCCCGAGGAGGAUACUGGGGCGGGCUUCGGCUUCGCAGCGGGCUUUUUGUUGAAGCCCCCGAAGAGGGAGACAAUCUUCUUCGCCCCAGCGGUCGGUGCCGCCGUGGUGUAGCUGGAGGAGCCGGUGAAGUUGAGCCGGGUGCCCAGCAUCUUCGUGGGAGCGAGCGCCGCCAUUACCUCAGGCCCAAAGUUCACAGAGAGGUGUGCUCAGCUCAGCAGGAAAGGUGUGAUGGGCGUUUGUGGAGGGAAAGGUGGGGUAGUUUAAAUGGAUGGAAAUGAGGAUUGGAGGAUGUUGUGGGCCCAGGCAAGAUUGGGCCAAAGGGGUUGUGAUUGGCUGUGUGUUCAGGAGGGCUAUCUGUUGCUUGGAUUUGAUUGGCCUGCCUUUGCUGACUUGGCAGAUGAGGGUGCUGGUGUGGCUCCAUUAGAGCCUCUUGUUAUCUCGUUUAUCAAGAGCCAGGCGGUACUAAAUGGUCCAAAUGCCAUAGAUAGAGACACAGGGAGAACGGAGAACCAAGGAUAGAGAGAGAGCGAACACAACAUUUUCAAGCAACAUACCCACCCCUGAGUUUCCACACACCACCCCUGAGUUUCAUCAGAACUUCAUAACAUCAAAUUAUGCUGGAAUUUAACAUCUGAGACGAGCAACACAAAUAACGGGACAUAAGCCAACAUGUACACCUAGCACAAUAGUGUUCAUCGGUCUGACAUUUUUUUUCUAACUACCAGAAUGUUAACACUUGAAGAAUUUUAAGCAUUAACACUAAUAGAAUUUCAGGAUCCUACUUAAAUACUCCCUCCGUUCCUAAAUACUUGUCGCUGUUUUAGUGCAAAAGCAAGUUUGUACUAAAACAGCGACAAGUAUUUAGGAACGGAGGGAGUACAAGUCUAUCUAGUGACGGACUGAUCAACAUUCAAAAUAAGAAAUUACAGUGUGAUACAAUAGAUGUGGCUAAAGGUCAGCUGCUAAUCCACAUCAAUGGCAUACUGUUUGUAAUCCUUGACCAAUACCAGAUCUUGACAGCUAACAGCGGCAGCCAUAUGGUGGUGCAGCCGAUGCUCAACUCUUCACAGCUCACAGCAGCAGUCAUUUGGCAGUGGAGCUCAACGCCAUUUUUCAAUAUGUUUUGAAGUUGCGCUCGCAAGCCUUUUGGUGUUUACAACCAGCUCGUCAAACAAAGCAGCAACAUUCUCCCUGGAACAGAGAGAGGAGGAAAGGAUGAGCAACAUUGAGUAGAAAUAUGCAUGUUUAUUUUGCAUGCAGAUUGAGUAAGUUAUGUCCCAAGGGUGCCAAACAAGAAAUAAGGUGGAGAAAGCCAUAAGCCAGUAACUUGACAAAUUUCACGGUGACAAGAAAUGAUAGAGUUGUGCAAAAGCGAGAAUAUAUGUAGUUGUCCUCUCAGCACAAACUAGAGAACUGCUUAGAUGUUCUAGAUUUUGAAGUAUGUUAGCAUGACAUAUCUUAUGCUCUGUACUACAGAGCUUUCAGAAAAAUAUAUUAGCCUGACAUUAUACUGCAGCCAAACGUAUACACAUUUAACUGCGAGGAACGAGUACUGUUUGGGAAUAUGCUGACAAAGAAAACUGAUUAAAAUAAUAGGAGAAGAAUUGCAGUUUAUGCUCUACAGAAAACAAUCUGACACAACUGGCAUUAGAGUACAGCUCAGGUUUAUGAAAAUUCUGAAAUGAACACUCACAAAUCUGUUUCUGCACCAUGCGAUCAGCUUUUUUUAAUUUGAAACACACAUACUGUCAGAAAUAGAAUUUGUAACAAAAUAUGGUAUUCCAGUUUAAGUCAGGAGUCAGGAAUGAGUUACUAGUACUAUUUUUUUUUGUGGAAGUAGUUACUGUUAGAACUAUACUGUACGGACACUAUGUGCACACGACAUACUAGAACGUCACUUCAAAUAUCUCACUAUCUACUGUUAACAUCCUGAUAGAAACAAGGUUUUAGAAAAACUGCACUGGACUUUUUUAGAAAACUCAUGAAGGGGCUAGGUUUUAUGAAUUCUCAAAGAGACUCACGAUUUUCACUAAGUUUCAUUAUUGCACAUAAAAUUAUUAUUUCGUGAUGUUCAGUGAGAAACAUUUUUCUCUGAUUUUCUAUGGGUCGCACUUUACAUAGUUAUUUUCACUUAAUCCAAGUGUUUAAGUUUUCAAGUGUUACAUGUAUAUAGUAUGUGUACAGUUAAUUAGUUUGGAUGUGAAAUGUUGCAGUACAGUAGUUUGGACUAACUAAUAAGGUCAUAUCACGUCUAAUGCCCAAUGUGUAAAAAGAUGGUGCUUAAGCUAAUUGAUUGGGCUCUGGUAUGGAUUGAUUGCUCGGUUUCUUUUCUUUUGUUGCCUUUGGUAAUCGAAUACUGAAGCAGGAUCUUCUUCUGCAAUUCUCCAGUCAUACCGCCAAUCAUCUAGUUUGGAUAACUAUGUGGGAAUGCUUCAUGUGACUAUGUGAGCUCGUCUGUUACUUCAAAGCAUAAACAAUAUUGCCUAAGGUUCUUCCUCCAAUCUCAAUUGGUCAUCUGUGUGAUUUAAUGCACAAGUCAAUGUUCCCUAGCAUUUUUACGGACUGUGUAGAUUGUUAAUUUCAAAAAUUAGUAUUACAAUAUUUGCACCUUACCCUUGCCAUCCAGAUAGCUCAUCUUGCAAAUUUAAUGACAUGAGCAACGAUAAAUAGAGUAAAACCCCAAAGUUAUUGAACAUAUCUUACAAUGUUAGCAAUCCAGCAUAGCAUGCAUAAAACUGUCUGUUAGCACAAAUGUCACUAAAUACUUUCAUGCCCACACAAUACUUACGUAGGCAGAUUUGGAGCUUCUUGGAACAUUCUGCCAACAUUUGAGUGCCUUUUCUUUUCGUCAUAGGCAAUCCCUUUGCCCAAGCCGUAACCAAAACCAAAUCCUAUACCACAUCCAGCUCCAACUCCAAAGCCUAAAGUGAGUCCAGGAAAUCCAUAACCUAAUCCUGAACCUGCAUUAUUCAUGCAACAUAUAAAGUUAUACAUCAUUUAUUACAGAAGUUAACACAAAAUAUCAGGAAAAGGAAGCGAGAUCCCAGAGGAUCAAAAAACAGUAUACAAAUUACAAAAUGAUGGAACGGUAGUAUUGGAAAAAAUAGUUUACAAGUGGCAAGAAUGCUGUUCAUUCUGCAACACAUCUGCCAGAAAGUUUACAGAUGCAGACAAUUGGCCUCCUCUCAUGCGCCCAAUUGUAAUGAUAUUGGGUUCACAAGUUGAUUCUAUCCCAUCAAUGGUACCAACCAAAUAUAACAAUUUUCCAUAUAAAAAGUCAACUACUUCCUCAGUCCGACAAAGAAUGUCUCAACUUUGACUAAAUUUGAAUGCAUCUAUACAUUAAGUCAUGUCUAGAUACAUCCAAAUUUUGACAAAGUUGAGACAUCUUUUGUUGGAGGGAGGGAGGAUAACAAUUGCAAAAUUACCAAAACCGAAACCCUCCAACCAAGACACCGAGCAGCACAUAUCAGCAUGUGCAACAAUCCAAUCUGUGAAUACCCCUCCCCUUACGAGCUAUUAGGCUGCUUUGACUAGAUGAGUCUUAGAGCAAACCCUACCUCGUUGACUCCACUAAACCCCACCCUGACUAACCUUCAAAUACUCAUCAUGUUGUCAAGCAGCUCGUCAAGAGCGAAGAGCAAUGCGGAAACAAGGAGCAGGGAAGAAAAACGAAAAACACAACAGGAACUCAAAGUGAAGGAGGGAUUUACCGCCGAAGAAGCCGACUCCGGCGCCCACGCCGCAGCCGAAUCCGAGGCCAAAGGCGGGGCCUAUCUUGCCGAGCUCCCUGGAGGUGACCUCAGGCAGCCUCCAGAGGAGCCCCUUGUCGCCACCCCCACCUCUCUUCCCCGCCUUCGCCGUCCCCAUCGCCUUCCCCUCUCCGUCUGGUCCUGUUCGUGUUGAACUGAGGGGUCCAGGACCUCCGGGUCUCCGAGAAGAUUGAAGAAUGAAGACUCGUGCGGAAAAGCUGAAACAAAGGGCCCAACGAUAACUUGCCCAUAUAGAGCCGGAAGGAAGAUGGCCCAGACAAAAGUCUAAGCAGCUAUUGGGCUGAAAUAGAGAGGGCAGCCCUUGGGCCCGCGGAGGCAGAGCGGAGGACUUUUUUUUUCUGAGGUGACAGAGCGGAGGACUUAAAUGGUGUUUUUUUUUUCCGAAAAUAAGAUGGAAAGCAUCAAAUAUUUUUUGAGAAAUGAUGGAGAGCAUCAAUUGAUACACACAAUUAUUUUUAUUUCAAAGUCAUAGAACACAAGUCAUACAAAACACAGAUCAGAGAACACGAAUACAAAUGUAUGCAGGCAGAAAUGGUCUAACAUAGUCAGUCUAUGUAUUAAAGCAAACGAUUAGAACAACUUGAAUGCCAUGGAUAAUGGUAAACAAUGCUGCUUCGCGGUUGACCCCGCUGAUCGAUGGAACAUGGAAGAGUCUACUGGCUGCACCUUGGCAUUGACCGACUAGUGCUGCACCGCGAUAUCGUCGCGGGAGAAGAGGCAAUUUAAUUUUGCAACCACCUGUCCUUAAAACUGGUUUUACGCAUGCUAGAGAUGCUCUACGCAACAAGGUUAGAAAGAGCAUGAAACCUUGGUUUGUUUACCUACACUUGACUCUUUUCAUAUUCCAGUUUGAAGUGUUCCUUUUAAUCGGUAAUCUAGCUUUAAGUGUUGAUCCUGCCGCUACAUACGCGUUCUUCCCCAAAUCAGAAACAAGCUGGUGGCUGCACAGACCUUGUGGUCCAUUCUUUAGUACUACUAUAUCAAGACAUUUACCAUAUUGUUAUUAGAAAAUCCCGAUUACCACAUGUAACGUACUCUUCGAUUACCGUACGUGCAGGAAGAGAAUAUAGUACUGCACGUACUGAGAGAGUAGUAGUUAAUUGGUGUACGCACUGCCGCUGGAUCUUGUUGUUUUUCGAGUACCAUGCACGUUGCUCGCUUUGUGUGGAUGCAUCGUGCAUAUCAGACCAUCAGUAGUAUAUCGCAUUUUUCUCAAUUGGAAGUAGCUUAGCCCGUGGUUGGUACAAGUUUUGCAUCUGGUCCAUUCAACAUGCCAUAAUACUAUAUCAAUGCAUUUACUACAUUAGUGUGUUCAAGAAGAUCGAUCGAUCUCGCAAACGUACACGCUUGAGGUGUGCAAAUGCAUGAGUGUACUUGCAUAUGGGCAUGAGAAAACAAUGCAGGUCCGUGCCGAGAUAUUUGACAAGUCGGCACGAGCUUGAAUUUGAUUCCACUCCGGUCCGGUCAGACAUACUUCCUUCAAUCCAUGUCUCAAAUUUAAUACUUCCUCCGUCCAACAAAAAAUGUCUCAAAUUUGUUAGAAUUUGAAUGUAUCUAAAUGUGAAUUAGUGUAUAGAUGCAUUCAAAUUUGGUCAAAGUUGAGACAUCCUUUGUUGGACGGAGAGAGUACAAGCUUAUAUUAAGUUACUCACUCCGGCCGGAAUUAUUUGUUGAAAUAUUCAUGUAUCUAGACGUUUUUUGAACAUAGAUACAUUUAUAUUUGGACAAAUUUGAGACAACUAAUAUGGACGGGAGAGAGUAGCAUGAGACAAAUAUUAUGGAUCGGGCAGAGCACGUGUUAACGAAUUAUGUUGCGGUACGCUGGCCCUGAUCAUUACGGCGGCCACAGGGUUGCAAGAGUACUUGUGUAGGCAGUGGUAUGUACGCAAGUAGUACAGCUAUGUCAUGGAAACUUAAUUGAAAUCUGAGGCUCUCCCACGGAUGGGAUCUCGAUCGUUCUGCCAAAACCUUCAUGAACCUGUUAUAUGUGCCGGUCGUACCAAGAAAACAAACAAACUCUUUCCUAGCUCGAUUGUAAGUACAAAUCUUGCAUUGCUAGCUCUCCCUAGCUGAAAUAUAUAUAUGCACACGCCCAAAUAAAUGUGCAUGUACAGUUCAUAAUUUUGGGGCCAAAAUGUGUACAAAUCAGAGCCACGAGUAGCCACUGCCGGAAUCGAUCGAUAUGUAGCUCGCUUAACUUCACCUCACGUACGAUCGGCGCUCGAUCAUGUAUCUGUGUCGUAUGUACCGCUUGUGCAAGUUCAUUUGCACUUUAGAUAUAGGACGUACAGCUAGGUGCCAUUACCCAUGCGUACAUCCUAGCUAGGAUUGCCUAUGCAUGGUACGAGAAUGCACUUUGUAUUCUGGCAUCCAGCUAGUGUUCCCUGUAUUUUUAAAAUAAUAAUAAUAAUCAAAAACCAUAUUGAUGAGUUUCGAUAUUUUUUCACGUGAAAUAUAUAGGCUUUGCUAUACGACACAUUUAUUAAUAAUUGAUAAAUAUUUCAUCUAUGGGCUACACAGAAAAAUGAAUAAUGUAAUAAUGGAUGCACUAUUUGCUACUCCCAGAUUUGUGCUAGGUGCCAAGGCAGCUCUCGUUUCUAGUGCCUGCCACUGAUAUUGGGUUAAUAAUAAAUGGAUGUGAGUAGUUAUUUGCCGGGUGCGGGUACUAAGAGAAAAAUGAGAUCCAUUGUGAAACAAAUGAGAAAAAUCUAUACGCGUUCUAUUGUGGAAUGCAGUGAGUAUUGUAGAACAAAAAUGGAUAUAUUAUCAAUUAAUCAAGAUAUGUACGUAUGUAUACAUGUACAUGUACAUGUGGAACGUUUUUUAAAAACUCCAAAAUAUGAUAUUAUUAUCUUUUGUAUUUUUUAAAAUACAGAAAGUACUGGAACCCAAGAGCAAAAUUCGCUCCAUACUAGAAGUACACACCAACAUACAAGUACUCAUCAAUGACCUUUGAAAAAAUAUAUCCCAUAUAUUUUUCUGAGCCGUCACAGAAGCCGUUGGUGGCCGCAUAUCGUUCCAGGAUAGAAAUUUGCGGGGAUGUUUUUUUUUUUUAAAAAAAAAAUCUAUCGAGAUUGCAUGGGAAGACUAGAUCAGACCAUCGAUCUAGGCUUCAGGCACCAUCGUCGUGGCCGGAAGGAGGGAUUAUUGGCAACACGGUUGAGGGGAGGGAGAUGGAGGUGGAUGAUGGAGCUUCAACUUCCUAACUGUGCGAGCGCUCACCGUGGACAACAGAGGCUGACAUCGAAGUUGUGGAAGAAGAUGAUAGCUAGAAGUGAAGAAGCCCUUUGCGAGGACAAUGACAAGUACGAAGCUUCAACCCUCUACACCGAUUCAACAAACUUUGAUGACGUAUGGGAGCACCAAGUUUGACGAUGCAUUUACCAUUCCACAUUAUGGCCAUUGCAAAAGUUUGAUCGGUCACCAUGUGUGCCCCAACACACAACUCAUACCCGCCAUUAUAGAGUACUCCUUCCGAUCCUUUUGAACUAAAAUAACGACAAUAAUUUGGGAUAGGAAGGAGUAUUUAUUAUUAGUGUUCGACUUUGGCCUUCAAAAUAUUUGGCAGCCUAUGACAGUUUUGAAAUUUUGUCCAACUACCACGUAUGCAUCAUCUCCACAAAUCUUGCAAAAAUUUCAGCCGACCAAAAGCCAAGGUAUCAUAUUUGGCUAGUGAUGGUGGCCGUCACUAAUUCAUAGGGCUUGAAUUGGUAGUUUGGUACUCCAUAUUAUCCAAACGUACCUACCCACACCACAUAAAUGUUACUCUCUCUGAUCCUAAAUUGUUGACUUAAAUUUGAUCAAAUAUGAAUGUAUUUAUUCUUAAAAAAUAUCUAGAUACAUGUAAUAUUUCAACAACAGUUUAGGAUCAGAGUGAGCAGCACAUGGAGUGAUCGCUGCUGAAUCCUUGUUCAGUAUUUCUGGCCGGGCCAAAAUUGAACCACGAGGACAAGUCACAUGCGUGCACGUCCAGUGACCCGCGUGACAAAGAGCAGUACCAUAUAGCAAAAUUGAUUGCUUUUUUCCUUAAAGCACAAGCACGUACGCAUGGCGUGAUGAUGAAGAGCCAAGAUUUUGGCGGCCGGCGGCGUCACUGCACGGGGGGUUGACAUCCUCGCAAAGAUUUCUGGGAAUGAACGCCGCGUACAUCACCCACAGUGUACGAACGUUCAGAGCUACGAGCGGCCACGGGCCACUAGUCCCACUACUGUAAACGUGACGACUUACACCUGGGCGUACGGCCUCGCAAUUCUUAACUUCCUCGCAUUACGCGCACAAACGCGAGGACACCGUACGCACCGUACGUGUGUGCAAAGUUUGAUUGUAGCUCGGGACGAAAUUAAGGCGCCGGAUUUGUUUGUUUCUAAAUCCGAUGGCAACAACUUAUGCAGGAUCGGACGUCUGGGCUCAUGCAGGCGACGGUGAUGCUUCUCAGAAGCCGUGAUGGGCGGCGUCCAGCGGCUGGGAAUAGGAUGUGUCUGCUGUCCUCUUAAACUCUUCUCUCUAUUUGGCUCGUGUGGGUCAACAAUGAAGUUUAUCGCCACUCUGUUUUGAGAUUUUGGGAGUUUCUGGCUCUGUAGGACUAGAUAUUUGGUGGCAUCAGGUUUUCAACCCAUACAGUUCCGACCGAGCCGGCUGGGACACAGUAGGUUUCCUGGUGGUGUCAGGAUCCGCUUCUCCCCAUUCUCUUGUGUUUUUCUUCCUGUAAAGCUCUAAAACAUUGUUAUUUCCGUUUCAAUGAAAUGAAAAAUGAUGGUCAUCCGAAAAUAAGCUCUAAUGCAUCCAACCAAAAUAUUGUCAGGUAGAAUUAGGUACCAAAUUAGUCUGUAAAAGCGACCCCACCAGCCUCCAGACCACACAAGCCACACCACAAGUGAAAAAAAAAUGCCUAGCAGAUUCCAAUUGAUCAAAAAAAGAACACACAGGAGAACCAGACCAAUUCUUUUUCCUUGUGUAUAAAAGCCAUAAGAAAAUUUGAAUUUUCAGGAGAAUUUUUGCUUUCCAAAUCCAUCUAUGAUGGCUGCCAUGAAUAUUUCUUUCCAACCACUUAUACAUUGAUCUCACAGAAUAUACUUCUCCAAGGACCAGCACAAAUUUUCUGGUCCAGUAAAAUAAAGAUCAGAUGUUUUGCUUUUUGUUGGAUUUUACCAUGUAUAUCUUCUUUUUGGUUAAUCCUUCAUGUUCUUUUAGUAUAUAAUUGUCUGAUUUUCAAUAACCAGUUCUCAUUCUGUUCUGUUUUAUACUUUCACCAAAAUGGGCAGCUUUGAUCUUUCUGCCAAAAUAAUUUCGAAACGAUGUGAUGAGUAUUUAAAUCCUUGAAGGUAAUAGGAGGAAGAAAUUCUCGCAAAAAAAAAAUAAGCGGAAGAAAUACAUCUCAAUCAGGUCAAACUCCAGAUUCAUAGUCAAGUCUUCCCCGGCCGAAACCGAGAGUGAUGUUCACCAUCUCAAUCAGUGGAACCUCCACCACUCACGAAAGCAAUCAUUCACGACAGGUAGAUAAGAACAAAUCAGCCAUCAUACACUACACCUCAUGCACCUCAGUCUUAGACAAAUUUACUAGCAAAAUGCCUUCCACUGGCUGGCUUAUAUUACUUCUCCUUGUUCUUACAAAGCUCACGUUCAGUGGUGUCCAUGGCAAUCUUCCUAGAAAUUCUGUCCAUUGCCUUCCAGACAAGGCUGUGUCGCUCCUUCAGCUGAAGCAAUCCUUCUCCUUCGAUUUCUCUACCACCACCCUCCCUUCAUGGCAAGCCGGUACCGACUGCUGUCUUUGGGAAGGCAUUAGCUGCGACGUCUCCUCCGGUGAGGUCACUGCCCUCAGCCUCGCCGGUCGAGGCCUGUAUAGCUAUGGCAUAGACAGUGCAAUCUUCAAUCUCACCUCCCUGCAGCAUCUUGACCUUAGCAGGAACAAUUUUGGUGGGUCACACCUUCCGGAUGUCGGGUUUGAGAGGCUCUCUUUGCUCACCAACCUCAACCUCUCUGGUUCAGGUCUCUAUGGCCAGAUCCCUAUCAGCAUAGGGUACCUCACAAGUCUCGUCUCCCUUGAUCUCUCCAACAGAGACGUGACUACUUACUUUGCAAAUAUGUUGGUGUUGUGGGAACCGAGUUUUAUGGUGUUGGUGGCAAAACUCACCAAUCUAAGGGAGCUUUACCUAGAUUGGGUGGAUGUAUCUGCUAGUGGAGAAGAGUGGUGUGGUGCCCUGGCAAGACAUGUUCCUCAUCUUGAGAUUCUUAGCUUGGACCUAUGUAGGCUCUAUGGUCCAAUUCAUGUGUCCCUCUCAAGAGUUCGCUCGCUUUCUGUGAUUAACCUCCAUAGUAACUACAGAAUAUCUGGUGCAGUUCCGGAUUUUUUUGCAGAUUUCCAAAAUCUAAGUGUUCUUCAGCUUGGUGAUUGUCGUUUUGAUGGGCUAUUUCCUCCAAGGAUCUUUGAACUAAAAAAACUGAGAGUCCUUGAUUUGUCCUAUAACUCAAACAUGUUGGUUCACCUUCCAGAUUUUCUGAAUGGAAGUUCUUUAGAGAUAUUAAAUAUACAAGAUACAAAUUUCUCUACUGCCAGCCCAAGGUCCUUCAGCAACCUCAAGUUUCUCGAGGAGCUACACAUUGAUGGGAAAUAUAAAUACCUCACGGUGCUUCCUCCAUCCUCAUUUAAGUCCUUGAAGAAGUUGCACUUGUCUCAGCUAGAAUCAGAAACACCAGCCUCCUGGCGGAUUGGGGAAGCUCAGAACUUAACAUAUUUGGAAAUUUCAAGCAGCAACUUCUCCGGGAGAACGCCAUCUUGGAUUGACAAUCUCAGAAACUUGAGGAAAUUGCAAAUCUAUGACUGCAUCUUCUCUGGGCCUAUACCAUCAACAAUUGGGAAUCUGAUGAAUUUGACAGAUUUGGCACUUCAGAAUUGUGGUUUUUCUGGAAGAAUACCAGCAUGGGUUGGUAAUUUAACCCAACUAUCUUAUUUGGACCUUGACACGAAUCAUCUGAGUGGUAAGUCUACAUACCAAAAUAUUAUUCCAAUCACCACAAAUCUAUGAUGUAACUGCACAAUUUAGUUUUAUGAGAUUUUUUAUUGAAAAGAAGUGUUUUACUUAGAUUUAUUUAUUGAAAUAAGUGUUUUAAUGAGAUUUUUCUUUUCAAAAAUAUUAUUGCACGGAAAUCACAUUUGAAUGUGUUAUGGGUGCUUUAAAAAUUCAUUUGAUGGACCUAUAUACAGUGUACUAUAGGAUUACACCCACCAAGUUAGUGGUUAGUUCUGAUUAAGUGGUCAAUAUGGGAAUAUACUGUUUCAUUUAUUUAGUUUUGGUUACUUCAAAAAAACUGGAAAGUGAAGAUCAGGGGCCAAUUAACCUAAGAGCGAGCGUGCCGGCGAAUACGAACCAAGGCCCCGAGAUAGUUAUAACAGUAUAGGGGCCAAUUAACACAAAAUCCUUUUUAUCCAGUAUUAAUUUGGAACCACGUGCAUCUAAAGCAUCCUUUACAAAAAUCAAUGUAGUUGUAUGCAACCUAGAGCAAUAGCAUGAAGAACACGACACGAACACGAAGAACAGUUAGAACAGAACGUAAUAGGAACACAAGCUAGGAAACAAAGCGGAGUCGAGAACAGAAUCACAGUAGAUGUAAAUGAUAGCCCUUUGGGUCAGAUUGUUUUGCAUUGAAUUAGUUUAACUUGUCCUGUCGCCAGUGGGCCAGGGAAGGUACAGCGGCCAAAGAAAUACACAAGCUGUCAAGCUAUUCUGCUGGUGGCGACAUUUCGUAGAUCCGUAGAGGAAGUUGUGCUUAGCACCGACGAUUGUAUGAUAUCAAUAUGUUACGCAUGUGAAUCCUAUUCUGGUAACUUUAUUUCUGAUGCAAAUGAAGAAGAAUGAUUGGAGCAGAUUUUAACUGAACUGACAUUUAUUUUGCUUAUUCUCAGGGGAAAUACCAGAUUCCAUAUUUACUCUUCCAGCAUUACAGAUGCUGGAUCUUUCUUCAAAUCGACUUUCUGGCAAGCUAAGGGACUUUCUUGCUUCAUCUUCUUCCUUGUAUUGGAUUGACAUGACUGACAAUGAAUUGGAUGGGUCAAUAAAGUCACUCAGCCAACUAAAAAGAUUGCAUGCACUCUUUCUCGGUUCUAAUAACUUCAUGAUAGAUCAGGUAGAGCUCAAUUCGUUGUUGGGAUUAAGAGAACUCCGGGCACUGGACCUGUCAAAUAAUAGGCUGUCAGUAAUAGAGGUGACAGAUGGACAAGGAGUUUCAGUUCCUUCUGUAUCUCGACUUCAAGUUUUGGACCUAGCAUCCUGCAACCUAACUAAAAUUCCAGAUUUUCUACAGUUUCUGCACCAUGUCGGUUACUUGGAUAUUUCUAAUAACCAUAUUUCCGGCAGUAUACCUAAGUGGAUAUGGGACAAUUGGAGUAAUACACUUCUCUAUCUGAACUUGUCAAACAACAAUUUUUCUAGCAUGGAACUAUCUUCGCCUUUUCUUCCAAAAGCCCUACAAAUUAUUGAUCUUAGCUCCAAUAGACUCCAGGGAAAGGUCCCUAUUCCACUGAAGCCAACAAACCUACAGUUCUUGGACUACUCAAAUAACAGAUUCUCAUCAAUCUUAAAAAACUGCACCUCAUGCCUUGGAAAAACUUUCUACCUUAAGAUGGCAAAUAAUAGAAUAAGAGGAGAGAUCCCACACUUCAUUUGCAACGCGAGCAAGCUUGUAAUUCUUGAUUUAUCUAAUAACAGUUUCAGUGGAACGAUUCCAUCAUGUCUAAUACAAGGUGGCCAUCUCAGCAUAUUGAAUUUGAGGGACAAUCACCUCGAAGGAAGACUAGCAUCUAGGGUUGACAAGAGAUGCGCUCUUCAGACAAUAAAUUUGGGUGGAAAUAGGAUUGGAGGUCAACUUCCCUGGUCACUUUCUAACUGCAAGGAUUUGGAGUUUCUCGAUCUGGGUAACAACCAAAUUGUUGACUCUUUUCCACAUUGGUUGGGAAAGCUUCCCAAGCUUCGCAUUCUGGUCUUGAGAUCAAACCAGCUCCAUGGCACAAUAGAAAAUUCUCCAGGAGAUGAUGACUAUGGAGAACACUUUUCAAGUAUGCAAAUAAUUGACGUUGCCUCGAACUAUUUCUCUGGCAAUCUGAGGUCACCAUGGUUUGAAAAUUUACAGUCUAUGAUCAAAAGUUCUGAUUUCGAAGGAGACAUUAUAAAAGCUCAAAACGUGACAGGAUCUUAUCAAGAUAUUGUCACCGUAAUGUUCAAAGGGCAGUACAUGACAUUCGAGAAGAUAUGGACCACUCUUACAAUGAUCGACUUCUCGGAUAAUGCAUUCACUGGUUCCAUUCCUGAAUCAUUUGGAAGACUUGGUCAACUACAUGGACUCAACCUGUCAAAUAACAUGUUGACAGGAGAAAUUCCAGCACAACUAGGUGGUAUGACUGCUCUGGAGUCAAUGGAUCUAUCUUCAAACGAGCUUUCUGGGGAGAUACCAGAGGAGCUGACAGACCUCACUUCUCUAGGUACCUUGAAUUUGUCCAACAACCAAUUCAUCGGAAAAAUACCGGAAUCGCGCCAAUUUGGAACGUUCCAGAACAAUUCGUAUGAAGGGAAUGCAGGACUGUGUGGACCGCCCUUGUCCAAACAGUGUGACAGCCAAGGAGGUGGACCAAUUGGAGUGCUUGCGAGCAAGUCCUCAGAUCAGGUUGAUGUCAUUUUGUUUCUCUUCAUCGGCAUAGGAUAUGGCCUUGGGUUUGCAGCAGGUUUACUAAUCAAAUGGAGUCGCAUAGGCAAGUGGUUCAGGACAACAAACACGUCUUGAUAGUGCGCAAGCAAAGGUUUGUCUGCGGAGUGCAACUAUGCCUAUGCUGAAUUUUGAAGUAUUUGUUGUACUUACAUUGUUGUUAUCAGCACCUGCAGCUUCAUAAUUGCAGCAAAAAAAAAUGUCUCUACUGCAAGUUGUCUUUCUGUUGCUAUCAGUGUCUGUACUCAGCAAUCAAAACUUUGUACUACGUGAUUUGCAUGUUCAAGAACGAUCUAAAUUUCCGUAUAUUUUUAAGGCAGAUUUUAUUUCGGAUGAAAACCUAAAAUGUACAUGAAAAUUAGUUCUGGGCUCACAUUAGCGAUAUGUACAUAUAGGUAAAGGAAGAACAAUUGUAAAAUUCAGAUUUCAUAUAUUACAUGUCUUAAUUGAACCAGAGUCCAGAAACAGGACCAUAAUAAGCUGAACAGAAACAAAUGAUUCUGAAUCUGAAUGAACAAGCAUGCCAAGAAGAGAAGAGACCUGUGAACCUCUCUUGUUCUCGAGGUGGGUGCUCCAUUCCCGCCAGCCAUGGUCUACCUUGAGUGAUUCUUCCGCCCAUCACGAUCACGAUGCCUCCAACGGCCGGCUCCUGCGCCCUCCUUCCUUGGCGGAGCAUCUAGGCGACGCGCCGCCCAAUGUCGUGGUGCCCCCACCCGCGACUUGACGGCUGCGGCGAAAGGACGUGGCCGGCGGCGCGUAGAAGGCCGCCGGAUUCCCAUAAAAAAGAAGCGUGCGGCAGCAGCGCAUCUCCGCCGGUCGCCGGAGAGGGAAGGGGAAAGGCUUCGAAGAAAAAAGGGUAGCGGGGAUGAUACUUGAGCCGGUCUUUCUACGCUCUUGUACAAGGCGACCAAAAAGAGCAAAAUGCACCGUAGCUUGUAAAACUACGAAAGAUGUGUCAAUUCGGUCCUCACGACAUAAGUUUGUAAUGCAUUUUUAGUGGUCAGCUAAGUUAGAUGCUCUCUUCCUCCAAAAAAUACAAACACAAAUUGAAAAUUAAGUGAAGAAAGAAUUGACACGGUACCAUUGUACAAAACCAAAGGUUUCAAUAUACCACUCAAAUAAACAUCCUUUCCAAAAAACCACUACAAUUCAGUUUUUCAUGCCAAAAUGCCGCUAUCGUCAAUUGACUGUUAGUCAAAGUGGUAGAAAGAUGCCAGUAAUCUUACUAUUUCAAUAUUAUCCUUCUCCUUCCUCAUGCGACACGAUAAUGGCAACUCUCUACUGUAAUGGUAGAUCGUAGCUUUGUUUUUUUUCUCAACGUGCGCAACUCUGAACCACUAUCUUUUGUUUGCUGCUAUCUAAAUGCUACUGAAAUGUUGAAGGUUGUCCAAUUGAUGUCGAAAUUUGUCCAAAUGUGCUACUAAAAUCUGUCCAUAUGUGUUGCCGAAGUGUUGUUGAAAUAUGUCCAUAUUAUUGUUGAAAUGAUGUCUGAAUGUGCUGCUGAAAUGCAAGCAAAUGUUGUUGAAUUGUGAAGAGGCGAGGGUAUAUAUGCAGGGACGGAGUCAGAAAUUUGACAUGAGGGGGCGAGUUGGGAUUAGGGGGGCGAAAUUAAAGUCUUCACCUAUUUUAAAGUGAUUUUUAAUGAGCUGAUUAGUAAGUAUUAACUAAAAUGAGUCCAUUUUUGUGGUUGUUAGGGGUUGUUAGUCUUUAGUGGUAUUUUGACAUGAAAAACUGAAUUGUAAUGGUAUUUUGGAAAGGGUGGUUAUUUGAGUGGUAUUUGAAACCUUUGAUUUUGCAUAGUGGUACCAUGUCAAUUCUCUCUCAAGUGAAUGUUUUCUUGUUGAAGUUUAUGAGUUUUAUUAUGGAGUAAACAUUGAGUAGAUAUGCAAUUAAGAACCAAUUUGACAAGGAGUAACGACGAAACGGAUAUAUGUGAUGGCAGCUCAAUGAUCAUUGAUCAACUUAUUUUUGGAUUUCUCAAAUUAGAAUUUGUCCUUAUAUUUUUUUGAUCGAGUGAGUAGAAUAAAACAGAACCUAAAGUUUACUGGCUCCUCUCUGUAUUUUCCCACCUGAGCUCACAAUCACAAACAAUGUGAUUCUAAGGCGAUCGGAUUCGGCGAUUGGAACUUCGACGAGCUCGCAAACGCUUUGAACUCCUGACCAUGGUGGGAGGAGACUGAGAAGUCUAGAAAUAACAGAGAGAACGAAGAAAGGGGAGGAGGCCGUGAGAUAAAUGCAAAAUGACCAAAUGCUUCCGGUGAAUUUUCCUGCCAAAACCGACCCUUUCUGUCUGGCGUUGGUUAACGAGCUACGUGGACAAGUUAGGUCCCGAUGGGACUUACUACUUUUGUUUCACAAAACACAUGUAGAUUUGUUCAUUCGGAUAAAAUCAGCUCUCAUUUCUAAUGUCUCACUAUUUAUAUUGAUUAUUACUAAAUGAAUGUAAACUAUUAUUGGCCGGUUGCGGGAGCCAAGAGAAAAAACGAGCUAUAUUAUUGAACAAAUCAGGAAAAUCUGUGUGAUUUGUUUUGUGAAAUGGAGGGAGUAUGAUGAAACACUUGAUACACACGGUUAGAACUAAAAUGUGCAUUUUUAUACUUUCAGGACUCGGUUGAUACAUUUCACAUGGUUUUACGAGCUUUGAUGCAAUUAACUCGGACAAAAAUGUACCAGUAGAAACUCCAAAUAUUGAGUUCUCUUAAUAUAUUUCAUCAUUUUUUUAACUAGUACCGUGGCCCUCUCAAAUAGGAGGGCAAUAUAUUUAGUGUGUACAUAGAAUUAAAUGUUCCAACUCAGAUGAAAAGGUCACAAUGAUAAACACAUAAACUUUACGAUCUUUCAUCAUGUCCUUACUUCCCUAAUACCAAAAUACAUCAUGUUUUAGACACGGGCAGCACCUAAAAGACAAAAUUUUGGCGUUCUGCUUUGUAUGAACAUGCUACUAAUUUUUUGAAAAGAUGUAUAAUUAUACAAUAUUUUCAUGAUUAAUCUCAUGGCCUUAAUUUGGUCUCUCACAAUAAUGUGUUUAUACAUCGAUAGUUAAAGUUAGAGAAAUAUGAAAAAAAAAAGCUUUUGAGGACAACAAUCUAUCUUUGAACGGAGGUGUUGUUGUUGUUGUUGUUGUUGAUCUAUAAGUGCUAUCUGAUCCACUCCUCAAUUCAGCUAUUGUACAUUCUCGUUCCCUUAUAUAUGUCGUGUCAUGUAACGUCAUUAUAUCUCCUUAGUCUUGGCUUGAAUGCAUGGCAUAGUCCUGACAAUUAAUAAUCUCAUUCAAAAAAUAGUUAUCCAUUUUACUUCACCUUUACCAUUCCCAGGACGAACCAAAUUUGUGGUGUGGCAAAAUCAGUAGCACGGCGACAAUGUACAACACAACAUUUCAUUCAUUGGGUAAUACGGGUGCGAACAUAUUAAGAUAAAGGUAAGUUACCGAAAAAUACCUCAUUAAGCGAAGCUCAAACAAAAACUCACCAUUAAUCUAAUAAAUCUAAGUAGGGGAAACCACUACUUAUUUCUCUCAUCAUGCAAGCAUGCCACAUCAUCACACAAUUAAUUAAUUUGUUCACACAUCUAUUUUUUGCACAUGCGUUACUUUCCAUCAAGCUAUUUCCAUUAAGUGAAGCAUGUAUAAUCUAUCAUACAAUUACAUUAUAUGUUUUCAAUGCAUACUCUUUUGUUGCUACUUUUUACUCAUGUAUGUUAACUAAGAAUUUCAUUCAACAACGUGGGCUCACGUAUGUUAACUAAAAGUUUUCGCGACAACGUGCGGGGAAUCAUCUAGUUUAUCUAAUGUAUCGGUAUAAAGACUAACAGCAACGUCAUACAUAGUAAUAGUACAUAGUUACAUACAGUAACAAACACUGAUAUACAUACCUCUAAAAUUUGCCGUGGCCUUGCAGCCCUUCGUCUUCUUUGAAGGUGUCGGGCGGAUGACCCCGGAUAGGGUCUUGGCGACACACAUUAGCCGAGAUGACGAAGGCAAAUCCGGCACAGGCAUGUACGUCGGCAUCCUUAAGACAAACUAAUGCUAAGCCGGCAUACCAAGUGUAUGCCGGCAUGACUAUCUUGUCUUAUGAGAUGGCAGGAUAAGGACGGAUACACUGAUCUCGGCCAGCGCCGAGAUGUCUUAACGGUCUUAUCCUCAUCGCGUGGCGCAAAGUAAAGCAACGCUAUCUUUAUCACGGAAAAGCAGUCGCUGCUUACGUUGUGAUGGCAGACGACCGCGCAAAGAAGCACCGAAAGAGAAUCAGUGACGGAAGCCGGCAGGCGGCUGGUGUACUUGUUGCAGAGCGUCAGGAAAAAUACAGUUGUCUUGUCCCCUGAGGUGCCACCCGGAGGGAACCAAGGCGCGUGCCCGGCGGGACUCAUAGAAGAUAACGUUAGCCCUUGACCCACAUGUCAGUGUGACAUGGGCGGUCCAUAAAUAGAGCACUACCCCUCCCAGGAGAGGGAUCCAACACUUAGGCAUCUAGGGUUUACCCCUUCUUCUUCUUAUUCUUCUUCUUCUUCUUCUUCUUCUUCUUCUUCUUCUUCUUCUUCUUCUUCUUCUUUCCUCAAGAACACUGCUCAAGGAGCGCCAUUGUAGAUCUUGUUAUCUCGGCUUAUUAAAAAAAGCAGGAGUAUGAGUCUUACCUCUACAAGAGGGCUCCGAAUCUGGGUAAAUCUGUGUGUGCUAGUGUGCUUGUGCGUGUUUCUCUUCACGUCCUCCCUCCUCCGGUUCCUCUUUCGUCCAUCGGCCCCAACUUAAGCCAUCCUAUGGCAUCUGCCGUGACACCACCACGACAGUUGGCGCCCACUGUGGGGCCAGCAGCGGCGCUGGCUGGAGUUUUCAUCCGGACGGAAGCUUCCUCGUCACCGGGGAGCGCGUGGUCUCCGGUUUGGUCUAGAGAUUUGGCUCUCUGGGCUUCAUCGACAACAACGCCGGCUGCUUCAACAACGCGCCGCUUCCUUGCGCAGGCCGCUUCAUCAACUUCGGCAUGCAUGAGGUUUAUGUCGCCACUGACAGUCCUUGCAGGUACCCCGAGCAGGUAGUGGUGGCCGAAGAUCCCCCCACCGUCUGCACGGUUCGCGGCCGGCAUGUCGACUGCCCCGCUGACCGUGUGGAGGUCAUGGUGACGGCUCACGGCGUCGAUGCUGGCAAGGGCACCGCAGAGAGCGGCACGGUCCCGAGCAAGUCCGGCAGAACGGCGAAGUUCCCUUUGGAGAAGCCGGAUAAUGUCGCUGCUCAAGCCGGCACGUCGGCUCUACCGCCAAAGUCGACUCAGCUCCAGGCCUCCAACGAACGGCUGACCGUGCCGGUGGCGUCAAACUCUAACCCGGCCCAGCUGCAGGCUGAGUUGGAGUUGGAGCGCCAGAAAUUGCUGAAGGAAGCUGUUGACGUGGCUCGCGCUCGGCAAGAACUUGAUAUUUCGCUCCGUAUAACAAAGCUCAUGGUUUCAAUUCUAUCGCAUUGACUAACCCUAGCCGAGUUGGGGAAGUGCGUAACCGAGGCAGGAACUUGAACGCCGAGAUAGCUAGAGAUUGCAGAGGGGUGCCUGCGGUGUCGGCAAGUUUUGCCUCGGCAUUGAAGCCGAGAUACAACACCCCUGUCAAGAAUCUCAGGGCCACCGAGGCUGCGGCCGAGGAGUUGCCGAAUCCCACGGGAGAGGCACUCCGGCUGUAGCAAUUGCGCGUGAAGGAGUUACUCCGCACGGCUAACGAGCAGAAUGAGGCAUACAUGAGAUUGCACGGCAAGCCCAGUGCGUCUCAGGUCAUUCACUCGGUAGCGGGCGCUGAUGGCCGGGCUGACAAGCAAGCGUCCUCGCCUGAUGGCAAACGGGACAAGAGUGUCAACUCAGGCCGAGAUAAGCGCCUAGAGCAUUAUGACCCGGUUCUGGCCGAGAAGCAAAUGGUCAAGAGAGUUGAAGACAGCCAGAGUGGUAUGCGUCUCGGCAACAAUCGCCGAGAUCAGCAAGAGCGUCACUCGGCUGGUCUUGGACACCGACCUCGGGGUCCGGCACCCAAUACUGUUGUAGGUCAGCAGGGUGUCGGGCGCAACCCCCUGUAUCGAGGUGAAGAUCGCCGGCAAGACCGUUACGAUGACGGGUACUCGGCCAUGGGUGAUGAGGGCUCUCUCAGGCAAGAACGCCAUAAUCUCGGCCCGCUCGGAGCCCGAAUUGGGAACAAACAAGUGUCGCCGCUGGAUGCCCAACAUCGGCUCGACAGAAUAUAUCUGUCAGAGGUUUUGGAAGAACUAGGCCCUUCGGGACAGCGUUGUUUCGCACACCGGAUCAUGAGGGAGACACCAGCCCAGGGUUUCCAGCUGCCCAGGGGUACGAGAACAUAUGACGGCAGUACUAAGCCGGAAGAUUGGCUGGAAGACUAUGUCACGGCGGUGCAUGUGGCAGGCGGCAAUCGCCGAUGGGCAGUACAUUAUGUACCCCAGAUGCUGGUAGGGCCGGCAAGGAUAUGGCUGAACAAUUUGCCGGAAGGCAGCAUCAAUUGCUGGAUAGACUUUGAGGAAGUUUUUGUCAGCAAUUUCACUAGCACUUACAAGAGGCCAAACCGCUCUCAGCGGUUCUUCAUGUGCAUGUGCAAACAAAGAGACAAUGAGACUGACCGGAAUUACCUGACAAGAUGGAACAACCUCCGCAAUUCCUGUGAAGGGAUAGUGGAAUCGCAAGCCAUAGCGUGGUUUGCCCAAUGAUGCCGACAUGGCAGCAUGUUAUGGCAAAAGCUGCAAAGAGAAAUGCCGGCCACUCUGUCUGAGAUGAUCAAGAUUGCCGACAUGUAUGCUCUCGGUGAUCCGACUCAGCCAUCAUUGAUGCCGUCAGAGCCGCAAAGGGAGCAGCCGAUAUACAACCCUGCUAGAGCAUUCCAGAGGAACGAUUAUCAAGAUCACCGCAACAAGAGAAGGGACGACAGGUCGGAUUACCGGUAUGGGCCAGCCCAUGUCGCCGCUAUUCAGGAUCAACCUGAUGCCGGCUCUAGCCAGUGUUGAAAGACUGAAAAUCAGCAGUGGGUCAAGAAAGGAGAGCAAAAGAAGCCCUGGCAAGAUAACCAGAAGUAUAUGUUCGAGGUGAUGCUGGAUCAGCCUUGUCGUUUUCACACGACUAAUCCCAGCAAACCGACAAAUCACACAACCCGGCAAUGCAACUGGAUGCAGCGGGCCGAGAAGGGUGAGGCAAGUCGGCUGCCCCCUCCUCCACCGCUCACAGGCGUUAACGCCCAGAUCCAAGGACCCCCUCCGACAAACAAUGCUGUCAAUCAGGUGGAAGACCAAGGUAUCCCGCAAUAUGCCGGAAGAAAUAAAUACAAGGAGCAUCACGAGAGCUACAUGAUUUUCAUCACGGAGCCGACUGACAAGCAGAGUCAGCGUAGGCGAGAGAUGGAAGUCAAUGCUGUGAUGCCGGCGGUUCCAAAGUUUAUGUACUGGUCGGAAUAGGAGCUCAACUGGAACCGAGCGGAUCAUCCCAAGGUUAUGCCAAAUCCUGGUAGAUAUGCUCUGGUGGUUGACCCGACACUCAUUGGGCCCGGCAUUAACGUCAAGUUCACUCGGGUUCUCAUUGAUAUUGGAAGAAGCAUAAACAUCAUGUACCGGGACACGAUGCUCAAAUUUUGGCAUUACUCAUAACAUGCUUGAGCCUAGCCGGACUACCUUUCGUGAUAUCGUGCCGGGAGUGUCUUGUGCCCCGGUAGGCAAGAUCCGAGUCGAUGUCUUAUUUGGCACCAGGGAGAAUUGUCGGACCGAGAACCUGGUGUUCGAAGUGGUGGACCUUAGCAGUCCGUACCAUGCGCUACUUGGCAGACCGGCAUUGGCCAAAUUCAUGGCGACUACCCACAUAGGCUAUCUGAAGAUGAAGAUGCCGGGGCCAAAUGGUACCAUAACCAUUACUGGCAACUACAAGCGUUCAAUGGAGUGCGCGGCGGCAGGGUCUGCCUUGGCCGAGUCACUGGUCAUCGCUGGUGAGAAGAAGAAGUUACAAGAAGCUGUUGCGAUGGCUCAAGCGGUACAGAUUGGCCUGCGGGCUAUGACCAAUCCCCAUGGGAGUGUGGCGUUUCAGGCAGCCAGGAGACGAAGAAGAUACAGGUCGACAGUGAAUUCCCGAACCGCACCGUCAUCAUUGGUGCCGGCCUGGGUGAAAAUAGGAAGGCGAGCUCACCAGCUUCCUCUGUGAGCAUCGGGACAUCUUCGCAUGGUCUAAUCAGGACCUGCCGGGUGUGCCGAGGGAGCUGGUUGAGCACUCAUUACAUGUCAGACCAGACGCUAGACCGGUGAAGCAGCCCUUUCGACGCUUCGCCGACGACAGAAGGAAAAUCAUAUCGGACAGAAGGAAAAUCAUAUCGGAAGAGAUAUCCCGGUUUCUAGUUGCGGGCUUUAUCAUGGAAGUAUUGCAUCCCGACUGACUGGCGAAUCCGGUCAUGGUCAAGAACAAGAAAAACGACCCAACUGCUGCCAAGGUGUGGCGCAUGUGUAUCGACUACACAGCCUGAACAAGGCAUGUCCAAAGGAUCCUUUUCCGUUACCUCGGAUCAAUCAAGUAAUCGACUCCACUGCCGGUUGUGAAUUGCUGUAUUUUGUAGACGUGUACUAUGGUUUUCACCAGAUACCGCUGAACCCUAAUGAUCAAAUAAAGACAUCAUUUAUCACCCCGUUCGGGGCUUAUUGCUAUCGCACUAUGCCGUUUGGUUUGAGAAAUGCAGGAGCUACUUAUCAAAGAUGCAUGCAGAAAUGCUUGCACGAUCAACUCGGCAAAAAUGUGCAGGUAUAUGUCGAUGAUGUCGUCAUAAAAACCAAAGAAAGCGCCACGUUGCUGGAUGAUAUCCGGAAAACAUUCGCAAAUCUGAGAAGAUUCCGAAUGAAGCUAAACCCGGCUAAAUGCACAUUCAGUGUGCCGGUAGGGAAGCUGCUCGGGUUCCUGGUAUUGAGCCGAGGUAUAGAAACGAACCAUGUGAAAAUCGCCGCCAUAGAGAGAAUGAAACUGCCGAAAUGUCUCAAAGAUGUGCAGAAAUUCACUGGAUGCCUAGCAUCGCUAAGUCGUUUCAUUAGUCGGCUGGGUGAAAAGGCAAUGCCCUUAUACCAGCUGAUCAAGAAAACCGACAAAUUUGUGUGGACGCAACACGCAGAAGUAGCCUUUCAAGAACUAAAGAAGAUGAUUGCUACAACGCCAAUAUUAGCCUCACCAAUGGAGAAAGAGCCGAUGUUAUUGUACAUAGCAGUAACAAAUCGAGUCGUUAGUGCCGUCAUAGUGGAGGAAAGAGAUGGAGAUGGCAAAUCAGUGCAAAGGCCCGUAUAUUAUUUGAGCGAGGUGUUAUCGUCGUCUAAGCAGAAUUAUCCUCAUUACCAGAAGAUGGCAUACGACGUUUAUAUGGCGGCAAAGAAACUGAAGCAUUAUUUUGAUCUGCAUCAGAUUCGGGUUAUAUGUGAGGCACCCAUGUCAGAAAUCAUGAGCAAUAAAGACGCAAGCGGCCGGAUCGCAAAAUGGGCUAUCGAGUUAGCACCCUACACGCUGCAGUAUGACAGACGGGAUGCCAUAAAAUCUCAGGCUCUCGCGGAUUUCCUGGUACACUGGGCCGAGAUAGAAUAUGAGCCACCACCGCCUGAAACUGGCUAUUGGAAGAUGCAUUUUGACGUCUCCAAAAUGAGAAGUGGGCUUGGUGCUGGCAUAGUAUUAACUUCGCCUAAGCGCGACCAACUUAAAUAUGUGCUGAAAAUUCAUUUUGCGGCAUCCAACAAUGUCGCCAAGUAUGAGGCACUCGUGCACGGACUAAAGAUGGCAAAAGAAAUUGGAGUUUGUCGGAUUCAAUGCUUUGGCGACUCGGACUUGGUAGUUCAGCAAGCUUCCGGCAAUUGGGAUGCAUUGGAUGCCAAUAUGACACUAUACCGCUUUCAUGUUCAGAAGAUCAGUGGUCAUUUCGAAGGGUGUGACUUCCAUCAUAUACCGCGGGCGGAAAAUGAGGCAGCCGACACGCUGUCGAAGCUCGGCUCAACGCGACAAGCUAUCCCGGCUGGUGUGGCAUUGGAGCAUUUACGCAAACCAUCCAUCAAGCCAUCACUAGAAUCGGAGUCAAUCUUUAUCCCGCCGAUCUCAGAAGCUGACAUCACCCCAAUGGACAUUGACAGUGGUAGCGGUUCCGGUAACUCAGUGACUGAGCGCCCUAACUCGGCGGAAGCAAUGGCGGUUGAGCCAAUGGAGAUAGACGAACCAGACGAGCCGAUCUUUGCUACUCGUCCCGUGCUGGCCUGGGCACAACCGAUAAUGUCUUAUCUCAAAGAUGGGAGUCUCCCGGAAUAGUAAGUGUCGGCAAGGCAAAUUUAGAGAAGGGCAAAGGCAUACACUAUACAAGAGAAGUGUUACUAACGUCUUGCAGCGAUGUGUCGAGCCGGCAGAAGGGCAAGAGAUACUCCGAGAUAUUCAUCAGGGAGAGUGCGGUCACCAUGCGUCUUCAAGAACAUUGGUUGGCAAGGCAUUCCGGCACGGUUUCUACUGGCCGAGUGCGAUGCAAGAAGCAGAAGACAUGGUCCGGAAAUGCAAUGGUUGCCAGAGAUAUGCCAGCAAGAUUCACAUGCGGCAUCUGAGCUCAAGACUAUUCCAAUCACUUGGCCAUUUGCUGUUUGUGUUUGGAUAUGGUGGGACCUUUCAAGCGGGCGCGAGGAGGCAUGACACAUUUCUUGGUCAUGGUUGACAAGUUUACUAAAUGGAUUGAAGUGAAGCCGAUACAAAAGUGUGACGGCAAGACUGCGGUAUCAUUCUUAAAGGACAUCAUCUUGAGGUAUGGUUACCCGCACAGUGUCAUCACGGAUAAUGGAACGAACUUUGCGGAAGGACCUUUUGCGUGAUUUCGCGCGGAAAAGAAAAUCCGGCUGGACAUCGCCUCCGUGGCACAUUCUCAAUCCAACGGACAAGUUGAGAGAGCAAACGGCAUGGUUCUAGCCGGCAUAAAACCUAGGUUGAUUGAGCCACUGGAACACACUCUAGGAUGUUGGUUAGAUGAACUCCCAGCUGUGCUAUGGAGUCUUAGGACAACCCCAAAUCGCUCUACAGGCUACACGCCAUUUUUCCAUGUAUACGAGGCGGAAGCUGUCUUACCAGCCCACAUUGAACAUGACUCUCCACGAGUGACCAUUUAUACGGAGGUGAGGUAAAAGAGGCCCGAGAAAAUGAUGUCGACCUGCUCAAAGAAGCAUGGGAAUUGGCUCUAUCUCGGUCAGCCAUCUAUCAACAACACCUAAGGCAUUAUCACAGCCGGAGGGUAAACCCGCGAGUAUUCCGGGAAGGAGACCUCGUGCUCCGACUUGUGCAGCGCACAGCCGGCAUGCUUAAACUAUCACCCCCAUGGGAAGGAUCCUUCAUUGUGAGCAAAGCGCUACACAACAAUUCCUACUAUCUUAUAUAUGCGCAGGAUCCCAAAGCAAACAGGAUGGACAGGUCUGGCGAGGAGACCAAGAGGCCAUGGAAUGUAGCUUUACUUCGUCUGUUUUAUAUUUGAAAGAUGAGUAUUUGUAUCGCUUUUUCCUUUAUGUUGAAUGUUUUGAAAAAAUGAAAUUAUCUGCCGGGUUCUUAAAAAGGACUCGCAGACUCCCAUGCUAUUUAAGUGUUGUAUUGCAUUUACCGUUUUGUAUGUCGGCAUGUCUUAGUUGUGCAAUCUUAUGUCGGUUGAGUAGUCUGUCGGUAUUCAAAAUCCCCUCUAUGACUUCGUUGUUGUGCGCAACGCAGCUUCAUGGCAAGCUAGAGAUUGGGUACGAGAUAACUGAACACAUGAAAAACGAUUGCGGAAACAAACAAAAAAGCGAGCCGAGAUGCGCGUCGUUUUACUUAACUCGGCAUUUCAUUCUUGUCUCGGGUAUUUCCAAGCGAAUUUGUCGAGUUUAAGUUUUUUGAAAGGAUUGUUCUAUGAAUUCGUGAUUCAUACGUCGAACGCCGACAAGGCAGACAAAAGAACCGAAGUCCUAAAAUCACCAACAGAAAAAAUAGACACGGGGACUCGGUUGGGAGAUCGGUAAUUAAAAGACUGAAAUAAAUUAAAAGUAGCUUCAUAGAACAAAAGUGUUUUAACCCGGUUACAUCUGCACCCGGCAUCCCGGGGAUCUGAUAAAUUUAGAGCAUUUUUCCGGCUUGACUAAGAAGAAACAGAAGGAUUGGCGGCGCCGGAACUCGGAGCAUCCGUUGCAGUAGAAGCCGACUCGACGACAAUCUCUUCGUCGACUUCUUCUUCGUCGUCUUCCUCGACCAUCUCCGCAUCUGCUUCUGACACCGGGCCCUCCACAAAUUUAUGCACAUCGGCAUAUUGGAUAAAGGAGUAGGCCCGCUGCUGCCGCUUCGUGAUGAGUUCCGGGUCUGAGAGGAAAGGGGAGCCGACUUGCAUCGACUGCAGCACGUCGAGGUUGAUGCCGUCGUACCAAGAGAGUACAAACGACAAAGCCUCGUCGGCACCGACACAAGCGGCCGAUUCCCGCCACUCGUUCAGCCGGUCCUCCACCUCCAGAAGGCGCUUCGCCAAUUCCGGGAUGCCGGUCGGAGUUUCUUCUCCCGGCCACAACGCUCGGAAGGCCCGGAUGCCGGCGUUGAGCAUGUUUACCCCGAACGACUUCAGAUGCUUAACCCGGCUUGCAAUGCUGACCAAGUAAUCCUCCAAGUCAUAUUCGAAGGGUACUGCCCCAGCUGGAUCCCUCCUUCUACGGGCCUUGAUCACGGCAGCUUGGGCAGUCUCAACAGAAUGUGGGAAAAAUUCUGACAAAGGCAAAAAGAUCGUAAUGAGUCUCGACACUCCAUUGCUGCUUUCGGACAAAUGAUCAGAGGAAGAGACUUGGUCAAGGGCAACUUACUAGUCAGCAUUGCGUCGAUUUUGAUGAGGUCACGCCGGGACACGCUAAGUAGGCGGGCGUUCUCGGCCUUCUCCUUCUCGACAGCAGUGGCGCGAGUCUCGACCUUGGCGACAAGAUCCUUGCAUUUCUGCACUUCGCCUUCUAGGCAGAUCUUCUCGUCAGCUUGGGCGGAGAGAGGCGAGGUAAGUUGACCUACCUCGGUGUUAUGCGCCUCCGCCUGAGCUUCGAGCUGCGCUUUCUGCCGGGCCACUUCGUCCCGGUGCUGCUCUUCUAGCCGAGUUUUCUCAUCUGUUUAGCAGACGUGUGUUAUAGAAGUUUGAGUUUAAGAUGGAUGAAACCUGAGAUAAGGACAAGCCUAUACCUUGUACUUCGGCGACACGCUUCAAGAGCUCAGAUACUUGAACAUUGUCCCCGGCUGUAAACAAGAGCACGUAUCAGUUUUUGCAGUGCAUUAAUACUCGGACAAAUUCUUUAUGUAGGUAAAAAUGUACUUACUCUGGCUCUGGCGCUCGGCUACCAAGGCCUUGUGCUCUGCCGCCAGCUUCUUGUGCUUCGCCAGCAGGACCUUAAAGGUAGCGGUGCGCUUGUUCAUGCAGGUCUGCAAGACAAUAAUCAACAGUUAAUUCUAUUGCAGGGGGAAUAAGUGUUUGAAGUUUCUAAGCUUCAGGCCGACUAUUCUAAAUCCGACCUGAAUCUCGGGGAAUAAGUGUUUGAAGUUUUUAAGCUUCAGGCCGACUAUUCUAAACCCGGCCUGAAUCUCGGGGAAUAAGUGUUUGAAGUUUUUAAGCUAUAGAAGAAGGUCUUGAGCCACUUUUUGCUGGACUCAAGACCUUGGAUCCGAGGAAAGGCUGAGCCUCGGCGGGGUAUCACGGUGGCGGCGCCGCACUGGGUCAUGGGUUUGGCGGCGCCGGGAUUCUCUUUGUCGAGGAGAACUUGGGGCCGGAACAUAAAGUAUUUGGCCCACAAGUCGACGGGAGGCCAGAGGCCGUGAUAGGCCUCACAGCAAGUGACAAACGCCGAGAGUGUGAGGAUAGCGUUUGCCGGAAGAUGGUGCGGCAGAAGGCCAAAGAAGUCUAAGAAUUUCCUAGUGAAAUCACUAGCUAGCAGAGCGAACCCUCGUUCAAAAUGAGCAAGGAAGACGACAUGCUCACCAGAUUCGGGUGCCGACACAGUCUCGUAACCGGGGGUCCGACACUCUACAUCUUCUAGAAUCCGCCGGGAGCGGCGGAGCCACUCGAUGUCUGCCGGGGAGACGUCGGAGCCUUCCUAGCCAGCUUGCUCCGAGCCCGUCUCCUCCUCGGUGUGCUGAGCAGCGAGGUCAACGGUGGCGGCAUCACGGGAAGAAGAAGCCAUUGUUGGAAACUAGAUCUAGGCUUAGCUUCUCCGGCGAAGAGGUGGUGGUGCAAGGCUCAAGCGAGCAAGGAAACGGCGGCAGAGAGUCAAGCGAGGGCGCACGAGGAUAUGGCGACGAGCUCGGUUGCUGGGAGCAAGGAAGCGCACCGGCGGAAGAUCUCGGAGCUAUCGGCAAUGGUGGAGCACGCAAGAAGCAGAGAAGAGCAGAGGAGAGCGAGAAGGUUGGGGGAGUGCGAAGGGUUUUUCUCCCUCGCCCCCUCCCUCUUUUUGUACCCGCAACGCACUAAAGGGGGCGCGGAUCUUUUGCGCCCACGAUGCCUGUGGCCAACGGAUGGGCCGCGCACGAUCAUGGGGGCAAUCAACCCCAUUAACGCGCAAGCGCUCGGUUACCACGCGGCGUGGCUCAGUUAAUCCCGUCGAAUCCGGGAGGAUAAGGAUCCGCGUGGGAACCAAAAUUCCUCUCUUAAUGGCCUAUCAGUUUUACUGUCCGAUGGGACGACGUGCUCGCCUCAAUGGGCGCGCCGGCAGUACUUCGGGUUUUAUCUUUCCGUUAUUUAUGCAGAGUGCAGAGUACAAGCGACAGGUGGCACUAAUGUCGGCAGAAACGAGUUUUUUGUUGUCGGCCAUGUAGGGGAAAAGAAUCUCGACUCAAUGCUGAAUAAGCACGCCAGCUCGGUAUGUCGGAAUAACUUGAUCUCGGCUAAGAGGAACUCGGGGUUGUCUCGGCAUCCUUUUUGGCUAAGCCCUGGUGAGCUUCGGUGGUUCCUGUGUGGGAAGUUGUCGUGGCCCGACAUUCUUCCCUGCCGGACCGCAACAGUUUCGGGGACUAUUAUCGGGGGGAUGACCCCGGAUAAGGUCUUGGCGACACACAUUAGCCGAGAUGACUAUGUUGUCUUAUGAGAUUGCAGGAUAAGGACGGAUACUCUGAUCUCGGUCAGCGCCGAGAUGUCUCAACGGUCUUAUCCUCAUCGCGUGGCGCAAAGUAAAGCAAUGCUAUCUUUAUCGCGGAAAAGCAGUCGCUGCUUACGUUGCGGUGCCAGGCGACUGCGCAAAGAAGCACCGAAAGAGAAUCAGUGAAGGAAGCUGGCAGGCGGCUCCUGUACUUGUUGCAGGGUGCCAGGAAAAGUAAAGUUGUCUUGUCCACAACGGUGCCACCUAGAGGGAACCAAGGCGCGUGCCCGGUGGGGCACAUAGAAGAUAACGUUAGCCCUUGACCCACAUAUCAGUAUGACAUGGGCGAUCCAUAAAUAGAACACUACCCCUUCCAGGAGAGGGAUCCAACACUUAGGCAUCUAGGGUUUACUGCUUCUUCUUCUUCUUCUUCUUCUUCUUCUUCUUCAAGAAUACUGCUCAAGGAGCGCCAUUGUAGAUCUUGUUAUCUCGGCUUAUUAAAAAAAACAAGAGUAGGAGUUUUACAUCUACAAGAGGGCUCCGAAUCUGAGUAAAUCUAUGUGUGCUAGUGUGCUUGUGCGUGUUUUUUUCACGUCCUUUCUCCUCCGGUUCCUCUUUUGUCCAUCGGCCCCAACUUAAACUAUCUUAUGGCAUCUGCUGUGACAUCUAAAAUUUCUGAUAUCUGAUAGCGUCCUAGCAGAGUAACAAUCUGCUAAUCUGCUUUGCUGCCGCCGCAGGCGGGCCUGCGCGCGGUUCACCGUCCUCGACGGGCGGUUGUGUUCCAAUUGCAACUCUGGUUGCCACGGUUGACCGUGCCCACCGUGGAUUAGGAUCUUGGGUUCUGCUUUUGCGACUCUACUCUAUGCUAGCGCCGAUCAGAAUUCAGAAGGAUGCAGACGCACACACAAGACGAUGUAACGAUCUCUGAUUAAAUCGAUCGAUCGGACCAAACCUUCACGUACGCUAACACCCAGACCUCUGCUAAUUGAUUGCGAGCUAGCAGUUGUUCCUAGGGUAGUACUGAACUACUGCAUGUACCAGCUGCGGCACGGCGCCGCGGCGCCAUCGUCACCAGACUCACCGUCAUGCGCGCGCACUCGCCUCUCCUAAUCGGCGUGUCCCAAUUUCUGUGUUGACCUUCGUCACGAUGAUCAUGGCUGUGAUCACGUUGUUAUUUCUACUUUCCUUCGCUAACAUGGAAAUUUAUAGUUUCUACUUUCCUUGGUUAACAUGGAAAUUUCUAGGGAAAAAGAUCUAACGGUUGUGAUCUAGAUGGGACGUUUGAUGUCCUGAUUUAUUUAGAUGCGAUUAUAAAGAUGCAACGGUUGUGAUCUCUCUAUAGAAAAAGGUCCACCCAAUUAAUGUUUUGCUUUUUUGCGAGAUUUUUGAGCCUCUCUAUUUUUUCCGUGGUUGUUCUGUCAUGUACUUUUAGUAUAUAAGACAUUAAUAAGACGCCGUGCAAACGAACCAGUAGCAUCAUCAUGCAUGCAUACAUGUACUAGGCAAAAGUCCAUUGUUUUAAAUGCUUUAACUCUUAAACUGUCAAGUUAAUUUAAGAUAUGUCUUCUCGAUUAAUUUUGUCUCGACGAGAUCUUCGAAACUAGAUCUCAUGUUGACAUGUUUAGACAAAUUUAAUUUUUGUUUUAAAAGUUUCCAUCCAAUAAUCUAUGAAGUUGCCAUCCUGUUAGUAACAAAGUAACACGUUGUAACUUUAUAUAAAAUAUGGUGGCGAUUUGUGUAUCAAAGGUAUUAUCUGAUAAUACGUAAAGUCACCACCCUGUAAUAUAUGAAGUUGCCGCCUUAUUAGUAACAUAAUACCAUGUGUCAACUUUAUAUAAAAUACGGUGACGACUUGUUUAUCAAAGGUACCAUCCGAUAAUACGUAAAGUCACCGCCCAAUAAUAUAUGAAGUUGCCACCUUAUUCAUAAAUAUUACCAUGUGGCAACUUUAUAUAAAAUACGGUGGCGAUUUGUGUAUCAAAAAGGUAUCCGAUAAUAUAUGAAGUUGCCACGUUAUUCGUAACAACUUACCACGUCGUAAUUUCAUACAGUAUAAAAUAGGAUGGCGAUUUGUGCAUCAAAGUUGUCAUCCGAUAAUAAUGUAAAGUUGCCAUCCAAUAAAAUAUGAAAUAUUAAUGUGUUAGUAAUAAAUUAGCACGUGGUAACUUUGUACGAAACAUUUUGACUCUUAAAAUAACUAGUAUGUAUAUAAUAUGCACUCACACGCUAGUUGCCAACAUAAAAUAAAAAUUACAUGCAAAGAGACAAAAGAGACAGUGCAUGCAAGCUGCAGGCUGUUCGCGCAGGCAGCUGAAUACAAUUCCUGAGUAGCAAAGGGGAAAAAAAAUCAUGCGUGCAAGCCACGCAAGUGCAACAGCAGCAGCAGUCAGCAUUGGCAGUAGCCCACUAGCGCUCGAUCGAGCGCGUCGCCCAGCCAGACAAGAGCGCGGACGUACGCGCGACAUAUUUUCCGUUUAGGUUUUUAGACAUCAAUCUGAUUAUAUGAAUUCACGUGAUUUAGUUUUCCAACAAUUUAAUUUUGUCUCUACUAAUUAUAUAUAAAGUCACCAACAUAUUCUUUUCAACGUCCACCUCACUAAACGUACACAGAUUAUUUAUAGUCCACAAUCAGACUUACUGAACACAGAUUACUUUUUAACCGUGUGCGUUUAGUAAUUACUCCCGGAGGCUGAAUUCCACAAAGCAUGAGAUAAGGUUGCACCGUCUGCUCUCUCGCAAGGAACACACCGGAUCCUCGCGCACCCCCGCUGCUUAUCAAGCCGGACUCCUUGCGCCCGCUCAAAUCUUCUCGCUGCUGCCGCCGAACUCCUACUCCUCCUGCCCCGUCGCCUCGCGGGCCUCGCACCGUCCUAUCCCUUGCCCCGUCGCCGCCCGUCCCCAUGCCCUUGUCGCGCUCCCCUGCCCGCCUGCCCUAUCCAUCAGUCAGCCUGGCAGGAGAAAAUCAGGCUCGUCCUCCGUCAAUGGCCAGUGCGCCUGGCCGCCGUUUCCGGCCAACUCCGCCGCCCCGCAUGCUCCACCCCAGGCAACGCCGCUGCUCGCCGUCAUUGCCGCCCCGCCCCAGGCGCCCUGUCCCGCCGUCGUGCGCCACGGCGACCAGGCCGCGGUCGUAGCACUCCCGCACCCCGCCCCACGCGCCCUGUCCCGCCGUCGAGCGCCCCGGUGCCCCGGCCGCGGUAGCCCUUCUGCGACCUCCGUCCCCCGGGCGCCACGCCGCUGCCCCACCGCUGCUCAUCACGACAUCACACCGAGGCCGCGUUAGAGGUUAGUGCUUCAAUCUCAUAUGAUUUGUUCCAUUGCGUUGUAUCCGUGUAGGUCUUUUCCAGCCCGAGGAGUAUAUUUAUUUGUAUUUUUUGUGAGAUAUUUGUAUUUUAUGAUGCAGAAAAUUAAGCAUGAGUUGAUACAUAUGCCCUACGAGUUAUGGGCUUAGGUUUUGUGUCAGUACCCCAAAAUAAACUAUGCGGAUCUUAAAGGCAAAAGUUAUAAGUGAUUAUGGAGAAUUCUGUACUAUAGACGGGAGCUAUAAGUCCCUAUCUGUUUACUACAAAUGAAUUGUGGUCUGUAUUUUAAAUACAUAGAUGAACCAAUGUCUGUAAAAAGCUUCUAGAUAUUCUUAAAUAAGGAGUAGAAACUUAUGACUCAAUGUACAUCCUCCACAUUCUUACAUUGGCAUACAUUGUUUGGUACUGUGCAUUCUUUCUCAGUUGUUCAGUUAGCUUGAACUACAUAAAUCCUUGGCUCUGUGCUGCUGCUGCUACUGUUAACAUGCACCGGAGAUGAUGAAAAUAUGGGAAGACAAUCCAAAAUACCUAUUGUCUCUUCGAAGGAAAAGAUCAAAGAGAGGGAAAAAAGUGAACGAAUAUAUAUCUUAUUUCCCACAAAUUUUAUGAUCUGAGGUUAAAUCAUAGUAUAGAUGUCCAUCUUAUUACAGACAUAUAUAAGAAAUAAUUAGAAGAGUUUUUUUAUGGCCGUGACCGAGCAUGCAUAUUCUUUUAGCUUAGACAUAUAAAUUAUCGAUGUUGCUGGUCUUUCUCAUGUAUGGGGUUGUAUAUCUGCAAGCAAGGAGAUGGCUGACCAUUUCUGCUGUGUUGCAGGUGCAGUUGUCCGUUCUUGUGAUGGAACUAUCUUUGAUGAUGAUUCAACACCGCUUGUUUGUUGUCAUACUUGGAUGAAUAUCUCUGACAGUUGGAAUUUGUUUUCAUGUUUGGCUUCAGUUAUGCGAAGGACAAGUGUUACUAUUAUACAUGGAUUGACAAGAAUGGCAAAUAAUCAUGGCUACUACUUACAAAGUUACAAACCAUAUUUUGGUGUUGGUCUGGGACCUUUGUUGGUAGCUUUGCACUUCUAAAUGAAACUUGGAUGGAUUUUGUCUGCCAGCCAUAUUAAAACAGUUUGUUGACUGUGCCACCAAUUAUUUAUUAUUGGGCUUAUGAAAUGUCAGUUAAAAUUAUAUUACAAUCGUCAUAAGAGUAUGAUGGAACAAUACAGACUAAAGUUGAGGAUAGCACAUCGUGAAAGAGUUGAUGUUGAACUGGGUUUCAGGUGACAACAGGUGAUUAUUUUGAGCUACAACUCUUUUUUAUUUUCGAGCUAACCGUAAAUAUUGAUGUAUUUUGUAAUGGAAUCUUCAUUGGUGUUACAUGCCUCAACACACAUAAGAGGCCUCUCCAACUAUCUCUUGUUACUCUCCAUAUGUUGCUCCGUAAUAUGGAAAAGAAAAUUGUACAGCUUAAAGCUACUACAAGAAAGACCAUCGAGUUGCAGCUUUCUAACAAAGUAUGUUUCUAACCAACAUGAAAAUAUAUAUCAAUACUAAUACUGUACUAACAUUUAGAUCCAAUGAAUUUAAGGCGAAUGACCAGCUUGGUCAGUGGUUAGUCCACCGUGCGUUGCACGGGCACACUAACUAGUUAGUUUAAUGAAAAACAACAAUACAUCAAGUUACCACCUCUAGCCGGUGGCUGAUGUAGGAUUAAAUGGGGUGCCAAACUAAAUGUUCAUAGUUCAAAUUACAUUUACACGUAUUUUUAACAGAUGUAUGCACUCCCUCCGUAGUAGAAUUAGAUUGAUGACUACAAGGUUAAAAAAUCUCCAAUUUUCCGGGGGUGCCAUGUGCACCUGUAGCUCCAUGCAUUCAAGAUCCCAUCGCUUGUAAUAUUGUGUAAUUUGUAAAGCUUUACUCCCAUGGGUUGGGUUUGAAUCAUAGAAACAUAACUGCAUAAGAUCUACUGGCUAUACUAUAUAUCUUGAUUUCCUACUCGACGAACUAGGUUACUAACAUACAACAAAUCCAAGACUCUGAAAGCAUGUCCUAGUAGACUAGCAGCAGCCCAGUGCUCUUUCCUUACUUCAAUUUCAAUUUUUCGAACUCCCUGUCCCAGUUAAGACCAGACAUUUGCCGUCCAAAGGGUACUAUAAGAUUGUAUCGGAAAACCUGCAAAAGGAGAAUCCCAGCAAAAUGACACCACAAAAUUAGUUAGCCAUUUUGAAGCAUUGACUAUACAUGUGAGACCUGGUAUGGAGCAGUACCUUGUCGUUUAUUUGGCGAAUUUUCUCCUGUAGAGCCCUGCGAUCAUCGUGCCAGGUAGAACCAUUUUGUUCACAGCGGUUUGCCCAAGCCUUCCUCAACACUGACCUCCAUCUCGCAAUCAUUCCACGGAUUUCCUUGUUAAGCUCUACCCAUUCUGGUGCACAACCAUUCUUCGAAAGUAUCCUGUAAAGGGUGUCUUCUGCAGGAUCUGCGUGAGGAUUUGUGGUGAGGUUCUGGGGCCUGCCCUUCCCAGGUAGGUUUUCAAAGUGCCCUUCCUCCAUUGAAUGCCAUAUUCUUUGUUCCACAACGUUCACUAUGUCAGUCUCAGAUCUGCAAAAUAGCAAGGAAGUUCCUAAUUAGGAACAAUCAAGAGUCCACAUGAUCGGUGAGACAGUAAUGCGCAGGCACCAAUGAGAAAAAAACCUAACCAACUGUCCAGUCUGAAGAAUUGCAUAUUGUUAUCAGCAUCGAUUUAUACAGGCCAAGAGAUUUGAAUGCAGUACUCCACCAAUGAUUGUCUAGGCUGUAGUGUGCACACGGAUAAUUAAACUGAGAGAUCGACAGACAAAUUACAGACAUCAGACAACUGGAUGUGUAUAUAGGGCCUUCAACAGCUGAACCAUCCUAAUCACUACACUGGGCUUGGCUCAGAACUUCCUGGGUUCAACAGUCCAAUAAAACGUUCAGAACAAAACCCAUGUUUUAUUACCACCAAGGAAAAAUGAUUACCUUAACUAUUACCAUUGACUAGAGAUUUCUUUCUAAUCAACGUUGAACAUCAUAUAGACGUUGGAGAGGCCUGAGGAUAUACAGCAUCCAAAUAGUGACCCACAAUUUGGUCAUCAUCACCCAGCCACAGAGGCAGCUUUGAGUGACAAUAUGUUAAGGACGGCAAACAUACAUAGCCAUAUUGUCAGAAUCUUAUGAGUAAACCACUAUGCUUUUGAGUAGAACAAAGAGUUCCACCGCAUGUACUCCAAAUCUGGAGGGUUACUGAAUAGGUUCACAGUUUAACAUGCUGACUUCAGAUGCUAAAAAAACUAAACUCAGGAAAACGCCAAGAUAUACCGAGGUAGUUAAGUUUCCAUGAGAGGUUAAUUGUUGUUGUUGACAUACUGAGCAUAAAUACAAAACUAUGAAGAUACCGCACUAUAAUGUAUAUCUGGUUAACCUCCGAUCCUAAAUUCUUGUUGUUUUAGUUCAAAUUUGAACUAAACAAUGACAACUAUUUAGGAUCGGAGGAAUACAAAAUAGAUCAAGUAAGUGACACAAACAUUAUUUUCCAUGUUUGGCAUGGUAGUUCUACUUCUAUUUGUCAGUUGAAACUGCAUUAUAGUUGUUGUUCUUACAAAACGUUAACCGUGUAAACUGUGUGAUAAGUGAACAUGCCUACAUAACCCCAGGAAACAAAUUUAUAUCAUAACUGAUAUAUAGCUAUCUAAUUGCAUAAAACUACCUCAGCGUAUCAUAUUUUUGCAGUACACUUACGUAACCAACAACAAUAAAUUGGCUGCAUUUGACACAAGUAUGCCUUCAUACUAAAUACUAUCACAGACUACAGAUGCAUAAAGGGAGCAUGCACAAUUGAACUACGUUGAUCAGUAUAGUGGGAAAAGUUCAGUUCCCCUUGGCUUCAACAGGUCAAUGAGACGUUCUAGAAACGAUCACAUUAUCACCUAGGGGAUGAAUUUUGAACAUGUCACAUCUUCAUGGAUGAUACCGCCGACAAUUUAACACAGAUAAAAGACCAAAAGUUUAUUACCGCCAGCUAGAGAUUGUUUCGAUGUUACACGCCGUCUGAAGUUGGAUAGGCUCUGAACAAAAGCAGCACCCAACCUAGUUUUGUUUUGCUGGUGAAGCAGCCAACAUCAUGAGCAGACAUUUGACCAUCAUUGCGAAGGCCCUGGAGGCAGCUUUCAGCAAUAGCAUCACAAGGACCAUAAAACCAUAUGCUUUGAGUAGAACAAAUGAGUUUCUCCCCAUGCACCUAGAUCUGGAUGGUAAUUGAACAGUUUUGAAAGAAUAUUCAAACUUGAACAAGCUGGAUUUUAGAAUUUCUUGUGGAUUUAGCUCACACACAAGGCGUUGGAGUUGUUGAAUAGUUUUGAAAGAACAGUUGAACAUGCUGGCUUUACAAUUGCAUAUUGAUUUAGCUCACACGACAAGAUGUUGGAGCUAGUUAAAUUUCCCACGUAGGUGUGGCAAAGCAGUUUUGGUGCAUGGUCUCUGCCUUCUUUAGGCAGCUAGGUCACUGUUUUGAGUCUAUUGCUGAGCUUUGGAUUGCUAAUAAAAAGUUGUCUGUCCUUCACUUGUCUGUGCUACAGUUCUUUGGAGCAUUUGGACAUUUCACAAUAGUAUAAUAUUGAAUAAUCAGUUAUGGUUGUCUGUUAAACAGAUCUGGUGUUUGAUCCUGCAGUCGCUCAGGAAAUGGUCACAACUGUUCAAGGAUUGCAUGCUGGACAGUAUGCACAGCUUCAGCCGAGCAGUUUCCCAGAUUUUGGGGGCACCUUUGGCGCUGGCCUGGAGCCCUGGAGCUGAGGAAGGCAAGUCCUUGCCAUUCUCAAUCACCUGUUCUGUUUUCAAGUUCGCCAUCUUCUGUUGUUGCUGUUUCAACAUCGGAACCUCCGGUGAAGACUGCGGCUGACCGCAGCCCCUACUCUGUCCUCGACUGUGCCCCGACUCCCUCUGAGCUGCUGCAGCGAGACCUGCUCAGGAACAAGCUGGGGUUGGUGGUUCGGCGCUUUUCUGAAGGCGCCGGCAAGCUUCAGUUUUUGAGCCGGAUGUUUGUUCCACUGCAUUUUCAGUUUGUUUUUCAGUUUAUCUUCAGACUGCGGUUACAGCUGAGUAGACUUGUUUACCUUUUCUGGUUACACUCUGAGGGCCUCCUGUCGUUCUAAAAACUACGACGUAGGUCAGGUAAUCGUUGCAAAGACUAAUUUACGUGCUUGGCCGAUCUGUUUGUCAGUUGUUCAAAGUGAAGUAUAUUGUUCCCUCAAAAAAAAAAAAGAAGUGAAGUAUAUUGUUCUUCUCACAACUUAUACUCUCACAGCGUAACCGUGUAAGAUGUUUGGUUGCGUAAAUGGCUUCAUAAAACUUGGAAAGUAACAUAAACUUACCAGAGGUGAUCUGAUUGCAGGAAAUAUCCAAGCCUUUGAGGCGGAAAGGGGGUGAGGAUACCUGACGGCGUUGGGGCGGCCGCGGAGCUCGGGAGGGAGCUUCCGUUCGUUUACGGCGUCCCUCACGUCCGCGAGGCGGUGCUCGGAUGACGAAGGCAGCUUCUUCUUCUUCUCCGGCGACGGCGACGGGGACGCUGCGGCGGAGGCCUCCGGGUC